ACGCAUCGGAUUUUGCCUUGGGUGCAGUUUUAUCACAAAUGGGAACAGAUGACAAACUUCAUCCGAUAGCUUUUCAUUCAAGAAAAUUCUCAGCAGCCGAGAUCAAUUAUGAGAUCCACGAUAAAGAACUUCUUGCAAUCGUGGAUUCCUUUCAAGAAUGGCGUUAUUAUCUAGAAGGUGCUUCUAGUCCAGUCACUGUGUAUACAGAUCACAAGAACCUCGAGUAUUUCAUGUCAGCAUGCGUGUUGAAUCAUCGUCAAGCUCGUUGGAGUAUGUCUUUAUCAAGAUUCGACUUCAUUAUCACUUAUCGGCCAGGAAAACAACAAGGUUUGUCCGAUGCCCUGUCUAGACGUUCUUAUUUUGCACCAAAAGAAGGAGAUGCAGCUUUUGAGCAACAAAGAACGGUCCUCUUGAAACCGAAGCAAUUUCAUCUCCGAGCAGUGAAAUCAACAUUGACUGUUGAUUCAACUUUUCUCAAGCAAAUCCAGUCCAGUAUGUCCUCAGACCCUCUUGUUCAUGAUAUCGAGAAUAAUUCUUCCAAGUCUCAUGAUUCUUCUAAGUUUGAGUUCAAGAAUAAUCUAUUAUAUUUUGAAGGACGCCUAUAUGUUCCAAAAGGAAAAGCACGUUUGCGUGUUCUUCAAGCACGUCAUGACUUUCCAGCAGCAGGGCACUUUGGAUAUAAUAAGACUCUGGAACUCAUAUCAAGAGAUUUUUGGUGGCCACAAAUGUGGAAGUCAGUCAAAGACUUUGUACAAUCAUGUGAUAUUUGUUCAAGAUCAAAAAUUCCUCGACAUCGACCUUACGGACUUCUUCAGCCAUUACCUAUACCAGAACAACCAUGGUCUUCUGUUUCUAUGGAUUUCAUCACAGAUCUUCCAAACUCAAGAUCUUAUGAUUCUAUAUUUGUGAUAGUAGAUCGUUUCACCAAGAUGGCACAUUUUGUGCCAUGUACAAAAUCUAUCACAGGUGAAGAAACAGCUAAGCUUUUCAUUGAUAAUAUCUAUCGCUAUCAUGGAUUACCUAAAGAUAUCAUAUCGGAUAGGGGAACUCAAUUUGUGUCGAGAUUCUGGAGGACUUUUUUCAAGAUUUUAAAAGUGGACAUAAAGCUAUCUUCAGCUUUCCAUCCUCAAACUGAUGGACAAACAGAGCGUGUAAACCAAGUCUUGGAACAGUAUUUAAAGUGUACCAUCAACUACCAACAAGAUGAUUGGACAAACCUUCUGCCAUUGGCAGAGUUUGCUUAUAAUAAUACGGUACAUUCCUCCACGCAACAAACACCUUUCUUUGCCAAUUAUGGCUAUCAUCCACGACUUGAUACUUUUGAUUUUUCAAAAGUUGAUAAUCCUGCAGCAGAAGAUAUGGCAAAUCGGUUGUCAGAGUUACAUGCAAUAAUGAAGGUGCAGUUGAAGAAAGCUCAAGAACGACAAAAGAUAAAUGCAGAUGUAUAUCGUAAAGAGCAACCACAACUCAACGUGGGUGAUAAGGUAUGGCUACUUCGUCGCAAUAUCAAGACCACUCGACCUUGUGACAAAUUGGACUAUCGUAGGCUUGGCCCCUUUUCUGUUUCUGAACAGAUCAACCCAGUUGCAUAUCGGUUACAUCUACCGGAGUCAAUGAAGAUCCAUCUUGUAUUCCACGUGUCUCUUCUUGAACCAUAUAAGAAAGUGGAUAUACAAGGAAGAAGACAAAUGCCACCGCCUCCUAUAGAAGUAGAUAAUAAUGAAGAAUUUGAGGUGGAAGAGAUAUUAGACUCAAGGCGGCGCCGAAAUAAGCUGGAAUAUCUUGUUCAUUGGUGCGGAUAUGAUAUUAGUGAGCGCACAUGGGAGCCAUCCAGGAAUCUAGCAAAUGCAUCAGCUAAAGUCAAAGUUUUUCAUCAACGACAUCCAUCAAAACCAAGAUGAAAACCUCUCUUAUAAAAGAGACAAGAUUGAGGCAAGAUAACAUUGAAUUUCCUAUCCUUGUUUGUAACUUCUUUGCAUUUUGUGACGCUAAUUAGAUGGAGAGCCAACAACCAGCGGAUUCAACUCAAGAACCUUCGUUUGCUGACUUACCGGAUGAGACAUUGCGAUUGUCACAACCUUCAAGACGACGCAACCGAAAUGAAGACCCUCAAGAACGACAUGUUCUUCCUCGAAUAGAUGGUGAGAUACAACGCGUUUGGUAUCACGACCUUGGAAGAGAUUCUCGAUGUUUGGUGAUAUUAUUGGAGAUAGGAACGACUCCUGAUGGUGUUUCAAAUGUAUUAUUUGAAGGAAGUUAUGAAGGCUUCAACAGUGAUCAAAUAACAGGGUGGUCUUCUCGCCCUGGAAUGGGACACUAUCGAUGGCUAAGAGGACCCAUCAACUAUCUUCGAAGAGAACAAAGAUCAGAGUAUGUAGCAAAUACAAUUCGUCGCAUAUUAGAUUUUCUCAAUAUAUAAUCACCGCUCCUCGUGGAACUCGUACCUAGAAGGGGGGGUAAUGUCACGGACAUACAUAUAAUUACCUAUAUGAAUAGAUAAAAGUAUGUAAAAGUAGGUUAAUUGUGUAAUAUCUUCUAGAGAAGCUUCUUAGAAGCUUCAUAGACGCUGCUUUGACUUUAUAGGAGUCUAUAGUUGACUUUUAGGUUAGAAACUUGGUCAACAAGUUAGCCAUGUGCCACGCAUAUUGGAAGCUUAAAGAACAAGCUAACUACGUGGUCCAUCCAUAGAAAACUUGCCUUGCAAGCAAAGGCAUGUGGCCUAGAAAGUCAACAUAUAUUGGAGGUCUUAUAGAACAUCGCCACGUGGCUUCUAGUUAGAUAGUAUAUAUAGAGGCAAGAGUGAAGCCCUCUUCACUCUUGUCAACUCCUUUCUUGCUUCUAGUCUAGUUUCAAGGGUCUCUAGUUUUCUUGUAUUUUGGCAAUAGCCAUUCCAGUUUCUUUCUUAAUAUACAUAUUUCUAUUUUGUCCUAUUUCUUUUUGAAAAAAGUCUCACUUACUCUUUAGCUUUCAUCGAGUUCUUGUCCCUGACAACUAACCACUUUAACACACAUCUAGAUUUAUUAACAUAUAAUAUGUUUUAAAUAAUUUUUACAUACUAUAAGCAUUUACAAUACAACAACGUGAGUUAGAUGAAGCUAUCAUUAAAAUUCUAAUAGUAGAAAAGAAAGUGGAGGCCUUCAAAAGAAAGGAUGGGCGGUUCAAAAUAAUAGACCUUGAAGCAUCUUUUCUUCAAUAUUUAAACCAAAAACAUGAAGUAAAGGAACUUAUGAGUGAUUUAAAGAAAUCUCAAGAAAAUGAAGAAGAAUAGCAUUUGGCAUGUAUUAGAGGAUGUGCAAGUUCAAAGAAGAUAGAUAUUGUGUUGUAAUUGUUUAUAGUAUAUAAAAAUUAAUUAAAACAUAUAUUUUGUUUAUAAAUUAUAUUUUGAAUUAAAAUAGUUAGUAGGUUAAUUUAAAGAAAAUUGAUGUAAGAAAAUUGAAUAUAAAAUUUAUCUAUUUAAAUUAUAAUAUUUAUGUUAUAUAAAAUUUAAAUAUUUAAUAAAAAAUUUAGAUAUUUAGUAUAAAAUUAGGAGCUCAAAGAUGAAGAUCCAUACUACUAAGAAGCUUAUUUGGAGGAAUGAAAGCAAGGUAUAGAUGGAUGAAGGCAAUGGAUGAAGAUCUUUAUUCUUAUUAAUCAAAGGCUAUAUCUAAUAAGCUUUCAAUAGGCUACUUGUGACCAUAAUAAGGAUUUUGGUGACUUUAAAAGGAGAAUUUUUUUUAAAAAAACUAAAAAUUAUAAGAUUUAAAAUUUAAAUUAUAAUUUUUAUAAAAAAUGUAGAGAAUUUGGAGUUAAGAUAAAGAAGUUAUAGCCAUUUGAAGUUAACAUAUCUUAUUGGAUAUAUUAUCACUCUUUUGAAGAUACAAGAAGUUAUACAAUAACUUUUGGAGAUUGGAAGGUGUAGCUCUAAGGGUGAUUUUAAGACCUAUGUCUUUUGUAAAAGAAUUGCUAUAUUUGAAGUUUUUAUGAAGAAGUUAUAGAGCAUUAAAGAUAACAUAUAUAAUUCAAAAGUAAUAAGUAAGUCAUUUUAUUGAUAGUAAUAGUUGGAACCAUAUUUUAAGUUUUUAGAUAAAUAUUUAUCUAAUAUUUUUUAAAAUUAUGAAUUAUUAGGUUAAAAAUCUAUAUAUGAAAAUUUUAUAAUAUUUAAAUAUUUAAUUUGUGAGAUAAGAAGAAAAUUACACACACAUACAUAUAUAUAUAUAUAUAUAUAUAUAUAUAUAUAUAUAUAAGUAAGGGUUUGAAGCUACUAUUAGAAUUUUGGUAAUAUCUCAAGAUCCUUAAUAAAUUUUCAAUUGAAUUUUUUUUAAUAUUUAUUUAAAAUACAUCAAUAUUUUGUGUAAUUUUUUUGUUUUUUUGGAUAGUCCAAUUGUAAGAUAUGAGUUGUUGAAGUUUUAAAAAAAAUCAUCUUAAAGAUAUAUAAAGAUUUAAAAUAUUUUUAUCAUAUUUUAGAUAUUUUUUGAUACUUAGGGCUUAUGUAUUAAUGUAAUUAUUCCUAUAAAAAUAAUAUUAUAUAUAAACUUUGUACUUUCUUAUCUUGAGACUUGAUUGAGUAAUUAAUGAUAGCUAGGAAUUCAAUGCUUUCUUGAGGCAACUCUCUCUACUUUGAUAUUAUUACACAUUAUAUUACUAUUAAGGAAUAUUCCUUAUUUCUUCAUAUAGACAAAAAGUGCUCCUGUCAUUCAAUUGGUAAGUAUAAUUAAUUUCAUCUUUCUUAUACUUUUUUUUAAUUAAGACAUUAAGAAGUGUAUAAAUUUUGAAUUGACAUCAAUGGUUUGAUUAUUAGUUAUUGAAUUUCCAUUUGCUAUAGAGUUUGUUAAGAGUUUGUUUAAAAUCUAGAAUUUUAUUUGGAUUGGUUUUGGAUUUGGUCUAAGGUUUGCUUAAAAUUUGGUUUAGAAUUAGACUAAGAUUUGAUCUAAUAUUUAGUUAAGAUUCAAUUAGGAUUUUAAUUAAGGUUAUAUUAUAGUUUUUAUUUUUAGUAUUUUUUAAGGAUUUUUUAUUAUUUCUUUAAAAGUUUUUAUUUCUAAUAUUUUUUUAAGAUUAUUGUAAUUUCUUUAAAUUUUUAUUUUUAUAUUUCUUUAAGAUUUUUUGUUAUUUUUUUUUGGAAUUAGUUUGAGACUUCUUUGUUUUUUUUUUAUAACUUCUUUUAAAUUUAAUUUUGAUUGAUCAAAGUUUGAUUAGGAUUAUUAAGAUCUACUUAAGGUUAUUUAAGAUUCUAGUAGACUUGAUAAGGUUGUUCUUGCAUUUCUAUUUACCUUACAUAGCUAGGCACUCGAUAUUAGGAUAGAAAGAAUUUGCCUUAAAAUUUGCUAGACUUUUGAUUGUCACUAAUAAUUCAACUAAGUCUCAAGAUAAAAAAUAAUAAUAAAAAAAACACCAAUUUUAUAUAAAAAAUAGUCACUAUAGGAGCAAUUACAUCAAUACAUAAGCUCUAAGUACUAAAGAUCAUCUAAAAUGUGAUAAAAAUAUUCUAAAACCUUCUAUAUUCUUAAGGUGAAAUUUUUCUAAACUUUGACAAUUCAUAACUUACAAUCGGAUUAUCCAAACAAAAAAUAAAAUUUUACAUGAAGUACUGAUGUACUUUAAACAACUACUACAAUAAAUCUCAACUACAAAUUCAAUGCGCAUCUUGAGAUAUUACCAAAAUCCUAAUAAAAGCUUCAAAUUCUUACUUAUAUAUAUAAAUAUAUAUAUAUAUAUAUAUAUAUAUAUAUAUAUAUAGGUAUGUAUAAUUUUCUUCAUAACUUACAAAUUAAGUAUUUGAAUACCAUAAAAUUUUUAUAUGUAGCUUUUUAACCUAUUAUCAUAUAUUUUUAUAAAUUUUGAGCCAAAUAUUUGUUCAAAAAUUCAAGAUACGGUUCCAACUAUUAUUAUCAAUAAAACAACUCACUUACUACCUUUGAAUUACAUGUACUAUCUUCAACGCUAUAUAAUUCCUUCAUACAAACUCCAAAUAUAACAAUUCUUUUAUAAAAGAUAUAGAUCAUAAAAUUUCUUUUGCGAUUGCAUCUCUUGAUUUUCAAAACUUAUUGUAUAACUUCUUAUAUCUUCAAAAGAGUAAUAAUAUAUCUUUAAAAUGUACCUUAAUUUCAAAUGGCUAUAAUUUCAUCACACUAACUUCAAAUCUUCUAAAUUUUACCUACAAAUUGUAGUCCAAAUUCAAAAUCUUUCAAUUCUUACUUUUGAUUUUCAAAUGCCCUUAUUGAAGUUCCCAAAAUCUUUAUUACGGUUGCAAAUAGCCUCAUAAGAGCCUAUUGGAUAUGGCUUUCAAUUAAUAGGGAUGAAGAUCUUCACAUCUUGCCUUUAUCUAUCCAUAUCUUCCUUUCAUCCCUUUAAAUAAGCUUUUUAGAAAUUUGAAUCUUUAUUUUUGAGCUCCAAUCUUCUCUUUAAAUUUUAUACUAAAUAUCUAAGUUUUAUAUAAUUUCAACAUGAUAAUUAAAAUAGAUAAUCUCAAAAUAAAUUUUCUUAUAUCAACUCUCUUUAAAUUAACUUACUAAUCACUCUAAUAUACAUGAAUAUCUAUAAACAUAUUAUACGUUUUAGUUAAUUUUUACAUACUAUAAACAAUUACAAUACAAUAUAAAAGUAUUUUUAAGCAAAAAUAGUCAAAAUAUAAUAACAUAGUAGAUAGUAUCUUUUAGAGCCUAAAAUAGAAUCUUUAUCAUUUCUAAUUCCAAGAACUAAUGUAGCCAAUAGAAAUAAUUACAACUUCCAAACUAAUAUCCAAAUUGAUCCAAUAAUAUUUUUUAUGAGAUUAUUAAUUGUAGUAUCUUUAAGAUUAUAAAGAAUAUUAAUUCUACCUAACCUCCUAAAAUUUAGUAAAGCUAUCAAUGAAGACUAAGCAUUCCAUGUAAAAAACUUUAUAGAGGUAUUUAUUACUAUUUUAAUAAUUAAUUAUGAUUAAUAUUUAAUAUAAUUUUCAACAACCUUGAAUUUUUUUGCAUAUACUUAGUAUAGAUCACAUGUAGAAAGAGUAUUUUCUAAAUAGAAAUAACUUCUAAUAGUAUUCUAUAUUCUAUACAAGCUUGUAAUUGGCCAACAAUAAGCCUUUUUAGCCUUAACAAAUAUUAGACAAUAUUCUACAAAAAACAUCACUUCUUAUAUAAAGUAAUUUUUUAUAGUAUAUAUUCAAUAUGUUGAUAAUCCUUUAAAUAAAGAUACUAUAAGGCACUACUUUAUCCAAGGUUUUGCUAUAACUUCUACAAUUCAAGAAAUCCUAAAUAAGAGGCCUAAAGAUUUAGAAGGAGCUAUUUAAGCUACCUUGAAAGUGGAGGUUAUUGAUAAACAAAUGAUUGUAUGUUUAGAAAGAUAAAUGAAUCAAUAUCCAUCUUUAUACUUUUGCAACAUUGAUCUAAAAAAUUUCAUCAAUUUCUAGCUUUUAGCUACUUACAAUCCUCUAUAUUUUCCUUGCCAAUUAGCAAUUCAAUGCCUUUUGCUAUAGAAGUUCUUCAUGAUCAAGUUUAAACUAAGAUCUUUAAUAAUAUGACAUUAGAAGAAUUUAAAUAUAAAAUAAGAUAAGCCAAUGAGCUAUUCAAAUAUGAGAUGAUGAAUAUUAUGAAGGCCAUUAGUGAAAAAAUGUCUUGCCUUGUCAAAAAUCAAAUUCUAAUUAUAGAGCCUAGAUACCAAAAAUUGAUAAUUCAUACCUCUAAAUUGUGUUCAAUAAAUUAUAGAAAAAUAAAUCAUACAUUAUAAUUUUAUCCAAAAUUCUUAUAACAACAACCUAUCAAAAAAAAUCAAUUCGAAUUAUAUAAGUUUCUUCAUCAAUUGAUACAAUUAAGUAAUAAUUUUCCUUCAAAUCAAAUAAGUAGUAUGUCACCUUAUCCUACUUGGAGAAAGGUACAUCAAGUAAGUCAAUGUUGGAUUGAAAAUGGAGUGGUAUGCUUUGAUUGUGGAGGUUCUUAUCAUAUGGAUUGUUAAAAAAGACCUAACUAAGUUAUUCUUUCAACUUUUUUUUCAAGGAAUUAUAAUAAUCAAGCCAAAAGAAAUAUACAAGGAGUUAGAUUUGUAAAUUCUAUUGUUACAAAAUAUUUAUCAAAUAUGUAUUAUGACCCUUCAAGCAAUGGUCAAAGUUUUUUGUAUAUAUAUAUAUAUAUAUAUAUAUAUAUAUAUAAGCUUAAUCUUAUUCAUAUGACUUUCAUUAUCUACAUCUUUUGAAUUUCAAGUUAAGCCAUAGACCUUCAAUGAUGAAAUUCAAUGUUCCAAUGCAUUAAUUCACAACAAUAUCAUUAUGAAAUAUUGUCCAAAUCUCCUAUACUAUGAAAAUGUAUAUAUGAGCUCAAUCUUUUUUAUAUGACUAUGAUAAUCUAUAUUACUUGAGUUUUGUAACAAGCCAUUAAUCUUCACAUGGUCAACUUUAACACUCCAAUAUGCCAAUCCACAACAAUAUAAUGAUGAAAUAUUUUUCAAAUUUCUUAUUAUAUUCUAUAUAUAUAUAUAUAUAUAUAUAUAUAUAUAUACAAACUCAAUCUUGUUUAUAUGAUGGUGAUAAUUUAUAUCACUUGAAUUAUGAGAUGAACUAUAGACCUUUAUAUGAUGAACUUCAAUAGUCCAUAUAUCAAUCCACAAUAAUGUGAUGAUGAAAUAUUCUCCAAAUCUUCUAUUACAUUGCACAUAUAUAUGUAAGCUCAAUCUUGUUUAUAUGAUGAUGAUAAUUUGCAUCACUUAACUUGUAAGAUAUGCCAUACACCUUCACAUGAUCAACUUUAAUGCUCUAUGUCUCAAUUUAUAAUAAUGUGAUGAUGAAAUAUUCUUGAAUCUCUUUAUUAAAUUAUUCAUGUAUAUGUGAGCUUAAUAUUGUUCAUAUAAUAGUAAUUAUCUAUAUUACUUGGGUUGCAAGUUAUGCCAUAAAUUUUCACCUGAUUACUUUUAAUAUUCCAAUGUAUCAAUUCAAUAGGACAUGAACCACCACCUAUAAGUAGAGAGAAUUCGAAGUGACAAUCAUCUCACUCGACACUUCUCUUGUAUAGAGCCUUCUUGAUUUAUGUUUAUAUUUGUCUUAUUGAUUAUAUUUUUUCAAUCAAAGAUACCAUAUUUAUAUAUAGAAUAAUUAAUAUCAUUUAAAAAAUAUAUAUAUCCAAUGAGAGAACAAAGAUUGAAUGAACAAUUGUUGUAUUUUUUUGACAAAGAUUUGGUUAUAGUCUAUAAUUUUUUUUAUUAAAUAAAGAUUUAGUUUUAUUCAAGAAUUUAUUUUACUAGUCAAAUAUUUCAAAGUUAAGUCUAUAUUAUUUUACCAUCCAAUAGAUUCCUUAUUGAUACUAGAUCAUUAGGCUUUUGAUUCUUUCGAAAACUUUAAUCCAUCCAUUAUCCUUAUUUCACUACUAUUAUCAAGUAUAUCCUAAUAAAGUAUCAAUUGUCUGAAAUACAAUUCUUUCUAUUUGAAGAAGUACCUUUUUUUGUUUGAUGUUUUUUUUGUUUCAUUUUUUUUUAAAGGUUUUUGUUAAACCUUCCUUCAUAUCAUAAGUGUGAGCUCUCUAUUAUGCUCUAAAAUUUAAAUUUUUGAUAUUUUCUUAUUUUAUGAUAAUUGAGUAUAUUAGAUUAUGAUUUAUAUAAGUAGAAUUUAAUUUUAUAGAAUUUUUAGGAUUACAACCUUUGAUAGUAUAAAUUAUAGCCUAAUUCUUUGAAUUAGAAAAUUAGAAUAGUAACUUAUUUAGUUUUAAUAAUUUAUAGUUGUUAAUUACUAAUAUGAGGGUUGAUUAAAAGCCUAUAAAUUUACUUAUAAUUAUUUUACAUGAUUUAGAGUGAAUUAGAAUUAUAAUUUUUUUAAAUAUUUAGUGAAUUUUAGCAAUGAAAAUUUUGAAAUUUCCUCCAAUUCAAUAAAUUCAAGCGGCAUAGUAGUUCUUCUAAUUAAUAGAAGUCUUUUUAAUGCAUAGUAGUACCGGAUUCAUCCUAUGGACUGAAGAAAACAAGAUCAGGACCCUCUCCUUCAAAAUUGUCAAGGACAAGAACUUGAUGAAAAAAUAAUUCAGACAAGUGAGCCUUCACUCAAAGAGAGGUAACAAAAUAUAUAUAAACAAGUAUAUAUAUUGAAAUAGAAACUGGAAUGGCUAUUGCCAAAAGACAAGAAAAUUAGAGACCCUUGAAACUAGACUAAAAGCAAGAAAGGAGUUGAUAAGAGUGAAGAAGCCUUCUUUCUUGUCUCUAUAUAUACUAUCUAACUAGGGGCUACGUGGCGACGUUCUAUAGGACCUCCAAUAUGUGUUGACUUUGUAGGACACAUGCCUUGACUUACAAGGCAAGUUUUUCUAUGUGUGGGCCACAUAGUUAGCUUGAUCUUCAAGCUAACAACAUGUGUGGCACAUGGCCAACUUGUUGACCACGUUUCUAAUCCAAAAAGUCAAUUAAAGACACCUAUGAAGUCAAAGCAGUAUCUAGGAAGCUUCUAAGAAACUUCCAUAUUAAAUAUUGUAGAAUUAACUUACUUUUACCUACUUUUACUUACUUCUACCUAUUUGUAUAUGUAAUUAUUAGCUUACAUGAUUAUGGCCGUGACAUUACCCCCCCUUCUAGAGACGAGUUCCACGAGGAGCGGUCAUCAUAUGUUGAGAAAAUCUAUGAUGCGACGAAUUGUAUUCGCCACAUACUCUGAUCUUUGUUCUCUUCGAAGAUGAUUGAUAGGACCUCUCAACCAUCGAUAGUGUCCCAUACCAAAGAGGAAAGACCACCUAGUUAUUUGAUCAUUGUUGAGGCCUUCGUAACUUCCUUUGAAUAGAAUAUUUGGAACACCAUCAAGAGUUGUUCCUACCUCUAGUACAAUCACCAAACAUCGGGAGUCCCUUCCCAAAUCGUGAUAUCAAACGUGUUGUAUCUUGCCAUCUAUUCGUGGAAGAAUAUGUCGUUCUUGAAGAUCUUCAUCUCGAUUACGUCGUCUUGAAGGUUGUGACAAUCGUAAUGUCUCAUCCGGCAGGUCAGCAAAUGAAGGCUCUUGAGUUGAAUCCGCUGAUUGUUGGUCUCCAUCUCCUGAGCGUCACUACUACAACGAAGCUACGAACAAGAAUUAAAAAUAGAAUGUUAUCUUGCCUAGAUGUUGUUUCUUUUAUAAAGAAGGUUUUCAUCUUGAUUUUGAUGGAUGUCGUCGAUGAAAAGCCUCCACCGCCUUUGCUGCAUUUGUAAGAUUCUUUAUUGGCUCCCAUGUGCGUUCACUAAUACCAUAUCUGCGCCAAUGGACAAGAUAUUCUAAUUUAUUUCGGCGUCGCCUUGAAUCUAGGACUUCUUCUACUUCAAACUCUUCAUUAUUGUCCACUUCUAUAGGAGAAGGUGGAGCUUGUCGUCUUCUUGGUAUGUCCAUUGUCUUGUAUGGUUCAAGAAGAGAUAUGUAGAAUACUGGAUGGAUUUUUAUUGACUCCUGUAGAUGUAAACGAUAUGCAACUGGAUUGAUUUGUGCAGAAAUGGAAAAUGGUCCCAACCUUCGAUAGUCCAACUUGUCACAAGGAUGAGUGGUCUUGAUAUUGCGACGAAGUAGCCAUAUCUUAUCACCCAAGAUGAAUGAUGGUUGUUCCUUUCGAUAGACAUCCGCAUUGACCUUUUGUUGUUCUUGAGCCUCUUUUAACUGUGCCUUUAUCGUUGCAUGUAGCUCUGAUAAAUGAAUUGCCAAAUCUUUUGUAGCAGGAUUAUCAACUUUUGAAAAGUCAAAAGUAUCAAUUCGUGGAUGAUAACCAUAAUUAGCAAAGAAAGGUGUUUGUUUUAUAGAAGAAUGUACCGUAUUAUUGUAAGUAAACUCUGCUAAUGGCAAAAGAGUUGUCCAAUCAUCUUGUUGGUAAUUAAUGGUACAUCUUAAAUAUUGCUCCAAAACUUCAUUAACACGCUCCGUUUGUCCAUCAGUUUGAGGAUGGAAUGCCGAAGAUAGUUUUAUAUCUACUUUAAGAAUCUUGAAAAGAGUCCGCCAAAAUCUUGAUACAAAUUGAGUUCCCCUAUCUGAUAUAAUAUCCUUGGGUAAUCCAUGAUAGCGAUAGAUAUUGUCAAGAAAGAGCUUAGCUAUUUUUUCACCUGUGAUAGAUUUUGAACAUGAUACAAAAUUUACCAUCUUGGUAAAACGAUCUACUAUCACGAAUAUAGAAUCAUAAGAACCUGAGAUUGGAAGAUCCGUGAUGAAGUCCAUAGAAACAGAAGACCAUGGUUGUUCUGGAAUGGAUAAUGGCUGAAGAAGUCCAAAAGGUCGAUGACGAGGAGUUUUCGAUCUUGAACAAACAUCACAUGAUUGUACAAAAUCUUUAAGUGCUUUCCACAUUUGAGGCCACCAAAAAUCCCUAGAUAUUAGCUCCAAAGUCUUAUUAUAUCCAAAAUGUCCUACUGUUGGGAAGUCGUGAUGAGCUUGAAGAAUACGUAAACGUGCUUCUCCUUCUGGAACAUAUAGGCGUCCUUCAAAAUAGAGUAGGUUAUUUUUGAAUUCAAAUUUAGAUAGAUCAUGAGAUUUAGAAGAAUUGUUCUUGAUAUGACGAACAAGAGGGUCUGAAGACAUACUUAACUGGACUUGCUUAAGAAAAGUUAAAUCAACAAUCAAUGUUGAUUUUAUUGCUCGAAGAUGAAAUUACUCCGGCUUCAAGAGAACCGUUCUUUGUUGCUCAAAAGCUGCAUCUCCUUCUUUUGGUGCAAGAUAAGAACGUCUAGACAAGGUAAUAGAUAAACCUUGUUGUUUUUCUAGCCGAUAAGUGAUGCUGAACUUGAAUCUUGAUAAAGACAUGCUCCAACGAGCUUGGCGACAAUUUAAUACGCGUGUUGACAUAAAAUAUUCGAGGUUCUUGUGAUCCGUAUAUACGGUGACUGGACUAGAAGCGCCUUCUAGAUAAUGAUGCCAUUCUUGAAAAGAAUCCACAAAUGUAAGAAGUUCUUUAUCGUGGAUCUCAUAAUUGAUUUCUACUGUUGAGAAUUUUCUUGAAUGAAAGGCUACUGGAUGAAGUUUGUCAUCUGUUCCCAUUUGUGAUAAAACCGCACCCAGAGCAAAGUCCGAUGCAUCUGUUUCCAUAAAGAAUGCUUUAGAAAAAUCAACACGAUACAAGAUUGGUGCAAAAACAAACGAUGUCUUUAAAGAUUCAAAAGCAACUUUCGCUUCUUAAUUCCAUUGAAGUUUGUCUUUACAAGUCAAACGUAUAAGUGGAGCUGCAACUCGAGAGAAGUCUUUCAUGAAGAUCCGAUAGUAGUUGGCAAAUUCCAAAAAACAUUAGACAUCUCUUACUGUUUUUGAGAUCUUCCAAUCUAUAAUAGUUUGAACUUUCUUAGGAUCCAUCAUAAGUCCAUCAUUUGAAAUGAUGUAACCUAAGAAAUCAACUUGAGUAGUAUGGAAUAUACACUUUUCUAUCUUGGCAUAGAGUCCUGCAUCUCUUAAUUUUUGUAACACACGACGAACAUGAAGUUCAUGUUCUUCUAGAUUCUUAGAAUAGAUCAAGAUGUCGUCUAGAUAACAUACCACAAAAUCGUCCAAAAACUCUCGAAAAACAUCAUUCAUUAGAUGUUGAAAAGCUGCUGGUGCAUUUUCAAGUCCAAAAGGCAUGACGUUGUAUUCAAAAUGUCCAUACCUAGUUCGAAACAUAGUCUUCCAUUCAUCUCCUUCUUUGAUGCGUACUAGAUUGUAUGCUCUCCGAAGAUCUAUUUUUGUAUAGAUCUUAGCUUGAUUCAGUUGAUCAAGAAGUCCAGAUAUUAAAGGUAGUGAAUACCUGUUUUUGAUGGUAAUCUUGUUGAGUCCUCGAUAAUCAACACACAUCCGCAAAGAUCCAUCUUUUUUCUUCACAAAUAAAAUUGGAGCUCCUGGUGGAGAUUUAGAAUGGCGUAUGAAAUUCUUGGCUAGAUUUUCUUCAAUAUAUUCCUUGAGUUUAGCCAACUCAUUUUGUGAUAAACUAUAGAUUGGUCCGAAUGGCGGUUGUGUUCCUUCUUGAAGGUCAAUUGAGCAAUCAUAGGGAUGAUGUUCCGAGAGUGUAUCCGCAUUUUUUUUUUCAAAUACAUCUUGAAAUUCUUGAUAUUGGCUUGGAAUGCCACUUGAAGUCUUUUCACCAGUAGAAACGGGUGUAGCAUAAAUAAUGUAUGAUGAUUCUUUCAUAGCAGUAUGUAAAAAAGCUUUCGCACCUAUAAAUACGGGUUUAAUUGAACUAGACUUAUGACUCUCUACUUGAUUAACUACACUAUUAGUUAUACUUUUAGAGAAAGUAAGAGUUCGAGAAAUCCAGUCUAUUUGAGGGUUAUAUUUUUCUAACCACGAUAAAUCUAAAAUGACUGGAUUAGAAGGAGAUCUAAUAAUAUUAAAUACUACAAAACUAUUAUGAUCAUUGAUUAUUACUUCUAUAGGAAGGAUUUCGUGAGUAAUAUCUCCAGAAGACAAUAGACGACCAUCUAUGACUUCUACAUGAACAAGUUUAGUUUUCUUUACUAAAGAUAUGCUAUGUCUUUUAGUAAAUUCUUCAUCUAAAAAAUACGCUGAGGCUCUUGAAACUAACAAGGCAAAGACUUUGUAAUGUUUAGGUCCUAAAAUAACAUUUAAUGUAAAACAAGGAGAGAGCUCUGAGGAGAGAAUAGGACCUUUACUAGAUGUUGUGCAAGGUUCCAGCCGCACGAUCCCUAUUGUAGCUGGACAAACUCGUUUUCUGACAUAUUGUCUUCUUUCACAGCCAUACUCCUCAUUUUGUGAUUGCGUCGUUUCUUUGGACAAUGUUGAGCAGUGUGCUUUGGUUCUCCACAAUAUAAACAUAAUCCUUCUUCACGACGACGAGUCUUUUCUUACUUAGUAAGAGGUUUGAAACGUACUACAUCAAUUUGCAUAUCCUCUACUUCCGAAUGUAUGUGUUGAAGAGAUGUUGGUGUUGCCAUUGAAUUACAGUAACGUUGAGGUUCACUUGUAUGGUUCUCAGAUCGGAAUUCAAAAAAGCGAUUGUCACACUUCACAGCAAAGUCAAUUGCUUGACUCAAUGUUUGAGGAUCAGGUAAGUUGAGCAUUAAUUUUUUUACCUCAUAUUGUAAUCCGUAGAAAAAUUCGCUAAUAAGUGCAGCAUCAUCCUACUUGAUAUCAGUUGCAAGUUGUUGAAAUUGUGAAGUAUAUAAUAUUACUGAUCGAUUGCCUUGUCGUAAAAUAUAGAUCUUAUUGGUUGCAACACGAAUUACAUCAUGCUCUCCAUACAUGGAUCGAAAUUCUGCCAAAAAAGCCUCUAGAUUAUCCAAUAUUGGAUCUCGUCGUUCAAGAAAAGAUGAAAACCAUGAUAGUGCUGAACCUAAAAGAAGCGUACGAAUGAAUCUAACUUGUGAUCUUGGAGUUGGAUAGCUUUGGGGUUGAAGUUCAAUCACAAGUUGCACUUGAUUGAUAAAUCCUCGAAACUUGGAUCUGGUGCCAUCAAAAUUCUCGGGUAGGGUAAUUCUUGGUUCUCUAAUAUUUGAAGGGCGUUCCACCAUAGGAGAAAGGGCAUGGUUUGGUACAGAUGUUGAAGCAACUCCAACCAUUUCUAUAUCUUCACUUCCUGCCAAUCUUGUUGCUCCUUGUGGUGGUAAAUUGAGUUGAUGUAUCGCAAGCAUUAACUCCCUCAAUUGCUCUUGCAUUUGUGCCAUUGCACUCUUCAUUUCGAGAAGUUUUGCCAUGAUAACACUUAGAAGAGAGAAGAUGUCUAAUAUCGCUCAAGACAAAUAGAAGAGAGGACUUGAGGACAAAGAAAAUGAUAAGGACAAUAUUAGUUUAGAAGAGGGUAAUCCGCAACUUCUAAUAUGCUUAUAUCUUAUCAAAAAAAAGGAGUAAUCUACUCUUAAUCAAGAUUAGACAAAGCUCUGAUAUUAUAGGUGUACUCUUGUCAAUCUAUCAAGGACAAGAACUUGAUGAAAAAACAAUUCAGACAAGUGAGCCUUCACUCAAAGAGAGGUAACAAAAUAUAUAUAAACAAGUAUAUAUAUUGAAAUAGAAACUGGAAUGGCUAUUGCCAAAAGACAAGAAAACUAGAGACCCUUGAAACUAGACUAGAAGCAAGAAAGGAGUUGACAAGAGUGAAGAAGCCUUCACUCUUGUCUCUAUAUAUACUAUCUAACUAGGGGCUACAUGGCGACGUUCUAUAGGACCUCCAAUAUGUGUUGACUUUGUAGGACACAUGCCUUGACUUACAAGACAAGUUUUUCUACAUGUGGGCCACAUAGUUAGCUUGAUCUUCAAGCUAACAACAUGUGUGGCACAUGGCCAACUUGUUGACCACGUUUCUAAUCCAAAAAGUCAAUUAAAGACACCUAUGAAGUCAAAGCAGCAUCUAAGAAGCUUCUAAGAAGCUUCCAUAUUAAAUAUUAUAGAAUUAACUUACUUUUACCUACUUUUACUUACUUCUACCUAUUUGUAUAUGUAAUUAUUAGCUUACAUGAUUAUGGCCGUGACAAAAAUACAAGUGGAGCAAUGAAAUUCUCAUUUUGAAGGAUUUUACAAGAAUUUCUAAGAUCUUUGUAGGUAAAAACUUUCAUAAAAGUUACAAUUGAGCAUGGAUUUAGGCAUGUGAGUAGUUGAUUUUUGCAUAAAAAGGUGUUUUGAAUACAAUGUUGAAGUUAGAUUUAUCAAAAGGUGCCUUAUUGACUACUUACAAGAAUCGUGAGCCGUAGUAACGAAAUUGGCUCUUGGAUGAAUGAUGGCCAUAGAUCUAUAUUAGGGACCUUAGAAAUCAAGGGUGGAAAUGUGGCCACCUUUUUAAAAUCCACCACUCAAUUGUAUAAGAGUGGCUUGGUUCUCCAAGCCCUCUCUCUCUCUCUUCUUUUGGUAAAGGGCAAAGCUAUGUCGAAUUUUGGUCCUAAACCUUAAUGUUAAUUUUGUUUUUGAUUUUUAAUUUAAUUGUGAACUUGUGGUUGUAUAUGCAUGGAACUUAAGUAGUGAAUGAUGGUCAUUGGGAUUUAAGACAUAGAUCACUUUGGUAGAUAGCUCCUUCGGCCUUCCAAAUAUUCCAAAGGUUCAAGAGCCUUGGAUUUCCCUCAAUCAGUCAUUUAAUUUUUUAAAUUUUUAUGUGAUUUUUUUUUAAUUUUAGAUUUUGGUGUUAGUUUUCCAACAUAAUAAGGAUCGCUUAAUUUGGAGUAAGGACAAAAUUUUGGUAGAAUUUUGAGUAUGCAAGGGUCGGCUGCCUUGGCAGUUUAGAUCUCCCAUCUUUAAAAAUGCAUUUCUCAAUGCUUCCUAAUUUGAUUAUUGUGAAAAUUUGGAAAUAAGAGCACCUUUAAGUUGAGCUUCUAAUGGCAUGAAUUUCACUGAAUUAAAAGAAAAAUUUAAUUUUUAUUAAUUUUCAAGUGGAGAGAGGUUGCCUACUAUAGCAAUCUUAGUUACUCAACUUUGAAGGAGCUAAAGUAUUAGAUUAAAUUUAAAUUUAUUAGAAAAGGAGCACCUUUAAGUUAAAUUUCCAAAAAACGAAAAAUUAUUCAAUUUGGACUUAACCACAAAUUUUGGCAAAUUUUGGAAUAGAAAGGAGUUGAUACUUUUAAUUCUUGGAUGUUAUCAAGGUACCUUUGCUUUUAUCUCUCUUUAGUUCUACUUUUACUUUUAUUUUUACAAUAAUUUGUAACUUUCAUAUUUCAACUUUUAGAUUUUAAUUUUUAACUUUUAAUCUUUAAUCUUCUUUUUUCUUUUACUUUUAACUUUUAUUUUUGAUUUUUACUUUUAACAUUUAAUUUUUUUAUCUUUUUUUUAUUUAUAUUGGUAAUCAUUGCUUAGAAGGCUUAAAGUUAAUUGAAUUGUUAAUACUAAGAUUUAAAUCAUCUUAGCAAUUACACAAUUAGGAGUUCUUCUAUUCCACCUCUUAAACUUAUUGUACAGCAUUAGUUUCAUUGAGUAAUGAAAUUUGGACUCACAACAAGCAUGAAAUCUAAGGAUUUGUAGUAGCUUCAUCAUAAUUUAAUUUGAUAAAUUUAAUUUAUAAAUAUUGCUACAGUAAAAAAAAGAUUGGUUAAUAAUAUAAGUUAUCAUUGAGGAAGUUCUAGCGCUGAUAAAAUUAUGAGAGGCAAUUGGCUUACUCUAUAUGAUAAAGAUCCCAAAGAAAAUAUAGUAGGAGCAAUAAACGCAUAAUUGAAAUGUAAGCCUCUUUUCCAAUUUUCAUGUAAAAUAAAAAUGACCUAUUGGCUACAAGCGUGGUAUCGAAAAUUCUUAGUCUUGCUAAAUUCUAGUAAACUAGAUACUAUUGAGCUACAAACUUAUACACUGUAAUAAGAUGCUUUAAUAAUUGAGCAAAGUAUCAAUUAAUCUAAUUGCAACCAAUCAUGCAUCUUGAUUGCAACUAUCCUACACUCAACUUGCAAUAUAGCUUCUAUCAACAUCAAGACUCAAAAUCAUGUACAAAAUGACAACUAUGGGACUAGAAUAUGGUUGGAACAUCAUCGCCAAGUAGGUACCCUAAGUUUGAUUGAUCAAAAUUAUUGAUUAAACAAUAGGACACUCAAACAUGCACCAAAGCAAAAGAAAGGAUUCAACAUAGCCGAGCUGAAGCUACAUGAUACUAAAAAUGCACAACAACUAAAACCAGGGCCUCUAAGUUGUAGCUCUGUAGCAGUAGAGCAUUGCCACUUGAAUCCAGUUCUAGAAAAUAGGUGUGGCUUGUGCAAUGUUUUCCUCCUGAAAUAUCCCAAAGGCCUGUCACUGGCUUUUUGUAUUUGUGGCUUAAGCUUCGUCAUCUGACUAGGCUCUUGUUCAUCGAUUUGUACCUUAAAAUAUUAUUGUGACACAGACAAUAUUGGAGUGUUCCAACUAGCUCCGCCACAUAGUUGUGCAACAAGAUCAGAAGUACUGUCCAAGAUUUUAGCAGGGUGGUACCUUGCUAUUUGUGAGUCUCCAGUCUCAUGCAUGAUCUUUCAUAACACUAUGUGACUCUUAAACGCGCUGACUUUUGGAAGGCUUUGAAGGAUCUUUUAGUCAAGGCGCAUGGUGAUUUAGCAUUUUGAAUGGCUGAGUUAACUUGCUGGAGUUGCGUCAUUGCUACAGUUAAAAAUAAAUUCACUUGUCUUGGUAACCAGCUAAGUUAUAUUUUUGCAGACAUCUGGAUUCAGGUUUUAAGUUUAUGACAGAUGCCUCCUGUAGUUGAAUUUGGCUUUUGUUCUUGAAUUUUCCGUCGGGUUUAGGUCUAGUGGUAUGUUUGGAUGUAAGUUGUUGCGGGUGCUUCCCUGCAUGCGAAGUUAUCAGUAUUGAUCAGUAUCGACAAUGGAGGUUUCACGAAUGUACAGUGUGCUCUUGAAGUCUGAGUGGAUUGGAGCUUUGCAAUAAAACCAUAGUGGUUCGUGAGGUGGAAGUUAUUGCGUGACAGUAAUCUUUAGAGGAGUGACAUGUCCAAUGGAUUGAUACGAGUCGCUCGCAUCUAAGAGCGCAGAGGUAACCUAGGUCUGUUGUGCCCAUCUCACUUCCAAUUACCCAUGGCUGAAGGCCCUUGGUACAAGUGGGUUACCGAAAGCUUCCGAUGAAUAAUAGAUAAUUUGAUGUACGAAGUGUUAUCUCGUGUUUAUCAGUUAUUGACACCGUUUGCUUGUUUGAGAAGCAGGUGUAAGCGCAACUGAUCUCCUUGUCAAGGAUGCAGCUCUAAUGUCGUCAAGCAUCAUGAAGUUCGGAGGAGAGGAAAUUCAGUCAGAAGUACUAGUUCACAAAUUCUAGAUUUAUUUAUUUAUUUAUCAAAAGUAACAUCUCUUUUGUCUUCGAUUCUGAUGAACUCUGCGUAGGAAGUACCCAGGCCAGGAACAACUGAAACACGAGGAAUCCCAAAACUCUUACCUUGUGGAAUGCAUGUGAGGUUUCCAAACCUGUGAUUUCUCUUGUUCAAGUUUGCUGUGAUAGAUAUGGCGUUUACAGAAAUUCGACUUACAAUGUUGAAAAAGUGUUGAAAGUUUUUGGACCUUCGUAGACAUUUGACUGCAAGCAAACAUACUUGCCUACAGUGGAAUCAUCAACUUCACACUGACGGGAGGCAAACCUGGUCACAAUUAUGCUUGAUUUCUUUUCUAAUGAUAGGUUGAUAGUUAAAAGUCUGAAGCUAGAUUGAUUGUGUUCCAUGAGAAUCGUCAAAGAGAACGUCAGUUGAAGCUGAAUGUAAUUGUACAUGCUUUGGUUUAUGUCUGCUGCUGUCAUCUCGAUGGGUUUAAAGGAAAAAAAACACUUGUAUCGCAGAUUAAUAUUCUCUUUUUAAAAAUAAUUAGAAUUUUUUAUCUUAAAAAAAAAAAAAAAAUUAAUUAUUAAAAUUUAUCUUUAUCACAUUAUUUAAGAUAAGUUUGAUUAUUAUUAUGUUUCUAUUAGAUCUAUAUCUAAUUUAAUUUGAAAACCAAAUAAGAGUUUAAAUAAAAGAAAAAAAAUAACUAAUAAGUAUACAAAAAAUAAAAAUAAAAAUUAUGAAGUAAAAUUUAUCAAGUAAAAUUUACCAAUAUUUUAUUAGUCAAAUACUUAAUCCAAAAUAAUAGAUUAAAAAUUAUUGUUAUGUAUAUGAAAAUAUGAUACAAUAACUAUGAUUUGAUAUAUUAAAAAUUGAAUGCAAUAAAGGUUUUAACAAUUGAAAAAAGCAAAAUAAUUAUAUUAUUUGUAAAAAAAAGUUGAAGUUGGAAUAUUUUUGAGUCAUAUAAAUAUUUAGCAUAAAUCUCAAAAUAUUUUAUUAUGUAGAUAUAAAGAAAUCUAAAAGUCCUUUUCAGCUUAAAUGUAUGUAUCACAUAUCAAAAUAUCAAGUUAUUACAUGUCUAUAUGAUUAAGAAGAAAUUUUAAUAUAUAAAAUAAUUUUAUUAUUAAUGAUGAUGUUUAUAUAAUUUAUGAAAUAAAAUCAUUAUUUUAAUAUAUAUUUACAUAUCAUUAUAUGUAUAGAUAAGCAUGGAGUUUCUAGUAGAAUGGUGGUAGAUGCAAGUUACAAUGGAAUGUUUUGAAUUUCUUACUGUAAUCUUAGAUUUGUAAUAGAAUUUUUUAGCCUACCACAUAUGCUCCAAAAAGAUACAAAAAGGAGGAGAAAAAUAAAAGUGCAAGAUCAAAAGACAUAAUUUCUGUAAUUUUAAAAUAAAUAAUAGCCUAGUAUUUAAAAUAUAGUGUUAUGGACAUACAUAUUUAUUUUAAUAAUUACAUAUAUAAUUAAGUAAAAAUAGUAAAAGUAGAUUUAUUUUCUAAUAUUUUCUAAAAAAACUUCUUAAAAGCUUCAUAAACAUUGUUUUGACUUUAUAUAUGUUUAUAGUUGAUUGAUAGAUUAGAAACUUGGUCAACAAGUUAAUAAUGUGUUGGUAGGUGUCAACAAGUUAAUAAUGUGUUGGUAGGUGUCAACAAGUUAAUAAUGUGUUAACUAUGUGGUACACAUAUAAAUAACUUGCCUUACAAGUUAAGAUAUGUGUCUUGCAAAGUCAACUUAUUUUGGAGGUCUUAUAGGAGAUACUUUUUAGUCUUCUUAUCUUUAGCAAUAGCCAUUCUAAUUUAAUACCAUACUAUCUUUAAAUGAUUUUUUAGUCUUUUUAAGUGGCAUAUGAGUGUAUUAAUAUUUUAAUUUUUUGAGAUUCAUAUCCUUAACAGUUUGAGAAGAGUAUUAAUUCAUUAUUCUUAUCUUAUUUUAGAAGUGAGUAGAUUAUCUCACUUCUAUUGUUGUAUUUUGAAGGUUGGAGAUUACCCACCUCUAAAAAAAUUAUUUAAUUUUCUAAUAUGAUUUUUUUUUUCUUUAAAGUAGAUUAUCUCUCUUUAUAGAAAUUUUUAUUCAGUAUUAGAGGCUGUGGAUUAUCUUCUUCUAAUUUGACUUAUUAAUUUGUUAAGUUAUUUGAAAUAGAAGGAAAAAUUAUAGAUGCUAUAUUUGAUAGAAGUGAGAAUAGAUCUGUAACUAUUACAGAUCUUCACAAACUUCUCAAUAUUUUCAGAGUAGAAAUUUCAUGCAUCACUAGUGCCAACCAUGGAAAUAUUAAUCCUAUGCCUAUAAAAGAAGUUCAAAAUCUACAGCAAGAAGUUGUACACUUGAAGAAAGCAAGUAAAUUGACCUUACAAUUAAAUCUAAGAAGUUUUGUUUCUACAAAUAUGAUCGAGACACAAAUCAAUAUGCCCCAUAAGUUUAAUAUAACAAGAUCAAAAUUUCAAGGAUUUUUGCAACAAAUCAAAUUCUAUUUAAAAUUGCAUCUUUUUUAAUACUUUAAUGGAUUUAUUCAAGUUGAAUUGAUAGAUAGACUUUUAUUUAGAAAUAAUUUCUUUUAAUUUAUAUUAUUAAUAGAUAAAGAUUUAUAAUUCAUUUAUGAUUUGAAUUUAUUUUUAGAAAUAUUUAUGGCUAUAUUCAAAGAAAGUGAUUGAAAAAGAGUAGCAUUGAUCAAGCUCUUAUCUUUACAACAAGGAUCAUAGUCAGCUACCAUAUAUGUUGCUGAAUUCUAAAACCUUGCUUAUAACAUGGAUUAAAAUGACAAAGCCUUCAUCAAUCAAUUUUGAUAUGGAUUGAAGGAUGAUAUUAAAGAUUUAUUAUUGACAAUGCCAAAAGCAGAAUCUUUGAAACAAUUUAUUGAUUAAGCCAUUGCAUGUGACAAUCAAUUAUUUGAAAAGCAUCAAGAACAAAGACUUGGCUAGAGAAGAAUAAGCCAAAUAAUCAUGGUAGCUUUUAAAUUUUUAAAAACUUAUUUAUUAAAGCCAAAACCAAUGCAAAUUGAUACAAUAUAUUUUAAAUCCCUCACUGAGCAAGAAAAGACUUGAUGUUGUUGAAAAAACCUGCUCUUAUAUUGUGAAGAGGCUAAGUGCAAGUUACUUAACAUUGUCCAAAAAAACAAUGCAAUCACAAAAAGAGGAGUAUAAUUGCUAAAAAAGACAAUUUGUUGGAAAAUAAGUUUUUUUAACUACAAUAAAAAUCAUGCAGUUGGAAUCAUAUACAACAUCUAUUAAAGGUCACAUUUUCUUUUCAGAUUCUUUAUUUUAUUUUACAAUAGAUAUAUAUUCAGGACCUUGAAAUCAUAAAGUCUUUGCAUUAUUAGAUUCAAGAGCCUCAGCUUAUUUUAUAGACAAAGACUUUGUGAAGAAACAAGCAAUGUCUUUACUCAAGAAAAUUAAAUCCAUAUAUAGAAGUCAAAGAUGGUUUUUUAUUUCUUUCUAGAGACAUUAUUCAUGAAACCAUUCUUUUAGAUGUAACAAUUAAAGAUCAUAAUAUUGAAGUAAUAUUUAAUGUAAUAAGAUCUUCUUUCAAUCUAAUUAUUUUAGAAUUAUUAUGGUUAAAAAAAUAUAAUCUUCAAGUAGAUUGGAUUUUUCAUAACCUUAAUUUUUCUUAUAGUUUAAUUUAAAAUCUAGAUAAUGAAGUAGAAAUAGAUAAGCCUAAUAUGUUCAAAUUCUUACUAGUAGGUACAAUAGUUUUUAUGUAUGUAGCAAAAGAAGGGCCAUCUUUUGUUAUAUAUGCCACAUCCAUUUCUAAUGGUGGAAAAAUAUUAAGUAUUAUUUUUAGCCAAUAUUAAGAUUUUUAAGAUAUUUAUGAAAAAAAAAUACAGAUAUUCUUUCAAAGCAUUGUUCUUAUGAUUGAACAAUUGAUCUAUAAGAAGGAACUCAACCACUAUUUGGACCAAUCUAUAGUUUAUCAAAAAAUGAAUUGGCUGCACUAAAGUACAUUGACUUGGUUAAAAACUUCAUACUCUAUUUGAAAUCUCUAGUAGGAGCUCCUAUCUUAUUUGUAAAGAAAAAAGAUAAAUCUUUACAGAUAAACAUAGACUAUCAAGGACUUAACAAGAUCAACUACCUUUGAAAAAUAUUUUCAACUAUUGUUGUUUUGAAAUAUCCAUACCUAAUUUAAAAAAUAGUCUUCCACUCAUCUCCUUCUUUGAUGUGAAUUAAGUUGUAUGCUCUUUGUAACUCUAUUUUAGUAUAGAUCUUUAUUUGAUUGAGUUGGUCAAUAAGUCUUGAAAUCAAAGGUAGGAGAUAUUGUUGAAAAUAUUUGAGGUAUAUCAUUAAUUAUCAUCAAAAUGAUUGAAAAAUUCUUUUUUCAUUGAUAGAAUCUACAUAUAAUAAUUUGAUAUAUUCUUCUACUCAAUAAAUAUUUUUUUUUAUCAAUUAUGGUUAUCAUCUAUGAUUUAAUAUUUUUGACUUUUCAAAAGUUGAUAAUUCUAUGGUAGAAGAUUUGAAGGAUUAUUUUUAAGAGCUAUAUGCAACAAUGAAGGCACAAUAAAAUGAUGCUGAAGAAUAAUAAUAGAUUAACGUGAAUGCUUAUUCCAAGGAAGAACCACAAUUCAAUGUAGAUAAUAAGAUAUGGCUAUUUUGUCGCAAUAUCAAGACUAAUCAUCCUUAUAAUUAGUUGGACUAUCAUAGGCUUGAAUCUUUUCAUAUUAAUCAAUAAUUUAAUUUUUUUUAUUGAUUAAAUCAAAUAAAGUCUAUAAAGAUCCAUCUUGUAUUCUAUGUAUCUCUUUUUGAGUCAUAUAAGAUAAUAAAUAUCUUUAAAAAAAGACAAAUGCCAUCUCUUCUUGUAGAAAUAGAUAGUAAUCAAAAAUUUGAGAUAGAAGAAAUGUUAAAUUCAAAUCAAUGCCAAAAUAGGUUAGAAUAUCUUGUUCAUUGGUAUAAAGAUGAUAUUAGUAAACUUACAUAGAAGUCAACAAUCUUUUUUUGUAAAUACAACAAAGAAGAUAGAUGUUUUUCAUUGACAACAUCUAUUAAAAUUAAGAUGAAGAAUAAUAAAUCUUUGUUAUAAAAAAAAAAAAAAAAAAAAAAAAAAAAAAUUGAAGAAAGAUAGCAUUCUAAUUUCUACUCUUAUUUGGUACUUUUAUACAUUUGAGGAAAUAAAAAAUCAACAACCAGUGAAUUUAAUUCAAGAGCUAUCACUUGUUAACUUAUCAAAUGAGACAUUGUGAUUGUCACAAUCUUUGAGACGAUGUAAUUGAGAUGAAGAUCAUCAAGAACAAUAAUUUUUUCUUAUAUAGAUGGUAAGAUAUAAUGUGUUUGAUAUCACAACCUUAGAAGAAACUUCCAAUUUUAUUAGAAGUUGGAACAACUUUUAAUAAUAUUUCAAAUGUUUUAUUUUAAAAAAGUUACAAAGGCCUCAACAACAAUGAAAUAAUAGGGUGGUCUUCUUAUCUUGGUAUGAGAUAUUACUAAUAGCUGAAAGGACCUAUUAACCAUCUACAAAGAGAACAAAGAUUAAAGUAUGUACCAAACACAAUUUUUUGUAUCUUAGAAUUUUUCAACAUAUGAUGCUUGCUUCUUAUGGAACUUAUUCCUAAAAGAAGAGGUAAUAUUAUGGAUAUACAUAUUUAUGUUAACAAUUACUUAUAUGAUUAAAUAAAAAUAAGUAAAAAUAAAUUUAUUUUAUAAUAUUUUUUAGAAUAGCUUCUUAGAAGCUUCACAGACAUUGCUAUGACUUUACAUAUAUUUAUAGUUGAUUGAUAGAUUAGAAACUUUUUCAACAAGUUAAUCAUGUAUUAAUAGCUUGCAAAAUAAGUUAACUAUGUAGCACAUAUAUAAAAACUUGUCUUGCAAGUUAAGAUACAUGUCUUGCAAAGUCAACAUGUUUUUGAAGAUUUACCGGACAUUGCGAUAUAGCUCCUAGUUAAGAAUUUAUAUGGAAGCAAGAGUAAAGCUUUCUUCACUCUUGUAAAUGCCUAUCUAAUCUUUAGUCUUAUUUCAAGGCUUUUUAGUCUUCUUGUCUUUAACAAUAGUCAUUCUAAUUUAAUAUUAUACCAUCUUUGAGUGAUUUUGUAGUCUUUUUAAGUUGCAUAGGAGUAUAUUGAUAUUUUGGUACUUUGAGGUUCAUGUCUUUAACACAUAGAUAAUCAAAAAGAAAUUUAAAAUUUUAUAAUCCAAUUUUGUCUCAAGCUUAUGAUAAUAUUAUUGGUAGCAUUAUUAAUACAUUGUUGUGUUGUGAUUUGGCUACUAUGUAAAAAUAAUGCACAUAAAUAUUAAAUAUGUAAUUUUCUAUAUAAUGUACUAAGGGCCACAUUAUUAGAUUUUAGGUAGUUACAAAAUAUGGUUAGAUUACUACUUUGAAGUAAUUAGUUUAAAAAGGCAAUCAUUUAAAUUGAUUUUAUAUUGAUAAUAGUUUUAUAUAUUUAGAGCCACCUUUAUUAGACAUUGGUGAUUCUUAAAUUUUUAUUUUGUUUCUUUUAUUUAGUGUUUAAGGCCUAUACUAUGUAGAUCUUAUAAGAAAAAGAAAUGGAGAUGGAUUUUGGUAGCAAAAAAAGUAGUUAGGAUAUCUAUAUGGAUGAAUGGAGAUGGAUGAUAAAAAUCUCCAUUCUUAUUAGCCAAAAUUCAUGUCCAAUGGACUUCAAGGAGUCUUAUCAGGAAUUAGGAUUACUCUUUUGAGGUGAUUUGAACUUAAAAGAUUAGGAUUAAAGAAUUUAGGUUUUUGGCUAUGGUUUUGGUGCAAAUUUUGGAUGGUUAGGAGUUUUUGUGAAAGAAACAUAGGCGCUUAAAAUUAAGGUGUUGAUUUUGUAUCUACUUUCACUCUUUUGGAUAUAACGAAAGCUUAUGAAAAACAAUCAAGGAUAAAAAAAAAUAGGGAUUUUAGAUAAUACUUUUUUAACUACACUUUUCAUAUAUUGUUUAAUAAAUUUAAGGUAGAAUAAAAGAAAAAUAAGAAGUUGAAGUUAGAAUUUAAAAUUUAAAGGCAAUAAGUUACCUGAUUUAUGAUUGUUUGUGUUUUUAGCUAUAUCUUCUAAAACAUUUUUCUCCAAAAAUCAUAAAUCUAGUUGUAUUUUGAGCUAUAUCUUUAUCAAUUUGAUAAGAUUUUGGCUAAAAAAAUUUAAAAAAUAUAUAUUAUCAUAUUAUUAAACUUUAUAUUUAAAUUUUGUAGUAUUUUGAUCUUGGAAUUUUAAAUAUAGAGAAAAUGGUAUUUGUGUACUUGUAAAUUAGGAUUUAGAGCACUUGCUAGGAUUUCUAAGAUGCCAGAUGAUAUGUAGUACAUUUAUAAUUCAUUUUUUUGUAAUAAAUCUUAAGGAUAAAUUCUACAUCAUCUAAAAAUUUAAAAAAUAAUGAAUAAUUGGAUCAAGAGAUAUGAUUUUCUAAAGUUUAGAGAAAAAAAAUCCUUUGGGAGAAAAAAAUAUUUUAGAAUGGUUUUGCAACAAUUUGGGCAUUGUAUGCAAAAUAAAGGGGGUUUUGGAAGCCAAGACUUCAUAUAUAUGUGAAAGAUAGAAAUAUAGAGCUAUAACAAAAUCAGAAUAUAAAGAUAGAUUUUUGUAAGGAAAUUAUAGAUUUUCCUUGAACUUAUUAAAAAUCAAGCUUAUCAAAAAAUGAUUUAGUUAUGAUUUGGUAUAAUAAAGGAUGUUAGAGUAUUUUUAGAUACUUUAGAAAGCCUUAUGUAUAAACUUCUUAAAUAAAAAAGAAUUUUAUUAAUAGAAUAUCUUUUGAUAUUAUUGUAUUUAUUUGGUUUCUAUAAUAAGAAUAUAUUAUUUAUUAGAACUUAUCUGAUAAAUUAAAGUUAAACUCUCUAUAGCUACAUAUCUGAUAUAUUUCUAGAUUAAAAAUCAUGCCACACGAUAAUAUUGUUUAAAAUGAAGUUGGCAUAAAUUUGGUUUAUAAUUGCUUGUGCAAUAAAUUCUAUCUAGAAAUAAGAUUAAUGCUUGUCAAGAAUUGUGUUCUUUCAAAACUUUUCUAGAGAUUUCUAGCUCACUUGAUUGUUUUAAACUUUACUUUGUAGAUUGUUUUAAUUGAGUAGAAUUCAAUUCAAGUAAUGUUGUGGUAAUGACAUAGUAAUAAAAAAAAAUGUGAUGCAAUUUUAAUACUAAUUCAUUAGUUUCUUUCAAAUUCAACCAAAAUAUUUUUUAAUGACACUAGUUUAUAUGAUUAUAUUACAAAUAUAGCUAGUAAUAAUAUUAUACUAUAUAUAUACAUAAGAUGCAUAUUUGGAUUUUUUAAUGAAAUCAAAUACAUGCCACAUAUAUUUUAAGUAUAUAUGGAUAUUUUUUAUUAGUCAUUAUAUUGCAGAUAUAUAUAUAUAUAUAUAUAUAUAUAUAUAUAUUUAAUUAGAUUAAAGUAAUUAAAUAGAAAUAAAUAAAACUAAAUAAAUUUGAUAAUAUCUUAUAAAGAAGCUUUAUAGAUGUAAUUUAAUUUUAUAUGUAUUUAUAGGUGAUUGGUAGAUUGAAAACUUGGCCAAAAAAUUAACCACAUAUUAUACCUAUUGGCCACUUGUGUUAAAAGUUUGUUCUAUGGCAUAUAUAUAGAACUUGUUUUCUAAAUUUGAUAUAUAUUUUACAACUUACAUAUGUAUUAAAGGUCCUAUAGAACACCACUAUAUAGCUCUUAGUUAGAUAGUAUAUAAAGAGGCAAGAGUGAAGCCUUCUUCACUCUUGUCAACACCUUUUUAAUUCUUAGUCUUAUUUCAAGAGUCGUUAGUCUUUUUCGCUUUACCAAUAGCCAUUUGAGUUUCAAUAUUUUAUUAAUUUUGAGUGAAUAUUUAUUCUUUCCAAGUGAUACAAGAGAGUAUUGAGGUUUUAUUUGUUGGAUUCAUAUCCUUGACACAUUAAAGGAUACCAUGAGAAAUAAAAAUUGAAUUUUUGAAAGUACUCAAAACUACUUAUAUCACAUUAAGAACAAAUUUAUUGUUAAUUCUCACUUGGUUAUUAGUCUUUAAUAUUAUUUUUAAGUAUAGUAUCCUAGAAGUUCUAAAAAAGUUAUAAAUAAAAUAAAAUUAUACAUGUAUUUUAUAUUUUUUGUUUUUAUUUAUUUAUUUAUUUUAUAUAUUUUUACAGUUUAUUUUGAUAAUCUUAAUAGCUAAGAUAGUAGAAAUAAAGAAUGUUAUAAAAUAUUUGGAAGAAUAAUUGAAGUUUUUUGAAGUUAUAAAAAAACAUUUAUUUAUGCCACUAUAAACAAUAAAUAUUAUUUUCUAGGAAAUCUUUAUACCUAAACGUCAAUUUUGAAAGGCCAUCAUUUAAUAUCUUACAAAGAAUUUUUAAUUGAUUAAAAAAAUCUCUCUUGUAGAAGCUUUAACUUUUAAAUAUAAUAUAAACUUCAAAGAGGCUAUAAAAUAAAUUAAAUUAUUUCAAAUUAUAAAUUAUAAAAAGUAUAUAUAUAUAUAUAUAUAUACAAUUAUUUUUCUAAAAUAAAUCAUAGAAUUUUUUAUAUAUUUUUAAAAAUAAUAUUUUAAAAUAGAUUUAAUAGAAGUUUUAAGAGAAAAAAUUAUUUAUGCUAUGUAGGAAAAAAGGGCAUUCCAUUUUAUUUUUUUUUAAAUGGAAUUUAGACUAAUUUUUUUAAGUAUAUAAGUUAACUUUGUAAGACCUUUCAAUUUCAAUUAAUAAAAGGAUUCAAAAGUAAUAGCCUCUUGUUGUGUUUCUUAUAUAUAGAGUUUUUCUUAUCAAAAUUUAUUUAUUAUUUUUUUUUAUCAAAAUAAUUAAAUUUAAAUUUAUAAUUUUAUUCAAUCACAAAUACAUACUUUUUACAAUUAAAGGAUUAUAAGUUAGAUUUAAAAAAAAAAAAAAUUAGAUUAAGAUCUAAAUUUUAAAUAUUUAUCAAUUAAGUAUAAAUUGUAAUUAAAUUUUAAAUUAAAAGCUUUUUAGUUCAACUAAUUCAAAUCAUAUUUAUUAAAGCUUUUAUCAAAGGAUUUGAGUUAUUAAAAUUUGUAUUAUAUUUGAAGUAAUAAUAUUAUAUUUACCUUAAAAUUUAAAUAAGAAAGUAAUAUAUUUUAAAAUAAUCCUUUAGUUACUUUUAAAAUUACUUACAAAAGCACUAACAUAAAUUAAAUUUACAAGUAAUUAUUUUAUUAGCAUUGACUAUUAUUAUUAAAUUUAAAGGUCUAUAAAUCACCUUUGAAAAGAUUGCUAGAUAUUGUAUGAAGAAAUAAUUUUAAACACAUACAACUCUUUUAAAUUACAAAUUCUUAUCUAUUUUUUAUAAUAUAUUGUAAAAAAUCAAUGUUUUAAAUAUAAAUUUUAGAUUAUUUUUUAUCUUUGUGGAUAGUUUUUAGAAUCUUAUUGUAAAAGAUUUAAAUAUUAAAAAAAUUUAUAAGAUUUAAUUUUUAAAAUUUUAAACUAAUAUGUAAAAAAAUAAUUAAUAACUACAUUAAUAAAUUUUACAAAUUUUUUAACAGAUUUACUAAUUGGUUUCGCAAAAAAUCAUUAAUUGAAAAGUUUUUGUAAGAAGUUUCUUCUAGAACCUUGGAUAAAUAAGAUAUUAAAAGCUGAGAUUACAAGUUCUUAAUCUUGCAAGUGGUGUAAAUACAAACAAAACAAAGGCCUUGAUAGGUUUUUUUUCUUGAUUUUACUUAGCUUAUAAGUAUUCUUGUAUCUUAAUAAUGAGCAAUUAUUUUUUGUAUUUAGAAAUUUUUCUUUCUCUCUUUUUUAAUACUUUUUAGUCAUUUUUUUCUACAAAUUAUAAAUAUAUAAUUAAAAUCAUAAGUUAUGGCCUCAAUAAUUAGUUUCUAUGAUUUGAUUUGAAUCAUUUCUAAAGAUUAAAUUUACCCAAUGCUUUUACAUUAUAUAUUCUCAUUUUUUGAAGUUGUACAUAUGAUGUAGAAAAAUCAUAAAGGAAUGUACAACAAUUAGUUGUAAGGUUUGGACACCUUUUAUUGGAAUUUAUGUAGAUAUCCAUAUUGAAAUAAGUAAUGUAGUGACUUUGUAUUUUUAAUUGAUGCACAAAUGGAGACAUUUGAAAAGACAAUAAAUACAUGCAAUAGAAUCAGAGAAGUGUUAAAUAGAUCUAAGUUUUUACUAAAUCAAUCCAUCCAUCCUAACAUUCAUGAAAAAGAAUCAUAACCUUAGGAUUCAUUUCUAUACUAUUAAAUUUGUAACUAAUAAAAACCAACCACAUGCACCAUGAUUACCAUUUUCUUCAUCAAAGGUGGGUUUCUUUAGUAAAAGCAUGGGUCUAUUUAACAUUCCUCUAAAAUAAUUAUAUUUUAAAUAAUAUUUUAUUAAAACAAAAAAUAUAAUUAUUUUAUACAUUUACUAUUAUUUUGUAAAGUCUCAUUUUGUUUGUUUGUUUGUUUGUUUUUUUUUUUUUUUUUUUUUUUUUUGGUAAUUAGGAUUUUUUUAUGUAUAUAAAUUUUUUAAUAUAAAUUUUUUAUUUUUUAUUUUAUAAUAAUUAAAUUGUUCUUAACAAUUAGUAAAACAAAUUCUAAUUUUUUUAUGUAUUCAUAUUUUUUUGAGCUUUAAAAUAAUGAUUAAUAAAACUACAAUAGAUUGUAAUCUUGAUUAUGUGGAAACUUAUACAAAACUCAUAUUUAAAUGCAAAGCACCUGAAGAUUUAAUUGAAACAACAUCUAUUUCUUGACUGUAACUGUGUUUUAUUCAAAAUGACUAGUGAUUGCAGUGUAUGUUUCAUUUGGUGUUGAUUUUAAUUACAGGACUAUAAUUUGAAUGUAUAUAUCAAAGAGCAUUUUAUUUCAAACCAUGGAUUUCAUUGCUAGCUACACGACUUUUAUUAUAUUCUGUGGGAUGAAUAAAAAACUUGCUAAAAUCAUCAUCAACACUAAUAAAACUACAAAACUAUUAACUUUAAUGCUGUAUAUUCAACUAAAUAAAUAAAUGAAAGCUAAUAAAAAUUAUUUGUGGCACUUGAGUUUGAUAAUAUGGUGGUUUGAAAAUUAUAAGAAAUAUUACAUUAUACAUAUUUAUACACAAUUUCUGUAAACAACUUCGUACCUAUUAUUUCGUCUAAAAUACCAUUUCAUCAUUAUUGAUUUUAUUAUUAUUAUUAUCAUUAUUAUUAUUAUUUUAAUGUAAAAUUAGUUUGUUUUAGUACAAUGUUUUUAAUUUCAAUUUUAACUCAUACAACAAAAUGACCACUCAAAUGCAAUUCAACAUCUCUAAUUGUAAUACCAUUAUUAUGAUACGGUAAAUAAAAUUUAAAAACAGUAUAUAUAUAUAUAUAUAUAUAUAUAUAUAUCUAUCUAACUAUGAUCCACACACCACUCAAUUUUGCACAGCAACAAUAACAAAAGAAUAGUAACAUUUUCUUAUAUUUUAAAAUAUAGAAAUUCAUCGUUGGAAACAUUUGAUAGGUGGAGUUCCAAGAAAAAUCACAAUUGUAAUAAUAAAAAUAAAUAAAUAAACAAAUAUUAGACUGAAGCCUCAGAAUGUCACAACAAGAAGACGAGGUCGAUCCUUGUGGGGAAACAUGAACGGGAGGAGAGGCGCAGUGUGAACGGGUCUCCAGAAGUGGAUGAAUGAAGUUAGGGUUUUCGGAAGACUGGCAUAAACGCUAGAACGGGGAACCCUGAUUACUCUUCCCUUCCGCCUUGCAGCUCGACGAGCUCCCCGUUCGCCAUCGCCAUCGCCACGACCUGCCUGAGGUGAAAAGCGAAGGUCCGUCACUAUGGUGCAGCGACUGACGUAUCGGCGUCGCCACUGCUACGCCACUAAGUCCAACCAGACCCGUGUUGUCAAGACCCCUGGUGCGAACACUCAUCCCCUCGCUCUCGCCACUCUUUUAGGUCAUUGUUGCCCUUGGAUCUCCCCUGAGUUUGUGCUUGUUGCGACUCAUCGGUGGAGAAAAAUUGGCUGAAGGGUUCUCUGGUUGUGUACGUAGGUGGCAAGAAUGUCUUCCAAACCGCCACGAAGAGGGCGAGAGGACCCAAGUGUCCCGUCACUGGGAAGCGAAUUGCCGGGGUGAGAACUGUGUCCUGUGUAUGUGUAUUAUUUUCUGGUCUUUUUGAGGUGCAACGGGCUGGGUAGGUUAGGUUUUGAAUUUGGAGUGGGUUCGUCAAUCCGGUGCAAUUGUGUUGGAGAAUUAGUGAAGUUAUUGCCUGUGCUUGGAUGGCCGCUGGUUGAUAAAUGAGAAAUUGCGUAGGAUUUGAUCUUAUGAGUGAAGACAUGUUGUUUUUCUUUUUUUUAGUUUUCUGAAGUUAAGCUUCGUCACAGAUUCCUCACUUGAGGCCUACGGAGUACAAGACAUCUCGCCUUCACAGGCAUAGGAAGACUGUGAACCGGGCUUACGGAGGCACCAUGGCUGGUUCUGCAGUGCGCGAGCGGUAUGUCCAGCAUUUAAUUUGUUUUGAGAAAGGUUACAUGCACACUCAUCUGUAGAUUGAAGUUGUCUAGUUAAUGUGAUUAGUCUUACUUCGUAUUGGUUGAAUGCCUUUCCACUGCUAUGUCUUGUGUUUUCUUUUUUCUUCUUCAUAGUGAACUUAUUAAAUCUAGCGAUUUAGUUGGGACUAGUGGUUGCAAUCAUGCGUACUUGUGGGCGAUGAGUACAUUUGAUUAAAUUGUUUUCAAAAUCGUUGGAAGUCUGGCUAAGUCGUCUCUGGCCAGUAGGUACGUCGGCAUAAUUUGUAGUGAUAUGUUUGGCUAAGGAUUUAAGUUGUAUGACGCAGCAUUAUUCGGGCUUUUCUGGUCGAGGAGCAGAAAAUUGUAAAGAAGGUCCUCAAGAUCCAGAAGAGUAAGGAGAAAUUGGCUGCCAAGGCUCAAACUUAAUCUGUAACUGUUUUAUGAUAUUAAUGAGGAUCAUUCAAUGACCGUGCCACAAAUUUCCGAAUUUACAGAUCCCAUAUUUCGUCUGUGGUUGUCGCCUUAAAUCUUCAUGUAAAUGUCCAACUCUAAUAUAUUCCCCUCGUUAACCCUGCUGAGGUCCAGGGCUUUAAACAGCCGUGGACACGUAUUGUAUUUCGAAGUGCAGUGUUUACUAUGUGGUAGCCCAUCGACGUAGUGGUGAGGUGGAAUGUCCAGUCACCUGUGCUUUUCAUUAAUUCUGAUUGAAAAGGCUGUAGAUAGUGCAAAGCCCGUAGCUCUCACUUCCUGGUGCUCCCUAAAGGCAUAUCACAAUGAGCUCGAAUAGAACUAUGUUCUUUAAUGAAUCCAAAAUGUGCUUUAAAAUUUACCUGAGCACAACUAAUUCGGACUGACUUGUGUGCCAAGGAAUGCUUUCUGUAAUUGGAGUGAGUUCAGACCAUCAGUGCCAGUUAGUUGUAGUUGCUAGCUAGUUUGUGUAAAAUAUUUUGGUUGAUAUGUUACUGAAUGAAUCGAGGUGAAGGUAAGGAGGAGUUCAGUGGUUCCUCAGAGUUGAUUUGAUUCUUUAUAAAGUCAAUUUGGACUUGGGGUAAUUUCUAUCAAGUGAUUCAUCGGUAACACAAAAUACGAUGUGAAAGGCUUGAAUUAAUACUAGUGCAUGUACCGGUUGAUGUCAAGAGUAAUGUUGAUGUAAGAAAAUAUGAGCCUGUUGUCGAUGUUGAAGAGAUAAGCACAUCAUUGUGUUUUUUUGUAUUAUUAUGUUAGAGAUAUUUCGGGAGGCCACAAUUAGUCUGGGUAGACAAAUAAAAGAUAAUACUAAGUUAACAUAUGAAUGAAGUAAUGAUUAAAUAAACAAACAUUUAGGAGUAUAAGUUGGAAUAUACCUCUAUAAGCUUUACUUGUUACAAGAGAUUUUGGUUUUAGGUUUUAUCUAUUUGAGGAUCAAAUUAAGGUAGAAGACUUCAUAAUUCUAGAUAUUAAUUUGACACAUCAGUCAAACUUGCAAACUUUUAGAUGAUAGCUGUAGGACUUCUAGUUCUGUAUUCCUAUCGGAUUUCUUAUGAGAAUUUUAUCAGAUUGUAUCAACAAUGCUAUUCCUGGUGUCGUAUUACAUGUUGUCUUGUUUAGAAAUGCACCAGGCACCUAGUUGUGAAAGGUGAGGUUGUGUUUCACAAGUAUUCAAGAAACCCUAAUAGUUUUCACAUAUAUGAAAAGAAUAUAAUCCAAAUUUCAAUUCAAAAGUGCUAAAAAACACUCUUCUUAGUAGUCUUAAUCAUACAUAAAUCCCAAUUACCUUAUUACUUUCAUAUUUAAGCAAUUUAGAUUUUUCUGGUAAGUCCUAACCCUAAUCAUUGAGCUUUGACAAGCUGUAACUUUUAAUUUGACUGUCCAUUUGAUAUAAAAUUUUGCAUGCAAUUUUCAAUAUAAGUCUUUUAUACGCUUAAGAAUUUUCAAUCCAAUCCAACCUACAAAUUGUGAAAAAACCUCCAAAAAUUACACUAAUGUCUUUUGGCUACCAAUUUGAAAAGUGAAGCAAAAAUCCUAGCAAUGAUUUCUCCUUCUCCAACUGUUAACUUUGACUCAAAACUUGUGUGCAACUUGAUCUUUAAGUCCUUCAAUACCAUGCCAAUAUUCACCUUGAUCCAAUUAGUAGAUCUCUUGAUAUCACAGAAACCCUAUCUAAUCUCAAACUACCAACUUCCAAAAACCUCUUGUGCUAAAAUCCAAAUAUCUCUAAACUACACUGUUAGAUUAUCACAAAAAAUUGUAUACACUUAGCACAGCUAAUAAUCCAAAGAGUAUCUAAUUUUGAAUUGUAGAUAUUACACCAAUUGCACAAACUAGCCAAAAUUAUUAGCCUUAGUUAUAUUAUAUAAAAUCCAAAUCACCAAUAUAAAUCUUGACUUUGAACAACAAUUGCCAAGUUUUCAAAAAUUCUACUAAAACAAUUCUUAUGCCUUUAGAAAGAGCUUUAAGCUAACUCUCAAACUCUAAUCUUUGAUCUUCAAAUAAAUCCCUAAUUUGUCCUAAGCAAUCAUUUUAGUGACCAAAGGUCUUAUUUCGACCCUACUUUACAAACGGUUGACCCCUGGAUAUUAAUCUAAUCUAUCCUAAGGAUUUUUUAGCCCAAUCCUAUCCUUAAUUUGAUCCUAGUAUCAACCAUACCAACCAUUUACCUCUUCUAUCUUGAUUUUAACAAUUUAUGGCCUUUCUAAGGUAGUAAAAAAAAGUUUCUAUAUCCUAGAAGGUAAAAAUAUUAACUAACUUUUAUCUACUUGCUAUUAAGACAAGAAAAUAGGCUAAGAGGCUUUUAUAAAAGCCAUAUUAAAAUAUUUUGAAUUCUUAUUGAACUAAUAUAAUAGAGUAAUAAUAUUUAAAAAUCAUUUUUAGUCAUAUUUUUACCAUAUAAUAGUGUCACAAUAUAAUAAUGGGCUUUGCGACGAUUUAAAACACAUACUGACAUGAAGAAUUUGAGAUUCUUAUGGUUUGUAUACAUGGUGAUUGAAUUGGAAGUACCUUCUAGAUGAUGAUGCCAUUCUUGAAAUGAAUCCACAAUUGCAAAAAGCUCUUUGUCAUGGAUUUCAUAGUUAAUCUUGGCUAUUAAAAGUUUUUUGGAAUGAAAAGCUACUAGGUGAAGUUUAUCAUUUAUUCCCAUUUGUGAUAAUACAGUAUCCAAAGCAAAGUCUAAUUUGUCUGUUUUCAUAAAAAAUGCCUUAGAAAAGUCAAUGCAAUAUAAGAUUGGUGUAAAAAUAAAGGUUGACUUUAAAGCUUCAAAAGAUGCUUUAGUUUCUUUGCUCCACUCAAGUUUGUCUUUCCAAGUCAAAUGUACAAGUGGGAUUGCAACUCAAGAAUAGUUUUUCAUGAAGAUCUGAUAAUAGUUAAAAAAGCCCAAAAAACAUUUGACAUCUCUUAUUGUUUUUAGAAUCUUCCAAUCCAUAAUAGUUUUAACUUUCUUAGGAUCCAUCACAAGUCCAUCAUUUGAAAUGAUGUAUCCUAAGAAGUUGACUUGAGUAGUAUGGAAUACACACUUUUCUAUCUUCGCAUAGAAUCUCACAUUUCUUAAUUUUUGUAACAUAUAAUGAAUAUGAAAUUCAUAUUCAUUUGUGUUCUUAGAAUAGAUUAAGAUGUCAUUUAGAUAAUAGAAAACAAAAUUGUCUAAAAACUCUCAAAAAAUAUCAUUCAUUAAAUGUUGAAAAGCUGCCAGUGCAUUUGUAAGUCCAAAAGGCAUGAUGUUGUAUUCAAAAUGUUUAUAUCUAAUUUGAAAUGCAGUCUUUUAUUCAUGUCCUUCUUUAAUAUGUACUAGAUUGUAAAUUGAGCAGUCAUAGGGACGAUGUUUUGGAAAGAUAUUUGUAUUCUUUUUCUUGAAUACAUCUUAAAACUCUUGAUAUUGGCUUGGAAUGUCACUUGAAGUCUUUGCAUCAUUAAAAAUAGGUAUGGCAUAAAUGACACAAGGUGAUCUUUUUUUUUAUACCAUGCAAGAAAGCUCUCACAUCUACAAACACAAGCUUUAUUGUGCUAGACUUAUGACUUUGUAUUGGAUUAAUUUCACUCUUAAUUAUACUUUUAAAGAAGUCAAGAAUAUAAGAAAUCCAAUCUAUGCAAGGAUUAUACUUUUCUAACUACAAUAAACCUAAAAUGAUUGGAUUAGAGAGAGAUCUAAUUAUAUUAAAGAUUAUGCAACUACUAUGAUAAUUUAUUGCUACAUCUAUAGGAAGUGUUUCAUAAGUAACAUCUCCAAAAGACAAUAGUCAACUAUCUAUGACUUCUACAUGAACACAUUUAAUUUUUUAUACUAAUGAUAUUUUAUGACUUUUAACAAAUUCUACAUCUAAAAAAAAAGUUGAAGCUCUUGCAUCUAUUAAGGUGGAGGCUUUAUAAUUAUUAGGUCUUAAAUAUAUAUCUAUUAUAAAAUAAGAAGAGUGUUCUAAAGAGAGAAUAAGACCUUUAUUAGAAAUUGUAUAAGAUUCCAAUCGCAUGGUUCCUAUUGUAGCUGGACAAAUUUGUUUUCUGACACAUUAUCUUCUUUGACAACUAUAUUCCUCAUUUUGUGGUUUUGUUGUUUUUUUGGACAAUAUUAAGCAGUGUGUUUAGGUUCUCCACAAUAUAAGCACAAUCCUUCUUGAAGGCGACUAGUCUUUUUUUGCUCAAUAAGAAGUUUAAAAUAUACCACAUCAAUUUGCAUAUCUUCUACUUUUGAAUGUAUAUAUUGAGGAAAUGUUGGUGUUGCCAUCGAAUUGUAGUAAUGUUGAGGCCUUCUUGUAUGACUCUCAAAUCAAAAUUUAAAAAGUUGAUUAUCACACUUCAUAACAAAGUCAAUUGCUUGACUCAAUGUUUGAGGAUUAGGUAACUUGAACAUCAAUUUCUUUACUUUAUAUUAUAAUCAUUAAAAAAAUUGGCUAAUAAGUGCAGCAUCAUUUCACUUAAUAUCAAUUAUAAGUUAUCAAAACUAUGAAGCAUAUAAUAUUACAGAUUGAUUGCCUUGUUAUAAAAUAUGCAUCUUAUUGGUUGCAACACAAGUUUCAUCAUGUUCUCCAUAUAUGGACCAAAAUUUUGCCAAAAAUACCUCCAAAUUAUCCAAUAUUGCAUCUUGUCAUUUAAGAAAAGAUAAAAACUACAAUAGUGCUAAACUUGAAAAAAGUGUACCAAUGAAUCUAACUUAGGAUCUUAGAGUUGGAUAGCUUUGAGGUUGAAGCUCAAUUAUAAGUUGUACUUCAUUGAUAAAUCCUCAAAAUUUGGAUCUUGUACUAUUUAACUUCUCGAGUAGGGCAACUCUUAGUUCUCUAAUACUUGAAGGAUUCUCUACUAUGGGUGGAGGGACAUGAUUUGGUGUAGAUGUUGAGGCAACUCUAAUCAUCUCUAUUUCCUCACUUCCUCCCAUUCUUGUUGAUCUUUGUGGUGGUAAGCUAAGUUGAUGCAUUGCAAGCAUCAAUUCCCUCAAUGUUAGGAACAUAAUCCUUAGAACCUUCUAGAGACAAGUUUCUAGAACCUUCUAGAAGCAAGUCUCUGGAACCUUCUAGAAGCAAGUCUCUGGAACCUUCUAGAAGCUUCUUAGUUGAUAAAAGAAAUUAGAGACAUAGUCCUUAGAACCUUCUAGAGAUAAGUUUCUAGAACUUUCUAGAAGCAAGUCUUUGGAACCUUCUAGAAGCUUCCUAGUUGAAAGAAGUUGCUUGAGAAGCUUAUUAAAUAGAAAUAUAUAUUGGAAUCGAGGGUGAAGAGUUCUUCAGUCUCGACAACACAUCUCUUGGAGCUCUAGCUCACCUCUCUGGUGUUGUUCUCAUCUGAUUAAUCUAGUUCUUGUCAGUUCUUCUUGAACUUGUUAGAUCUUAAGUCUGUAUUUCUGUCUCCGUGACAGUUUGUCGAGAUUGCACUCACCUCAGAUAUCAGAGCUAGUUUCUUCUUUGUUAGAGUGUAGAUUAUCCCUCUGUUUGGAAGUGUACUAGCAUUUUAAGAGGUUGCAGAUUACCCUCCUCUAAAUUGAUACUUCUUUUGUUAUAAUAUUGGAGUCUUAUUCUUCUUGGAGAGAGUGGAUUAUUCUUUUUCUUGAAGCUCUUAAGGCAUUUUAGAGGUUGUGGAAUACCCUCCUCUAAACCAAUAUUGUCUUCUUGUAGAGUCAUUUCUGUCCUUCUCUUAGAAUGGUCGGGGACCAAGACAUUAGUAUGACGGAAAGUUCGGAGUCCAAGUUGGAUGCUAUCAUGAAUGUCCUCGCUACGUUAUCGCAAAGAACUGCAGAGAUUGAAGGAGUCGUGGCAAGGCUUCAUAAUGAUGGAGCAUCUGGGAUGGGACAAUCUAGGUUGCACCAGCCUCAAACUUCUAUACUUCGAGAAGUAAUUUUGCCUCAAGUUCGACAAGCACCGCUGCUUCUACAACAUAAGGAGCCUCGAGUUAGCCUUCCGGACAAGUUCGAUGGUACAUAUUCCAAGUUUCAAGGAUUCGUCAACCAAAUCAGGUUGAUAACAGUUUUACAGCCUGAAUGCUAUCCAACGGAGGAGUCACGUGUUGGGCUUGUUGGAACCUUACUUACAAGACAAGCUCUAUUAUGGUUUGCUCCUUUAUUUGAGAAACGAUCGUCCACACUAAACAACUUUGAAACCUUUUUGGAGGCGUUUACGAAAGCAUUUGGUGAAUAGGACAAGGUUGGAUGGACUACAAUAAAGAUCCAGUCACUACGAUAAGGGAUGCGCUCUACAUCAGUCUAUGCAUCGGACUUCAGGCAAUUAGCAUGCGACAUCAAUUGGGACGAAGAAGCGUUGAUAAGUCAAUUCUAUUAGGGUUUAAGGGACAAUGUGAAGGAUUUGUUGUUAACUCUUCCUGAUCGACAAAUACUCAACGAAGCUAUUAGCCAAGCUGUGAAGUGCGAUAACCGCCUAUUCCAAUGUCGCCAAGACCAAUGUUCAAGACAACGUACGAUUUGCCACGCCCCAAUUAUGUCGACAUGCAACAUGAAUUUACAUUUAGAGGUAGAAGACAUGCAAAUUGAUGCGAUACGUGUCAAAUUCCUUACUCUAGAAGAAAAAAAGUGGCAUAUGGAGGAAGGUCUAUACUUGUAUUGUGGUGAAGAAGGCCACAAAGUUGGAAACUUCCUCAAGAAGCAAAAUCAACGAAUUGUCAAGACUAAGGACACGUUUAUUCAGGAAAACGAGGAUGCCCAGCCACAAUAGGAACCGUGCGGCUGGACAGUGAAAUAUCGCAACAACAACCAGGUUCCUUCCUUUCCGCUCAAUCUACCCUUUUUUUACAAUCCCUUUGCUUAUUGGCCCUCAGAAACUAAGAAUCUUAGCAUUAUUAGAUUCAGGAGCAUCUGCUUGUUUCUUAGACGAAGAAUUUGCAAAGCAUCAUAAGAUCUCUUUAGUACAAAAAUCCAAACCUGUUCACGUUGAGAUCAUAGAUGGACGAUCUUUAUUGUCUGGUAGUGUCACCCAUGAAUCAGAACCUAUAGAAGUGACGUUUAAGGGCCAUAGUAGUCAUAUUAUUUUCAAUAUUAUUAGAACUCCAUCAAAUCCUGUUAUUCUUGGUCUUUCCUGGUUGGAAAAGCAUAACCCAUCCAUAGAUUGGAGGUUGCGAAAGAUGACCUUUCCCACAAAACCACCCAAGAGCAAGCCUAGUAGAAAACCCCGAAUAGAGAAAUCCUUAUUCAUUGGAGCAAGAACGUUUAUAAGAUCGUCUAAGGAAGGCACACUGUUUUUCAUUUAUGCGAAUCCAACUACUAAAGAGAAGAUCUCGACAACAAGUAUACCGGAGCAAUAUGAGGAUUUUAAAGAUGUGUUUCAAAACAAAAAUGCCGACAUGCUAUCGAAACACAGACCAUAUGAUUGCGCCAUAGACUUGCAGGAAGGAGCAUAAUCGCCUUUUGGUUCAAUCUACAAUCUAUCGCAGAGGGAGUUGGCAGAAUUGUGGAAAUACAUCGACGAGAAUCUAGCCAAGAACUUCAUCCGUCAUUCAAAAUCGUCAACUGGAACAUCCAUCUUAUUUGUGAAGAAGAAAGAUGGCUCAUUGCAGAUGUGCGUGGACUAUCGAGGCCUCAACAAGAUAACAAAGAAGAAUCGUUACCCAUUACCCUUGAUUUCUGAUCUCUUAGAAUAACUUGGACGUGCAAGGAUCUUUACAAAAAUUGAUCUAAGGGGAGCUUACAACCUCGUACGAAUCAAAGAAGGAGAUGAGUGGAAGACAGCGUUCCGUACAAGGUAUGGCCAUUUUGAGUAUAAUGUCCUAUCUUUUGGUCUUACCAAUGCUCCAACGAUCUUUCAACAUAUAAUGGAUGACAUUUUCCGAGGGCACCUUGACGAUUUUGUUGUCAUCUAUUUGGAUGAUAUUCUGAUAUUCUCCAAAAACAAGGAAGAGCAUGAAAAGCAUGUUCGUUUGGUCUUAGAGAAACUACGCAAGCGAGGACUAUAUGCCAAGUUGGAGAAGUGUUUAUUUCACUAAAUAGAGAUGGAGUUUUUGAAGUUCGUUGCAACUAUAGAAGGCUUGAAGACGGACCCAAAGAAGGUGGAAGCAAUCGUGUCUUGGGAGGUUCCGAAGACAGUGAGAGACAUACAAUGCUUUCUUGGCUUUGCCAACUUCUAUCGGAUCUUUAUCAAGAAUUAUUCUCAAGUUGCAACUCCUCUCACUUGGUUGACAUGCAAGGAUAAGCUGGAAUGGAGACUUCUAGCAGAGAAGGCUUUUCAAGAUCUAAAAAUCGUAUUUACUACAACUCCAAUCUUGGUACAUUUAGACUUUACAUAGGCCUUUUAUUUAGAAACUGAUGCUUUGGAUUUUACUUUGGGAGCUGUACUUUCACAAAUGGGAGAAGACAAGAAGCUCCAUCUGAUUGCAUUCUAUUCUCGAAAGUUCUAUGCUGUUGAAAUCAAUUAUGAGAUCCACAAUAAGGACUUCUUACUAUAAUAGAUUCUUUCCAAGAAUGGCAUCAUUUUCUUGAAGGAGCUACACACCUAGUGACACAGAUCACAAGAAUUUGGAGUAUUUCAUGUCGACUCGAUUUCUAAAUCGACGUCAAGCUCGAUGGAGUAUGUUGCUAUCUACGUUCGAUUUUGUUAUCACUUAUCGACCUGGAAAGCAGCAAGGACUAUUUAAUGCCUUAUCGAGGAGAUUGUAUUUUGUACCACAGGUUGAAGAAGUAGCGUUUGAUCAAUAAUGUACUACGUUGUUGAAGUAGAGCAAUUUUGGCUUUAUACUACUAUUGUGCCAAUUGAUGCUGACUUCCUGAAUCAGGUACGUGCCGUCACCAUUGAAGAUUCAAUAGCCAUUGAUAUCAAGUAGCUUGCCAAUGACGACAAGUUCAAGGUGGAGGGAGAUCUUUUAUACUUUGAAGAGCGGUUGUAUAUUCCAAAAAGAGCAGCACGACUCCGAGUUCUUCAAUCUCGCCACGAUUUUCCAGCUGUGGGACAUUUUGGAUUCAACAAGACCUUGGAGCUUAUUUCUUGAAAUUUUUGGUGGCCCCAAAUGUGGAAGGAUGUGAAAGAUUUUGUCCUCUCUUGCGACAUUUGUUCAAGAUCCAAGAAUCCUCAGCAUUGCCCUUAUGGACUCCUACAGCCAUUGUCGAUUCCACGUCGACCAUGGUCUUCAGUUUCCAUGGACUUCAUCACGGACCUGCCAUCAUCGAACUCAUUUGACAGCAUCUUUGUCAUGGUAGAUCGGCUUACAAAGAUGGUGCACUUUGUUCCUUGCAAGAAGACAUCGUCCAGUGAAGUCACAGCAAGGCUCUUUCUCGAUAAUGUGUAUCGAUAUCAUGGACUACGAGAUGAUAUCAUAUCAAAUCGAGGAACCUAGUUCGUAUCAAAGUUUUGGAGAUCUCUCUUUGAGAUACUGAAGGUGGAUAUCAAGCUUUCUUCGGCUUUUCAUCCUCAAAUUGACGGCCAAACGGAACGGGUGAACCAAGUCUUGGAACAAUACUUACGAUGCAGCAUCAAUUAUCAGCAAGACGAUUGGACCGCAUAUCUGUCGCUAGCUAAGUUUGCAUAUAACAACACCCUCCAUGCGUCGACUCAAUAUACACCAUUCUUUUUCAACUAUGGGUAUCAUCCGAAGCUUGAUUUAUUGAGUCCGUCAAUAAAUAACAAUCCAACAGCUGAAGGAUUUACGAAACAACUAUCAGAGCUUUAAAAUACGUUGAAGCUUCAAUUACAAUCCGCUCAAGAAUCCUACAAGGCGUCUGUAGAUAGAUUUUGGAAUCAAGCACCUACUUUCAAAAUUAGAGAUAAGGCAUGGCUUCUUCGACGGAAUAUCAAGACCAAGCGACCAUGUGAUAAGUUGAACUAUCGAAGAUUGGGACCAUUUGUCAUCCAGAAGCAAAUCAAUCCAGUGGCAUACGGUCUGGAAUUACCGGCUUCUAUGAAGGUACAUCCAGUCUUUCAUGUUUCUCUGUUAGAGCCUUAUCAAGAGUCGUCUUUUCCUGGAAGAGUACAAUGUCUGCCACCUAGUAUUGAAAUCGAGAACCAUGAAGAAUACGAAGUUGAAAAGGUGUUGGAUUUACGACAAAGAUGGAGCAAGUUGGAGUAUCUUGUUCAUUGGUGCGGCUACGACAUUAAUGAGCGAACGUGGGAGCCAGCUUAAAAUCUCGCCAAUGCACCGCAAAAGGUACAGGAGUUUCAUCAAUAACAUCCUCAUAAACCUAAGCUGGUUCGAUGAUAGCUUACUUCUGAAGCUUGUUCACCCAAAAAUAUAAGAAAGGGAGAGAGCACCACCAAAAUUCGUAGUUUGAUGUAGUUAUUUUCUCCAAGAUAAAGUAGAAUUUUUUCAAUAGCCAUAGUUUGGUCUUCUGAUAUGGAUAGCCAAGAGAUAGAUACUAUGCCAGCCAGAUUAUCUCAACCAACUAGCUCACGAAGGCGACCCCGAGAUGAAGAACUACCUACACUACGACGACGACGGAGGAUACCGAGUAAUCAAUCAUUGGUGAUUGUAUUUGAGUUUGAGCCUCCUUACGAUGGUCAGCCAGAAGGCAUGUUUGCAGGACAAUUUCACAAUGAGGAUACGGAAGUUCAUGCUUGGUCAGAAGUCGAAGGCAUGGGCCACUAUAGUUGGCUUUAAGGGCCAAUGAACCACUUGCCUCGUGAAAAAACAGUUGGAAUUCAUAGCAGAUGUUAUGUGACAGAUCUUCAUUUUCUUACGUUGGUAUUGAUUAACAAUAACAUUGCUUCUCAGAGAUCUCGAAGCUAAAGGAGGGGGUGAUGUUAGGGACAUAGUCCUUAGAACCUUUUAGAGACAAGUUUCUAGAACCUUCUAGAAGCAAGUCUCUGGAACCUACUAGAAGCUUCUUAGCUGGUAGAAGAUGUUAGGGACAUAGUCCUUAGAACCUUUUAGAGACAAGUUUCUAGAACCUUCUAGAAGCAAGUCUUUGGAAUCUCCUAGAAGCUUCCUAGUUAGUAGAAGUUGCUUGAGAAGCUUUCUAAAUAGGAGUAUAUAUUGGAAUCAAGGCUGAAGAGUUCUUCAGUCUCGAUAAUACAUCUCUUGGAGCUCUAGCUCACCUCUCUGGUGUUGUUCUUGUAUUUAUCUGAUUAAUCUAGUUCUUGCCAGUUCUUCAUGAACUUCUUGUUAGAUCUCAAGUCUGUAUUUAUGUGUCCGUGACAAUGAGUUAGAAAGAUUUGUUAAAUACAUCAAAAGUGAAGACAAACAAGUUGUCUACUUAGGAGAUGAUACUACAUCAUACAUAAUAGAAGGACAUGGUGAUGUAAAUAUCAAACUUACAAAUGGUGAUGCGAAGUUCAUAUUUGAUGUAUUAUAUCUACUAAGACUUGCAAAGAAUUUAUUCUUUGCUAAAAAAUUAGAUAAGACAAGAGGAUAAAUUUGCAUAAGAAUUAGCACCACUAUACUUAUAAAUAAAUUUGGUCAAACCAUUGCAAUAUGCAAAUUAAACCUUAAUUUAUAUGAAUUAGGUACAACAAUAAUUUUAAACAAGCCUCAAAUUUCUAUGCCAGCAACAACACAGUUAAAUAAAGUUGAUUUAUGGCACCUAAGUUUAAGACACAUAAAUCCUCAAAGACUCAAACAAAUACAAACCAUGGCAAAGGGGAUUGAUUCCUUUGAUGAAAGAAAAAUUACCUUAUGCCAACCGCAUACAAAAAGUAAACAACAUAAGAAAAAGUUUCCUACACAAGGUACACAAAGAACUAUUCAAUUAUUAGAACUUGUACAUUUUGACAUUUGUGGUCCUAUGCAAGUAGGCACACAUUCAGGAUGUAGUUACUUCAUCACAUUUAUUGAUGAUCUAACAAGAUAUUGCCAAGUAUAUUUGAUGAAACAGAAAUCUAAAGUAUUUGAAAAAUUCACCUUAUACAAAAAUUUUGUAGAAAAAAAAAAAUGAAGUUUCAAAAUCAAAAUCUUAACAUCUGAUCAUGGAGGUGAAUAUACAUCCAAUGACUUUAAAAAAAUUUGUAACAAAGAAGGAAUUAAAUAAGAAUAUACUAUAGCUUAUAUACCAUAAUAAAAUAGUAUUUUUGAAAAAAAAUAGAAUAUUAAUAGUAACAAUACUUGUAAUGCUAUCCUAUUCAAAUUUACCUAAAUUAUUUUAAAGUAAAGUACUCCAAAAAGAAAAUUACCUCCAAAAUAAGAACCCUAUAAAAUCUGUACAAGUUACCAAAAUACCAUUUGAAUUAUGGUACAAACAACAAACAAAUUUAUCCUAUCUUAAAAUAUUUGGUUGCAAAGUUCAUGUAUUCAUUCCUAAAAAAAAAAAAAAAAAAAAAAAAAAAAUUAGACUCUCAUUCAUAAGAGGCUAUCUUUCUAGGCUAUAGUGGAGAAUCUAAAGCCUAUAGACUUAUGAAUAUUCAAAAUCAACAAAUUUUCAUUUCAAGUAAUGUUCUUUUCAAUGAGAAUCUACAUGAUCUACAAACAACCACAUACUUGCAAAAGGACAAUGAAGAACUCUUACUAGAUUUAGAAUUAUUCAAACAUCCUUCAAUAACUAUAAUGACCAAUGAACAAAACAUACAUCCUAUUGAAGGCAUGUCUUCUCCAUCAAUGCUACCACUACAAGAAACACAUGUAUUUGAUUACCAACCAAUACAUAGUACUUCUUCAAAUGUGGGAACAACCUCCUUGUCACAUUGAUGUCAUGGAAGACUUCUUUCAACUAUCAUUACUAAAUAAUCAAGAGAUCUUAUCUCUUGAAGAUGUUGAAGUCCAUUCUAUAUUGCAAAUCUCAAAUCUUCUUUCUCGUUCUCAACCAACAAGAAUUAUUCAACCAACUACAAGAUUGUUAGAAUCUAUAUAAGGCAAAAAAGAAUAUAAACGACAAUAUAAUCGAUAUUACCAAUCCCACCUUUUCUCUAUUCUUAUAGAAGCUCCAAACUCCAUUCAAAAAGCAAUAGAGAGGAUUGAUGCUCAAGAAUGGCAAAAAUCAAUCAAUGCUGAAAUUACAUCCUUAAACAAAAAAAAUACAUUGCACAUGACGAAUUUACCUCUUAAUAAAAAACCUAUCAAUUCAAAGUGGAUUUUAAAAAUAAAAACUAAAGCUGAUGGAAGUAUUCACAAAUAUUAAGCAAGGGUAGUUGUAAGAGGUUUCAACCAAUUUCAAGGUAUUGAUUAUAUGGAGACAUACUCUCGUAUAGUCAAACUUAAUUCUAUCAAAGUUCUUUUUGCUUUAAUCACUCAACAUAAUCUGGAAAUACAUCAAUUAGAUGUUAAAAAAAUAUUUUUAAAUGGAUUUAUAGAAGAAGAUAUCUAUAUGACUAUUCUUGAACAAUUAUCUUCUAUACAUACUAACAAGGUAUGUAAGUUAAAUAAAUCCCUAUAUGGUCUUAAGCAAUCAUCUAGAAUAUGGUAUCAAUAAUUAUAUCAAUACUUAAUCCUUCACAAAUACCACCACCUCAAAUCAGAUGUAAACAUAUACAUCAAAAGAGAAAAUAAUAAGGAUUUUAUUAUAAUUAUAGUUUAUGUUGAUGACUGUAUUUUUAUCAGCAACAAGCUUCUUUUAAUUUAACAAGUCAAAGACAUUCUCUAGCAAGAAUUUGACAUGUCCGAUGAAGGAGAAAUCCAUUACACUUUAGAUAAUGCUAUACAAAGAAAUAGAAUGGCAUGAUGGAUCAUCUUCUAUCAAGCCAAAUACUUAACAAAUAAACUUAAUGAAUUCAAUAUGUUGAAUUUCAAUCUAUUAAGUAUUCCAAUUAAGCUAGGAAUUUGUUUAAGUAAUGAAGACUAUAUUACUUUCCAUGAUUAUCCUUAUUAUCAAAUUAUUGGUAAUUUAAUACAUGCUAUUGUUAAUUUUAGACUUGAUUAUGCUUAUACUCUCAGUAGUUUAGCACAAUAUCUCUCUAAACGAGGACAUAUAUAUGUUCAAACUUUGAAAAGAACUAUGAAAUAUACAAAAGGCAUAUUAAACUUUAGAAUAAAAUAUCAACACUUACCUCAAGGUGAUAUUUUCUAUGGUUAUUUUGAUGCUGAUUGAGCACGUAAUAAGAACAUCUGUUGCUCUACCUCUAGAUUUUGCUUCUUAUUGGUUAGAAGAGUUAUUUCUUGGAGCAACAAGAAAUAACAAUUUGUUGCUUUAUCUUCUAUAGAAUCAAGAUACAUGGCUUUAACAAAAGCAACUACUGAGGCCAUAUGGUUGAGAAAAUUAUUACAUGAACUUGGAUUUCCUUAACAUGCACCAACUACCAUAUAUUUAGAUAGUCAAAGUGCCAUUGCUCUUAGUGAAAAUCCCAAAUAUCACUCUAGGAGCAAAUAUGUGGACACACAAUAUCAUUUCAUUAAAGAGAAGAUCAUUUCUAAGGAAAUCCAACUGCAAUAUGUGUCAACCACACAUAUGACAGAAGAUUUAUUUACAAAAUAUCUUCUUAAAAAGAAAUAUUUACAAUCCCUAUCACAAUUAGGCAUGUAUCAACUUCCUCUAAAUACAAAACAAGCAAACUGUUCUACAAUCAUUCAAGCAUUACUAGUCUCCUCCAAACAAUACAAUUUUAUACAACAUAAAUAUUUUGAUACAUCAUAGAAUGGGAGACAAUCUAUUAUAGGAUCCAUUGUAGGGCCAACUACAGGACCUAUCGUAGAGCCAACUACAAAUCCACCAUAUGGCCAGUUGUAGAGUCUACUAUCACACCAACUAUAAGACCCACUAUGGAGCUCGUUGCCUUGCUUAUUGUAGAUCCCACCGAUGGGCUUACUACACAACUUCUUGUCAAGGCGAUUGCAUCUAUGGUCGACUCUAUCUAGAUGCAUCCUUAGGAACUCACAGUUGUGCCUACAUUCACAACGCAUCUUCCAACAAUAGAACAAUCAAGAAACAACAAAAAAGAAAACAAGAAAUGUGUGAACAACAAACAAGAAGCAACAAGCAAAUAUAAGUCAAUAAAAAAACACAUACCUUCUCGGAUUUGAAGAAGUAGUGGGAGAUCUAUGAAAGAACUUUCCAACAAUGCAACAUCAAAAAAGAGAUCGAAAUCCUAUAUUUCUUACACAUAUCCGUUUUCAAAAUGGAUGAACUUUUGUUAUAGAUGAAAUUCAAUUUGAGGAUGAAGAUUAGUGUACUAGUGGGAGUAUUGGGAGAAUUAUAUUGUAUAUUAUAUUAGUCUCUUGUAUAGAAUACUAUCUACUCUAUAUUGACCUUAUACCAAGAGUUGUGACUCUUGGUGUCCUUGUACACACACUAUAUUGUGUAUCAAUUGAUCAUAUUAAUAAUAAUAUUGUUUCCAGCAGAAUCGCUAGGAUUUCUUGAUGAAUUCUGAUAUCCUUGCCGCACCUGAUGACUCUGGUAUCAGUCUUACUCUCACUUCCCCACUUUUCUUUUGGGUCUGCAGUUUGUAGCUCUUGACAUUACCGAGGACCUGGAGGUGGGGGCUGAGGCUGUGAAGGACCACAGAGAGCUGGUGCCUUGUGAGAGAGUGUGGGUAUACUGUCUUUGAAGUUUGUGUGAUGGUUUUGUGGCCUCGUGUGGGGACCGACGUAUUGAGUUGUUUGGGUGUUGUUGCAGAUGAGUUUGAGUUUCUUAGCAAGCGGAGUGUGAGAGGCGAGUUUCGGUUGUUGUGUCAUGAUGCAGAGGCUUGCGAAGUUCGCGCAGGCUCAGGGAGGACUCUGUCAGGGAGUGUUCUUCAGCAUGUUCGGGUGGGGGGAUCGGCAUUGGGUUUUGGCAUCCAGACGCGGAGGGAAUCGGGACAGAUUGAGACUAGGGAGAGCUUGGUGGAGCACAGGUUUGAGAGCACCACAAUUGCCGAUGUCCUGAAGGACAAGGGUCAAAAGGCCGAUGGUUCCUGGUUGUGGUGCAGUGUGGAAGAUACAGUAUACGAUGCCGUCAAGUCGGUGAGCCGUUCUUGAGUUACUGGUCUCUGCGCAAGAGCGUGGCGUCAAUUCCCUCCGAAACUCCAAUUUGUCAAUACCGUUUUCUAAGAGUUCCAUCAUCUGUCCAGUCAGAGGCAUUUGAAUAUCAACUCUUUGAGUUCAUCUGCUAAAGUGACAUUCCUGGCAUUUGGGUGGUAUCUUAGAUGACUGCAAACAAUGUGGAGGCAUUGCUGGUGGUGAAGUCGGGCACGGAGAAAAUGCUUGCUGGAAUCAUUACUGAGAGAGGUCUGUCAAGCCCGCAACCUUUCUUGCAGCGACAAUUAGCAAUGUAUGCAUUGAUCAGUUUAAUGAAGUCGAGGCAUGAGCUGGGUGUUGGUCGAAUGUAAGACCAAUUAUUUAACUUUAAUUUAGUUUCCCCUAGGUUGCAUAUCUUUCCGCCAGGUUGCUGAGCCAACUCCAUCAUCAGGCACUCAUUGCACUUUACCAAUGUGCAACAUCUCUUCUUUUACGCCAGUCAAAACCUCGCGAAAUUUGGUCACGUUCGAUCAAAGGGUGAAGCUGAUGGAAAUGAUUGUACUAUAUUAUGAUGAUCCAUAUCUCCUUUUUAUGCAGAACAAGCUCAUAACUGUGAGUCCGGAUACUAAAGUGCUGCGUGCCAUGGAGCUGAUGACCGGUAGGCAUCCAUCAGUUUUGUGAUGUUCGACAUGUUCUUGUCAUGUUGUGCUUGUGCUUUGCACGGCUUGAGUGGCUCUUUCUCGACUAGAAAGUACUGGCUACUGUGAAUGCUGAGGUAACGGAUUUAUAGAGGGAUUUCCCGGUUGGGCAUUCACGGUUAGAAAAAAAAAAAAAUGUUUCUUCUGCAGACUAAAGUCUACAUUUGUAUAUUCAGAUUGUGUGUUUAAAAUACAGAAGAUGACUAGAUUUUUCUGCAGAAAUUAAUUAACUGUUUUCUUUUCAAUCCUUGACCUGCGUUAGGCUCCGAAUGCUCGGUUCAUUUACCUAGGAAUUUUCCGUGUGUGGAUUUCCUCUGAGCCUGCGCAGAUAACCGGAUUCGGCACAUUCCAGUAGUGGAGGAUAAGAAAAUGAAGGGUAUGGUGUCUAUUGGUGACGUGGUUCGCGCAGUAUUGGACGAGCACCGCGAGGAGCUUCAGAGCCUGAACUCUUACAUUCAGGGCGGCUAUUAGAAAUCGCUACUAUGGUGUCCUUCCUAAAACCUAUGCAAUGGCGAGGGGUUUCGUACACCCAGUUAUUAGAAGUCAACCGAGCUCCGACAAGAAACGAUGCCCAGGCUAGAGAAACAUGAGUAGCAACGUACUAAGCCAGAAAAAAAAAAAAAAAAAAAAAAAAAAAAAACUUAUCGGCGAAUGUUCAGAACGUAGAGCAACUGGAAGACCUAAAUUGGGUUGAAUGUAGUUACGUGGUUCAUGUUUCCUGGUAGUGAAGCGGUUUGUCUUCUGGUCAGUGAUGCUUAAGCUCUGUUACGAUGGGUGUAACAAUUGAUGCACAAGAUCUUUAAUUUUGUCUUGUGCAAUGAAUGAGUUAUGGGAUAUUAAUGCUUUUUUAGGUCAAAAUGUCAGAAAAUUUUGCUUAGGCAAUUUCAGGCUGGCCAUGCUAUCGAGUUCAUCACAUUACGAAGCUUAAAAUCUUCGUUUCGUGUCGACUUGAAAUUUCCUGAUUCCGUGCACCACUGAUGGAAUGCUCAGAUUGAUCGCAACAGAGAUUCGAGAGAAAUCUUUGUAAAUUGGCAGGGAACAAUCCUGUUUGAUCACCUGUUAUCAAAUGUGAGAUUAAUGGGGCCUACAGAAUUUUCGUUCAUCAGAAAGAUGCUUUUAAAGGUAAGUGGGCAGACACGCAACGACAACAGUAUUCAACGUGAAAGUUUUCCUAAUUGUAUUAAAUACGAACCUGAAUACGUAUUUUCACCUCGGCACACGGAUACUGUAUACAUGACUGCCGCUGUGGUUCCUUGACGAUUAUGAAUGUGCCUUGUGUAGUUGCCGAUACGCGAAACUGUUGGUGGGGGACCGCGAUGCUUCUACGCUGAGUUGCAGUCUCGAAGGUCAUCGGUUUCGGGGCAAAACCACGAAGUUGGUUGCUUCAAGCAGCUCAAGUGUACUUUAGGUUUCGGUGCUCUUGAGCAUGAUUGGUUGUUACAUCUUUUACUCCAAGUGGGUUGUCAGACUUGAAUGCGCGUUGGCCUUCAGAUAGUGAACUCCUCGUCGCUUUUAUCACCCUUCUUCAGAUGUGCUUGCAUCACAUUUUAUCUUACUACUGGCGUGCGCAGAUCUUUCUGAUGGAGGGAGAAUACCAUCUCUGUCUGGGAAAUGGCAAUCCAAUCGUCCUGUUUGGCUAACCUUUGACGGAGAACUGUUGCGUGUUAGACCUUAGGGUUCAGGAGCUAUGUGAGGAAAAUAUGCGGUGAAGAUCUGGAUUGUCAUGAUUGGUGCCGAGAGCUGAGGAAUGGGGUUGACGAUUUGCCAGGAACAGUUCAAUGCUUGCGUCGACUGAUUUUCGUGGAAGGGUGAGGGAGGAAGGGACAUUCAUUUCUUUUUAGGGUUUGGCGGUAUGGCUUGCAGGGAGAGCAAUGCUAGUGCGGCGAAGCUGAGCUAACUUGUGUUUGGGUUUGUGUCGAGUUGGUAAUCUUUGAGGGUGUCGGAGAGUGAGAGAAUGAACACGAACGGGAAAUCGCCUGCGCCAAGUGCGGUGCAACAGUGUGAUGGAUGGAGGGCGUGACUCUGAUUUAGAGUCAGGUUUAUACUCUCGUAGAUUACGCAAGAAGCGAUCACUCACGUUCCUUCAGAAGAUGAAGAUGUUGCCGUCGAUUGCAGCCAAGCGUUAUCACAAGCUCCCGGCGUCCUUUGUGGUCUCUGUCUCUCUUUGCGUGAGUGCCCUCCUGUUCGUGUCUGUUUUUAUGUACAUUCAAGCUUUCGGUACCCAGUUUUCGAGUGCUAGAGCAAACAGCCAGCUAUUCGCCGAGCACAACUCAUCCUACACAAAUCUCCGUAGUCUUGUGAUGGUCGCCGGGCAUGCAGUGUACACGAGCUCGAAAUGCGGCAAACCCGAAGAUGAAGACUCUUGGUUUCUGGAGCCCUAUCAGAAGCAUCCUGGCCAGGCAAGCACAUUCGUGGAACACAUCAAGUUGGGCGUAGAAGUCACCUCUCAAUUUGAAGAUUCAUUGCUCCUCUUCAGCGGAGGCGAGACGCGCAAGAAUGCGGGACCCAAAAGCGAAGGCCAGAGCUACUGGAACGUUGCGGAAUCCAAGGACUGGUUUGGCCACAACGAGAGCGUGCGAUGGCGUACUCUUACAGAAGAGUUCGCUCGCGAUAGCUUUGAGAAUCUUCUGUUUAGCAUGUGCCGAUUCAGGGAAUUGACGGGGCACUAUCCCGUGAAUAUCACCGUGGUCAGCUACGACUUCAAGCAGCGGAGGUUCACCGACUUCCAUCGCCGUGCGCUGCGGUUCCCAGAGUCGCGAUUCACUUUCCUCGGUGUCCCUUUAACGCCUGAAUCGCAGGAGGCAGCCAUUAAGGGGGAGGAGAAAGUACUGGAAAUGUUUCAGGAAGAUCCGUAUGGCUGCAAAGGAGAGUUGUGGAAGAAGAGAAUCUUUCGGGACCCAUUUGUUCGCUCUGUCCCUUACCCUACAGGAUGUUCGGAAUUACGAGGUCUAUUCAGCUAUUGUGGACCAGAUUACUACAUGGGCAGCCUUCCUUGGAUAUCCUGACCACGGGUUUGGAGUUAGGAAUGCAAGUUAUCACUGUUAUUUCUUCUUCAUCUCCCUCCGAUGAUACUUAUAUCACUGCACCAAUUUGCCUAUGUCGUUUCUAUCUACACGGACUUCUCCCUUACAGACAGCCACCCUUGAGCAAGAAAUCUUGAAGGAUGGAGCUAAUGUCAACAGCCAAACAUUCAUCAGGGCUUGUUUCAUGGUUGUUCUCUCCGUCACCGCUAGCACCACCAGUUUAUUACUACAAUUUUUUAUGUCAAGGAAACCAGGAUGAGAUGCCAGAUCUUGAAUUGGACACCUUAUAACCUUGUCCAAUCUUCUUUCUCGAAUAUUCAAUGCUGAAAACAAGCUGAUUUCUAUUAUGUAUGGUAAGAAUGCUAGCAGUUGCCUUCUGAGCACUGGUUCAGUGUCUUUAUACUGCGACGUUCAGUGAAGUAUUAUUUAUUCAAUUUGACUGCAUCAUAUAUUUUAGCAAUAAUGCUAGGGGCUCCUCUGCGAUGCUCAAUACUUGCUCUAUAUCAGCGUACUUCAUUUACCAUUUUAGUAUCCUUGCUGAGCACCUGCUUUGUUGCACAUCAAUUCGGUAAGUUCUUAGUCCCUUAGUGCUUGUUCCAUAUAAUGAAUUUCUCUCUUCCUGUGUGUUUGUCUCUCCAUUCCACCACAAUUUAGCGUGUAGUAAUCAAACUUCAAUAACUGCGUUUUAUGACAGCGAAGAAGGAAAAGUGUACUCAUUUUCACUCGCUCACCAAUGUGUCGGUCAUACUACGGAACUAUGUCGAAGGUCACUGUCAACCGGGUCCGCCAAGGAAGCACGCAUUGUAUGUAAUCAGACUUAAUCGUAAUUGUUACCAACUUUGCAAGCUGUCCGCUUUCAGACUGUAUCACAGCUAUGUAGUAUUUCUUCACUUAUCCCAAAAUGUAUUCUUGCAAAGAAACAAGGUAGAUAGUAGUGCGGGUUGAUUUUUGACUAGUUUUCUUAGAUGGUACUGAUGGAUGUAAUUGUCAAUCGCUCAUGUGCACGAUCGCCGAAACUAUCCUGGUUGCUGACAGUAGUAACCUCUGUUGACGCUUUGCAUCGUUAACCUUGAAUCAGAUCUGCUACUUUGCUGAUAAAUUUAACCCCACUUCAAAUUGAAAGUUGACUCUUCUUCAUACAUCAUGCACAGUAAGUUUUCACAAAUCCAGUUCGCACUUGGUCAAACAACUAGUUGCAAGUUGGCAUUGUCUGUUGAAUAUGACACUUUCCUGCUGUGCUUAGCUGUCUUGGUUUCAUUUCAUUGUGUUCUGUGGUUGAUGACUUCAUCUCUAUACAUCUUCCAUACAGGUGUGUGCUAUCAGGUACGCUUGAGGACACUGGUAACUUGGCUAUAUGCUACACAAUGACUAGUUUUUUUUAUACGUUAAACCAAUACAACUUGAAGCAGCAGAAUAAUACCAAUUCUCGGAAGCAGACUUGAGUAUUCAUGUUUGUGUUGGAUGUGUUGGCUUACUCAGAUCCUUGGAAUCUGUAGCACUUGGGAAUUGUAUCAACUUGUGUGAUAUGCUUGCAAAAAUACUGUACGUUUGUGUUGUGUAUUAGUGUAUGUAUAAAAAGAACACACCCUUUCAGUACAUGUGCAGCUAUGUAGAAGAAUGAAGGCAAUACUAAGAUAAUGUGUAUGUAAAACUGUAUUGAUUCUCGUCUAGUGUUAAAGCAUAAAACAAUAAAACAAUAAAAAAAGGAAAAACAACAACAAAUGUGGAAUUUUGUGAAUUUCCCCUUUCCCAUACCCCCACUCCGGUCCCCACCCCGUGCCCACUCUCCCUGAUCCAACUCAAUCCCCUUGUUUUCCCCUUUCCCUGUGGUCAUAGCAAUGCCAAAAAAUAAUGAUAUAUGUAUGUGUGUUUAAGUAUAUGUAAAUAUACAUUUUUAAUUGUUUUUAUUGGAAGUAAACAUUGACUUAUGCAAUAUAAAAUAGAAGUGCUUUUGAUUUUGUUGAGGCUAAGAUCAUUUCUGUCACUAUUUAUUCAAUUAGAAUCAUUCAUUAUGAGUAAUUGUUUGAAGUUUAUUAACUUUAUUAUGGAUGAUUUUUUUUUUAAUCUCUAUGUGACUAAUUACUUACAAUAAUUAAUUUUUAAUAAUUUAAAAAUUACUAUUGAGUUUUGGUGUGCGUAUAUGGUGGGAUUUUGAAAAAAAAUCACUAAAUGCUUUACUUCAAAGGUCUGUGCAUAAUAGAGAUUUUUAAAGUACAUGCUGAUUCCAAAAUCAUUUUGAUUAAAAUAAAUGUAUUAAAUAAAUAAAACUGAUUUUUUUUUUCUAACCUUAUAUAAUAUAGUUAAGAUUUAAAAGUAAAAAAAUAAAAAAUAAUGAUAUAUACAUUGCAAUGAAAAAAAAAGAUCAUGGACAGCAUUUGAUAUUAAUUUUUGGCAAUGCUAUGAUCAAAGAGAGAAGAAAAAAUAAGGAGACGGGAUGGAAAAAAAUAGGGUUGGAUUGGAGAGAGUGGGUAUGGAGUUGAGACAAGGCUGAGGUGGUGAGAUUGGGGUAUAGGAAUGGAGAUGUGGGAUGGGAAUGGGACAGAAGACAUGGAACUUGUACAAAAUCAAAUCAUGAAUUGGAAAAAAGAGUGUGGCUUUAAAAACUGCCUAAAUUUAUUGAUAUAGCAUAAGUAUAGUUUGAAAUAUGUGAACUUUACAAAUAUUUUAAGAGAAUGUAAAUGUCAUGUAUAUACUAUACACAAAACCAAACAAGAAGUUGAAUGGAAGAGUUUUAAUAAGAAAACUAACAAGAACUUAAUUAAAUCAAAUAAAUACAAGAUCAAUAUAAAAAGAGGUGAAUUAGAGCUACAAGCAAUGUAUUGUCAAGACAAAGGAUCUCCUCAACCUUAAUUUCAAUAUAUACUAAGUAUUAAAAAGCUUCUUGAGAAGUUUUCACGUUGCUUGAAGAUGAAGCAAUCCUAAGAAGCUUCUUAGAUAACUUUCUUAAUUCUCUUAAAACUUUUUAGAAUCUAUUCAAAUAUCCUAUAAAUAAUCUAAAUUUUAAAAAAAUAUUUUAAGAAUUUUUUAUAAUCUUAUAGAAUCUUAUAAAAUCUAAUAAAAUAUUCUAAAAAUAUUUUUAUAAACUUCUUCUUUGACGCUAUAACAUCACUUCUCUUUCUAAUUUUGAAUUCUACAAAGAGCAUUAGUUUCAUAUCUACUUUCUUUGUUAUAUACAACAUCCUAACAAUAGCUUUAUAGAAAAGUUAUGCUAAAAUAAGUUUAGGUUUUUUGAAGAUAACAACAAUGAAAUUCAUGUAUCUUUUGCAAUGCAUUAAUUAGAUUUUUUGCUAGUUCUCAUAUAUGCUCAUUGAUAUCAUAGCUGCACCAAUGAAUAAAAUACUCCAACUUACCUCUUCUUCAUAAAGAAUCAAGGAUCUUUUCCACCUCAUAUUCUACAUGAUUAUCUAUUUCAAUGUAAGGUAGUGAUUGUUGUAUUCUACCUACAAUAAUUGAUCCUAAAUAAGCCUUUAAGAGAAAGAUAUAAAAGAUUGGAUGUACCUUCAUAGAUAUAUAUAAUUCCAAUUAAUAAGCUAUAGGAUUGAUUUACUUUUAAUCUUUAAUAAUCCAACUUAUUGCAAGAUCAAUUAAUCUUGAUAUUUUAUUGAAGAAGCCAUAUUUUAUCUCCAACUUAAAAAGUAAGAGAUUCUUUUUAAAAUUUAUUUAAAGAUGCUUGAUAAGAAUCUUAAAUUGCUAAUAAAUAGAGCUUUAAAAUUAUUUUAAGUUGUAAAAAUUAUUUUACAAGUUCUUUAGCUGUUUGAUUUUUAUCCUUUGAUAUAUUUAAAAAAUAGCACUUCAAAUAGUAAUCAUAAUUGGAAUAAAAUGAUGUUUUCUAAAUUGAAUUAUGAAGAAUAUUAUUGUAAGCAAACUUUGCUAAAGAUAAAUAUAUGGUCUAAUCAUCUUGUUGAUAGUUGAUGCUACAUUGUAAAGAUUGCUCUAAAACUUGAUUGACUUAUUUUAUUUGACUAUCUGUUUGAAGGUGGUAUCAUAGAUAUGAACAUUAAAGAACUAAAAAUAUCAAUAUACUCUUAAGUCACUCAAAAAGACUAAAAAAUCACUUUAAAAUGAUAUAAUAUUAAAUUAGAAUGGCUAUUUUUAUAAACAAGAAGAUUAGAAAGUCUUGAAACAAGACUAAAGACUAAAAAGGCAUUGACAAGAAUGAAGAAGCCUUCACUCUUGCCUCUAUAUAUAGUCUCAAACUAGGAGCUAUAUAACAAUCUUUUGUAGGAUCUCUAACAUGUAUUGACUUUGCUAAAUACAUGUCUUAACUUGUAAGACAAGUUAUCUAUAAAUACACCAUAUAGUUACCUUGUUCCACAAACUACCAACAUGUGUGGUAUGUGGUUAAGUUAUUGAUUAAGUUUCUAACCUAUCAAUCAACUACAAACAUGUAUAAAGUCAAAAUCAUAUCUAUGAAGCUUUUAAGAAGCUUCCAUAAAAGAUAUUAUAAUAUUAAUCUAUAUUUGUUUUCUCCAAAUUUGACAAAUUCAAGCGGCAUGGUUAUUCUUCUACUUAAUGGGAGUCUUUUUAAUGCAAUGGUAGCACCGGAUUUACCUCGUGGAGUGAAGAAAACAAGAUCAGCAACCUCUCCUUUAAAAUACAAGAGAAGCAAUGAAAUUCUCAUUUUGAAGAAUUUCACAAAAAUUUCCAAGAUCCUUGUAAGUAUAAACUUCCAUGAAAAUUAUAAUUGAGCAUGGAUUGAAGUAUGUGAGUAGUCGAUCUUACCUUAAGAAGGUUUUUUGAACACAAUAGUGAAAUUAGAUUUACAAAAAAAUGCUUUCUUGACCACUUACAAGAGCCAUCAGCCCUGAUAACGAGAUUGGCUCUUAGAUGAAUGAAGGCCAUAGAUCUAGAUUAGGGAUCUUAAAAUCAAGGGUAGAGAUUUAGCCACCCUUCUACGAGCCUCCACUCAAUUGUAUAAGAGAGGCUUGGUUUUACAAGCCUUCUCUCUCUCCUCUUUUGGGUGAAGGGCGGAGCCAUGCCAAAAUUUGGCCAAAAUCCUAAUCUUAAUUUUAUUUAGAUUUUAAUUCUCAUUGUGAACCUUGUGAUUGUAUAUUUAUGGAUUUUCAUUGUGAAGGAUGGUCAUUAAGUUUUAAAAUAUGUUUCAUUGAGGUAGAUAUCUCCUCGGCCUUUCAAAUACCCCAAGGGUUUCAAGGGCCUUGGAUUUUCUUCAAUCAGUCACUCAAUUUCUUUUGUUUCAAUGUGAGAUUCUAAAUAGUUGUAUCUUUUAAUGUUAGCUUUCCGAAAAAUUAAGACUUGCUUGAUUUGGAGUAAGAAGGAAGUUUUGGAGAAUUUUUGAGUUUAAAGGAGUCGACUGCCUUUGCAGUUUGAAUCAAUCGAGUUUGGAAAGGCAUUUCUCAGUGCUUGAUGAUUGGCUUUAUUUGAAAUUUUGGAAGCAUAAAGCUUUAUAAGCUAAGCUCUGAAAGGCAUAAGUUUUGUUGAAUUUGAAGACAAUCUGAAGUUUUAGUGAGUUUCUAAGUGAAGAGGGUUGGUCACCAUGGCAGUUUGGAUCACUAAACUUCAAAGGAGGAACUCUCAUGACUGGAUCAUUAGAUUGCAACAAAGAUUGUUGGAUCAAAAGCAUCUUCAAGUUGGCCUUGCAACAAGCUAAGAAUCAUUCAAAUUGAAGCCGAUUACAAAUUUUGGGAAAUUUUGGAGUAGAAGGGGGUCGCUGCCUUCAAUCCUUAUGGGUUGUCAAGGUACCUUCGCUUUCACCUCUCUUACUUUAUUUUUACUAUCAUCUUCAUAAUGACUUGUAAUCUCCACAUUUCACUUUUUGGCUAAUAAAUUUUAAAUUUAACUUUUAACCUUUAAUAUUCUCAAUUAAACUUUUAACUUUAACUUUUAACUUUAACUUUUAAAUUAAAAUUAAAAUUUUAAUUUUUUUAACCUUUAAUUUUAACUUUUAACUUAACAUUUUAAUUUUAACUUUUAACUUAACCUUUUAAACUUAAUUUUUAACUUUAAAUUUUUUUAACUUAACUUAUAACUUAACUUUUAAUUCAAACUUAAAUUUUUAUUCUUAUGGUCAAUUAAUAGUAAUAAUUUAGUUAAUUAUUUUUACUAUGUUUGUAUAAUAAAUUUCAUUUAACAUGUUAAUUUAAUGUUGGUAACCAUUUCUUGGAAGGCCUAAAACUAAUUGAAUGUUUAAUAUAAAGAUUUAAAUUAAUCUAACAAUUACACAAUUGAAAGCUCUCUAAUUCCACCUCUUGGACUUAUUGUGUGGCAUAGGUUUCAUUAAGUGGUGAAAUUUGGCCUCACAAGGUACAUACCUUGUUCACCAGUAGAAAUUCCAUUUGAAGUUGUGCUUGAAGAUCUACUUAAAGCUCCACCCAAAGCUCCAUCAAAAAGUCCAAAUUCAACCUUCUUGCCUUCUUGCACCAUCAAUUCCAAAUACCCACAAAUAUAAUCGAAUACCUUCCACCCCAACAUUUCACGUCAGGUUCACCACUUAUGUCGUAUUACGUGUUGUUUUGCUCAGGAAUGUAUUAGGCACCUAACUGUAGAAGGUGAAAUUGUGUUUCAAGUAGCUAAGAAACCCUUAUAGGUUAUGUCCAUAUGAGAAGAAUAUAAUCUGAAUUUCAAUUCAAAAGUGCUUAGAAUACUCUUUUUAGUAGUCUUAACCAUACAUAAAUCCCAAUUACCUUAUUACUUUCAUAUUUAAGCAAUUUAUAUUUUUCUUAUAGGCCCGAAUCUUAAUUAGUGAGCUUUAACAAGCUAUAACAUCCAAUCUGACCGUCCACUUCAUGUAGAAUUUUGCAUGCAAUUGUAAAUGUAAGUCUUCUAUAUGCUCAAGAAUUUUUAGCCCAAUACAACUUACAGAUUGUGAAAAAACCUCCAAAAAUUGCACUAAUGUCACUCGGCUGCCAACUUGAAAAGUGAAGCAAAAAUCCCAACAAUGAUUUCUCCCUUUCCAAUCGUUAAUUUUGUCUCAAAAUUGGUGUGUAGCUUGAUCUUCAAGUCCUUCAAUGCCAUGCCAAUUUUUACCUUAAUCCAACUAAAAGAUCUUUGGAUAUCAUAGAAAACCUACCCAACCUCAAACUGCCACCUUCCGAAAUCCUCUUGUGCUAAAAACUAGAUAUCUCUAAACCACGCCGUUAGAUUAUUACAAAAUUUUUUAUACACUUAGCACACCUAAUAGUCCAAAUAGUGUCAAGUUUUUAACUAUAGAUGUCAUACCAAUUGCACGAACUAGUCAAAAUUACUAACUCUAAUUAUAUUAUAUAAAAUCCAAAUCAUCGAUACAAAUCCUAACUUCAAAUAAUAAUUUCUAAGUCCUCCAAAAUCUUCUCAAAAAAAUUCUUAUGUCUCUAAAAAUAACUUCAAGCUAGCUCUCAAAUCCUAACCUCCAAUCUUCAAAUGAUUCUCUAACUUGCCCUUGGUGGUCGUUUUAGUAACCAAAGGUCUGAUUUCGACCCUGUCUCACAAAUGGUCGACCCCCGGAUAUCAAUCUAACUUAUCCUAAGGAUUUUUUUAGCCCAAUUCUACCUUUAACUUGACCCUAGUAUCAACCAUAUCAACCAUUUACCUCUUCUAACCUAAUUUUAUCAAUUUAUGGUCUUUCUAAGGUAAUAGAAGAGUCUCUAUAAUCUAGAAGGUAAAAUUACUAACUAACCUUCAACCUACUAACUAUUAAGAUAAAAAAAAUAACCUAAGAGGCUUUUAUAAAAGCCAUGUUUAGAUACCUCAAAUUAUAAUUGAAUUCAGAUAAUUAGAUAUUAAUUAGAAAUUAAAUUUUAAUUAUAAUUUCACUAUAUAGUCGUAUUACAUCACAACAACGGUAGAAAACAUCUUUGAGAGCCUCAAGUAGAGCCUUUACCAUUUCCAAUUCAAAGGACUAAUAUAGCCAAUAAAGAUAAUCACAAUUUUCAAGCUAAUAUCCAAAUCGACUCAAUGAUGUUACCUAGGGGAUUACCAAUUGUAAUACCCUUAGAAUUACAAGAGGCAUCAAUUCUAUCUAACCUCUCAAGUUUUAAUUGAUCUAUCAAUGAAGACCCAGUAGCCUAUAUAGAAAGGUUUGUAGAAGUACUUAUCACUAAUUUAGUAACCAAUCAUGGCUACUAUUUAAUAUGGUUUCUAACAACCUUGACAGAUUUUGUGUAUGCUUAGUAUAGAUCCCAUAUAGAGGAGGCAUUCACUAAAUGGGAACAACUUCUAGCAGCAUUUCUUUAUCAAUAUAUGUCCGUAAUUGGCCAACAACAAGCUCUUUGAGCCUUGACAACUUUUAGACAAGGUCUUUUAGAAGUUAUUAUUUCUUAUGUGAGGCAAUUUUGAGUAGUAUAUACUUGAUAUGUUGAUAAUUUUUUAAAUGAAGAUACUAUAAGGUACUACUUUAUUCAAGGUUUUGCCAUGCCUUCUAUAUUUCGGGAUAUCCUAAACAAGAGACCUAAAGAUUUAGAAAGAGCCAUUGAAGCCACUUUAAAAGUGGAGGUUAUUCAUAAAAAAAAAUGAUCUUACGCUUUGAAAGACAGAAGAAUCAAUAUUCUCUUUUAUACCCUUGCAACAUCGACCUAUAGAAUUCCACCAACCUCUAGCUUUAAGUUACUCACAAUCUUCUACUUUUUUCCUUACCAAUUAGCAAUCCAAUACCUUAAGUUAUAAAACCUCCAUAUGAUCAAGUUCAAACUAAGGCCUUUUGUGAUACUAGAUUGGAAGAAUUUAAAAGUGAAGUAAGAUAAAUCAAUGAGGUAUUCAAAAAUAAGAUGAUGAACACUAUGAAAGCUAUUAGUGAACAAAUGUCUUGCCUUGUUAAAAAUCAAACUCCAACUAUAGAAUCUAUACACCACAAAUCGGAAAUUCAUACUUCUAGAUUAUGGUGUAAAAACUAUAGAUAAGCAAAUCACAGUGCUCAAUUUUGUCCAUAGUUUUUACAAAAACCACUUAUAGAAAUGAAUGAAUCCCAAUCUUAUAGAUUUUCUCACCAUUCAAGAUAAGUAGGUCCUAGCCUUCCUUCCAACCAAACGAAUAAUAUUACACCUUGUCCUACUUGUGGAAAACCACAUCGAGUAGGUCAAUGUUGGAUUAAAAAUGGAAUUAUAUGCUCAAAGUGUAGAAGUUCUCAUCCUAUAGAUUGUUGUAGAAGAUCCAACCAAGUUAAUUCUUUAACUUCUUCUUUAAGAAAUUAUAAUAAUCAAACUAGACGAAAUAUACAAGAAGUGAGAUUUACAGAUCCUAUUGUUACAAAAAAUCCAUCAAACAUGUAUUAUGACCCUUCGAGCAAUGGUCAAAACCAUCAUCCUCCAACAAUAGUUAGAAUCAAUCAUGGAAUAUUAUAUGGAUAUGUAGCUGAUACUCAAAAUCAAAACCAACAACCAACAACCAUAUUCUUCUCAAAAUGUUAGAUAUACAGUGAUUCAACCUGAUGUACCUACUAUAUCAACCUUAUGAUCUCUUCAAUCUAACUUAGUUCAACUAGACAACGAGGAGAUUUUUAAGAAUAAUAUAUAUUUACCUUCUCUGGUUGUAAGUAGAAGUAUGAGUGCUAAAAAACCAAUGGAUUUAGUACCUCUUGAAAAUAAUGAAAUAUCUUUAGAUACUUCAGAAGAAUUGCUUAAGUUUGAAGAAUUGACAAAAAAUACACAGGAGGUAGCUAAACAACUAAAACAACCAAUCAUCUUCUUUGAUUGAAUCUAAUGAGGAAGAAUAUAAAUUUAAGGACAAAGAAUGGCCUUGGACUUCUAAUACCUUGUUAAAACAUCCAACAAUUACUAGAGCCUUCAAUCCUACAAAACCAUAUGAUUUAUGGCAAGACCUUUCUAAGGCUAGAGCCAACAUUUCUUUAAGUCAAUUGAUUCAAGUAGCAUCAACCAUCAAAAAAGACCUCAAAGAAGGUAUAAUUACACAAAAAAAAAACCAAAAAUAUAGAAGGAAUAGCUAGAGUUAAAGUUGGAGAUUUAGAAGGAGAUAUUACCUCAAAAAAAAAAAAAAAAAAAAAGACAUUAGAGAGUAUAGACCUACUAAGAUAGAUAUAGAAAUAGUAAAUAAAAUAAUUCCUAAGGUCAUAGUAGAUGAUGGAAGUAGCAUUAAUAUUAUGUCCAAAUCCACUAUGAUCAAAUUGAGAUUAAAAAUCACUCAUAAAGUAGUUAUGAAAGUGAGACUAGUUGAUCAAAGACCUUCUCAACCUUUAGGUCAAAUUCGAGAGCUUCAUAUGCAAGUAGGAGGUGUAGAUUAUGUGGUAUCAUUUUAUAUCAUAUGCCUAUGUGAAGAAGUGGAUAGCUACCCUCUAUUGUUAGGAAGACGAUGGUUGAGGCAAUCUAAAGGAGUAACGAAUUAGAGGGCUUCUAAGCAUUUUUUUACUUUUGGACUUUUAAAAAAUUGUACAAAAAUCAUAGUAUCUAGCCACUUUAGACUCCAAUCUUUGACUCUAUUAAAAAAAAUACCAACAUCUAAAGAGGCCAAACAAAGUAGUUUUAUCCAAUCCAAUUCAACUUCUACUAUAGCACCAAUCAAAUGUAUUGGCCUUGGAUUAUAUGAAUAUGAAGAUGAGGGUGAUUUUUUCAAAUAGUUAGAAGAGAAUCCUUACGAAGAAGAAGACAUUCAUAUUUGAUUUGUAGAGUUUGAAGUCUCAUCCUUGCGCAUUGCCAUUGACAAAAGAUUGGAUGUUUUUCAAACUUUGGAAGAGCAUUUAGAAAAACUUAGAGGAAUUAAAAGAUUAUAAUUCAAUACAUAGAAACUACUUAGUUGAGAAGGAAGGAGAUCUUUGAUUAUUAAAAAAAAAAAAAAAAAAAAAAAAAAAAAAAAAAACUUCUUAUCCCAAAGAUGUAGGUAAUGGUCUAAGAUGCUAAAAGUGGCUACAUGUGGAGACAUAUUGAGUCUAAACCAAAUAAUUGAUCUUUUUUGAGUCUAUGUCAAUAUUUUAGUAGUUUUCUACUUAUAUUCUACUUCUUUUAAUAGAUGACAAUGCCUUUUUUGAUAAAUUUUUAUAUUUUAUUUUAUUUUAUUGUAAUUUCUUAUAUUUUUUAUAGAUUGUGUCAAAUGCAAGAGUUGGAUUCUCUCUAAUUUUACAAAUAGUCCCAGAUGGUCACCAAAUGUGGGUUCCAUCAAUAGAUCUUAAUUGAUAGAUUAGUUAAAAAUAUAGUAUUGAAUCAUUUAAUGAGAUAAAUAUUAAGGUUAGAGAGUCUUUUUGACUAUUUAAAUACUUAUUAUAAUUUAGAAGUAUUUAUAAGUAUAAAAGUCUUAUUAGAAGAAAAGUUAUAAAAAUAGAAUCUUAGUAAGUCUUGGAGGCAAUUAUCUUAAUUGGUUUAGUAUUUUCACUCAUUAUUGAGUAUUAAUGAUUAGUAAUUGAGAAAAAUUUCUAAAUUGGCCUCAUAUCUAUAUAUAUUACUUACAGAAAUACUAUCAAUGAUUAGUUAAUAGUUAAAAGAAGCAUGAAAAAGAACUUCAUAUCUUUUAAGUUAUGUAUGUAAAAAAUAGGAUUUUUAGUGGAUUUAAAUUAAUUUUAUUAAUAUAAAAAUUACAAAAAUAGAAAAAUAUAUUACUUUAUGGAUAUUAGUAUUAUAGAAAUAUUACAUGAUUUUUUAGAAUUUUUUUAGAAUUUUUUUAGGAUUUUUUAUAAAUUUUAGAGAAAAUUUUAAAACCUUCAUAAAAUUAAGUUUUACCACCUUGAAAGCCACUAUGAAGAAAUGAAACAAGAUUUGAAGACUAUGCAAGGUUUCUACGCUAAUUGGAUAUUUUUGAACACCAUGGUGAAUUCAAAAAUGAAAAAAGAAUAGUUUUACUAGUAGAAAAUAGAAGGACCAGUAGCUAGUGUAGUUCUUGUAGGAAGAAAGAUGCAUAAUUUCCAUAUGGGUUGUAAUACCUUGGGUAUAGGUAGGAAGAUAAGACUAAGGCCUCAAGGCCUCUUUAGAAGACCAAUAUAUACUACUUGUGAGCUUUGGUGAGGUUCGAACUCCUUAUUUCUUAAGCAAGUUACCCUUGAGGUAAAAAAAUUUUACUUAACUAUUCUAUUAUUUACAUUCUAUCUUUAAUCUAUCAUAACUUACUCAUAGUAACUUGGAAUUACAUGAUUUUUAUGUCAUUAGGAAGAUAAAAAAAUUAUCUAUCUAAAAUUCUAUCUUUUAUUUUUCAAUUUUAUCUUUUAUUAGAUGAAAAUCCAGUGAACAAACUAUGACUACUUUGUAGUGUAUAAUUGCUUGAUUGCACUUGUUUCACUUGUUUGGUGUUGUCCUUCUUUUAUUCUUGUUUAUUGCUACUUCUACUUCUCACAACUAAUUACAAGAAAUUCUUAAUUGAGGCCAUCUUAUAAUUUGGGAUGAGGAGAAAAUUCACCUUCACAGAUCACCAUUAAGUCCAGUCAUUUUAAGACUUUUAUGGCUUGAUUAAUACAAUCCAUGGGUAGAUUGUAUAUCUUGGAAGUGAAAAUUUCUUUUAGUAGAAAAUAGAACUUCCAGAUCUAUGAAAAAGCUUAUAACAUCUGACAAGCCAAAACUUAAACAACGUUUAUUUAUUGGAGCUAGAAGAUUUGUGAGAGCAGCCAAAUAGGACACUACAUUUGUUGUCUAUGCAAAUCGACAAUCAAAAUCUAUAGUUGCUACAACAAAAAUUUCAGAAGCUUAUAAGGAUUUUACAAAUAUGUUUGAAAAGAUAAAUGUGAACAUCUUAUCAAAGCAUUAUCCUUACAAUUGUACAAUUGAUGUUCAAGAAGAUGUUCAACCACUGUUUGGACCCAUCUACAAUUUAUCCCAAAAUGAUCUUGCAACUUUAAAAGAGUACAUUGAUGAAAAUCUAGCUAAGAAUUUUAUUUAACAUUUCAAGUUGCCAGCUGGUGCUCCGAUAUUAUUUAUAAAGAAAAAAGAUGGAUCUUUAUAAAUAUAUGUCGAUUAUUGUAGACUUAAUAAAAUCACAAUAAAGAAUUGAUAUCCAUUACAAUUAAUAUCCGGACUUCUUAAUCAACUUAGUCAAGCAAAGAUCUUUAUAAAAAUUGAUCUACAAGGCACAUAUAACUUGGUAUGCAUUAAGGAGGGAGAUGAAUGGAAGAUAGCAUUUUACACCAGAUAUAGACAUUUUGAACACAAUAUUUUGACUUUUGGACUUACGAAUGCACCAGUCAUAUUUCAACAUUUAAUGAAUGAUAUAAUUUGUGAACAUCUCAAUGACUUUGUUGUGAUCUAUUUGGAUGAUAUUCUAAUCUUUUCUAAGAAUCCAAAAGGCCACAAAAAACAUGUCCACCUUCUGUUGGAAAAGCUAUGAAGUAUUGGGCUAUAUGCAAAAUUAGAGAAGUAUAUAUUUCAUGUACCUCAAGACCAAUUUGUUGGAUAUAUUAUUUCCAACAGAGACCUUUUUAUAGAUCUAAAGAAAGUACAAGCAAUCAUCAAUUGGACAAAGUCAAAAAUUAUACGUAAUAUCCAAUGCUUUCUUUGAUUUACAAACUUUUAUAAGAUUUUUGUUAGAAAUUACUCCAAGAUUUCUGCUCCACUUAUGCAGUUGACAUACAAGGACAAGUUAGACUAGAGCCUUAACGCAGAGGUAACUUUUCAAAGCUUAAAAGAUGCUUUCACAAUAGCUCUAAUUUUAAUACAUCUAGAUUUCAAGAAGCCCUGUUUUAUGGAAAUUGAUGCUUGAGACUUUGCAUUAAAAGCAGUCUUAUUACUAUAUAGAGAAGAUGACAAACUUCAUCUAAUUGCAUUCCAUUCCAGAAAAUUUUUAGUGGCAAAAAUCAACUAUAAAAUCUACAAUAAGAGUUGUUUGCUAUCAUAGAUUCCUUCUAAGAGUAGUGCCACUUUUUUAAAUGCGCCUCUCAUCAGGUGACUAUAUAUGCAGAUGAUAAGAAUCUUGAAUACUUCAUGUCAGACCAAGUCUUGAACCAUCGCCAAGUGCAUUGUUGUGAUGUAAUAUAACUAUAUAGUGAAACUAUAAUCAAAAUUUAAUUACUAAUUAAUAUCUAAUUAUCUUGGUUCAAUAAUAAUUCAAGGUUUUUAAACAUGGCUUAUAUUAAAGCUUCUUAGGUUAUUUUUUUAUCUUAAUAGUUAGUAGGUUGAAGGUUAAUUAGUAAUUUUACCUUCUAGCUAUAGAGACUCUUUUACUACCUUACAAAGACCAUAAAUUGAUAAAAUCAGAUUAGAAGAGAUAAAUAAUUAAUAUAUUUAAUACUAGGAUUAAAUUGAGGAUAAGAUUGGACUAAAAAAUCCUUAUGAUAGGUUAGAUUGAUACCUAGGGAUCGACAAUUUGUGAGAUAGGAUCAAAAUCUGACCUUUGGCCACUAAAUCAGACCUUUGAGCCUAGGAAAAAAUAAGGAUUUAUUUGAAGAUCGAAAAUUAAGGUUUGAGAGCUAGGUUAGAGCUUGUUCCAAAGAUGUUAGGUUACUUUUGAUAGAAUUUGAAGAAAGUUAGUAAUUGUUGUUGGAAGUCAAGGUUUGUAUUGGAAAUUUGAGAUUUAUGCAAUUAAAUUAAGACUAGCACUCUCAACUAGUUCGUAAAAUUGGUGUCACAUCUAUAGUUUAAAUUUUGACAAUGCUUGGAUAAUAAGGUGUUUUAAGUGUAUGUGAUAUUUUAUACUAAUUCAAUGGUGCAAUUGAGAGAUAACUAGAUUUUGGUAGAAGAACAUAUUAAAAGUUAGUAGUUUGGGAUUGGAUAGGGUUUCUAUAUUAUCUAGAGAUCUACUAAUCAAAUCAAAGUGAAAUUUGGCAUGGUAUUGAAGGACUUAAAGAUCAAGCUAUAUACCAAUUUUGAAUUGAAGCUAACUAUUGGAAAAAGAGAAAUCACUGCUGGGACUUUUGGUUCACCUUUCAAGUUAGUAGCAAAGUGAUAUCAGUGCAAUUUUUGAAGGUUUUUUUAGAAUCUAUAAAUUAGAUUGGAUUGAAAAUUCUUAAGCAUAUAAAAGACUUAUAUUGAAAAUUGAAUAAAAAAUUUUACAUCAAGCAAACAAUUAGAUUAGAAGUUACAGCUUGUCAAAGCUCAUUGAUCAAAGUUGGAGCUUACAAGAAAAAUCGUAAUUGCUUAAAUAUGAAAGUAACAAGGUAAUUGAUGUUUAUGUGUGAUUGAAGCUACUAAGAAGAUUAUUUUUUAGCACUUUUGAAUCAAAAUUUUGAUUAUAUUCUUUUCAUAUAGGUGAAACCUUUUAGGAUUUCCUGGAUAUUUGUAAAAUACAACCUCACCUUCCACAGCUAGGUGCUUAGUGCAUUCCUAAGCAAGACAACACAUAAUACGAUAGUGUUGAAGUGUAAUUUUAUCACAAUUUAUCUUUUUCAUUAUAUAUCAACUAGAAGGGCCAACAAGGAUUAUCAAAUGUUGUAUGGACUUCUUCAACCCCUUCUUACUCCAAGACAACCAUGGUCAUCUAUCUCAAUAGAUUUCAUUACAAAUCUUCUACCAUCAAGCUCAUUUGAUACUAUCUUCAUAGUUGUUGAUUGAUUGAUCAAGUUGGCACAUUUUAUACUUUUCAAGAAGUCAAAUAGUAGUGAAGAGAUGGUAAGAUUCUUUAUUGAUAAUAUCUAUUAUUACCACAAAUUAUCAAAGGACAUUAAAUUGAAUUGUAGGCCAUAAUUUGUAUUAAGGUUUUGGAAGGUACUCUUCAAGAUUCUUAAAGUUGACAUUGAUCUUUCUUCUAACUUCCACCUUCAAAUUAAUGGCCAAAUGGAAUAGAUCAACCAAAUUCUUCAGCAAUAUUUGAGAUACACUAUCAAUUAUUAAGAAGACAACUAGAUUUCCUACUUGUCGUUGGAAGAAUUUGCAUAUAACAACACAAUCUAUGCAUCUAUACAACAAAUGCCAUCCUAUUCAAACUACGGUCAUCAUCCAAAGUUGGAUAUGAUAGAGUCUUCAAAGUCGUCAAAUCUAGUAGCAGAGGAGUUUGCUACGAAGAUGGCCGAACUUCAAGCAAUCAAGAAAACUCACUUAGAAAGGGCUCAACAACAUUAUAAGCUAUUGACAGAUGAAUUGAAGAAGAAAAAUCCUAUAUUUCAAGUUGAUAAAGUGUGGCUUCUUUGGUGCAAUAUAAAAACCAACAAACCAUGUGAUAAGUUAGACUACCAAAGAUUGGAACCAUUUAUAAUUCAGAAACAAAUCAAUAACGUAACUUAUUGCUUAGAGUUACCUUCAUCGAUGAAGAUUUAUUCAAUCUUUCAUGUUUUAUUUUUGAAAAAGUAUAAACAAUCAAACAUACUAGAUCAAAGACAACCACUACCUCCUAUAGUUGAAAUCAAUGAUCAUUUUGAAUUUGAGAUAGAAGAGGUAUUAGAUUCAAGGAUAAGACAUAGAAGGCUUGAAUAUCUAGUCUAUUGGCACAGAUAUGAUAUCAACGAUUGCACUUGGGAACCAACUAGCAAUCUUGUAAAUACACAAAUGAAGGUUCUAAAGUUUCAUCAAUGACAUCCAUCUAGACUAAAAGUGGCAAAAUGAAGAACAUUAGCUUGGUAACAUGGCUUCAUGAUGAAGAUUUUUAGUUCUUGGCCUCAUAAAGCAAGGGAAGAGGUAGUCUCUAAAGAGGUAGUUUUUUCAAAUAUUUAAAGCAAUAUAAAUCAGUAGUUUGAAUUCAUGACCAUAAUCUGUUUAUAUUCUUUUGAUCUUGUCUAUUUUAUGUGAUAUAGAUGGACAAGAAAUAGAUACCUUGUCGAUCAUACCAUCUCAAGCAAGUAGCUUGUGGAAAUAAUCCCGAGAUAAAGAGCCGCUUGAACCAUGAAGAUAUCAAAGGAAACUCAAUAAUAGGUCACUAAUAAUUAUGUUUGAGGUAGAAUCUACCUAUGAAGGAUGUCCAGAAGGAAUAUUUGUAUGACAAUUCUAUAACAAAGAUAUUGAAGUUCAUGCUUGGUUAUAAAUAGAAGGCUUGAGGCACUAUCGCUGACUAGAAGGGCCUAUGUAUCAUUUACCUUGCAAAAAAUAAUUGGUAUAUAUAGUGGACACCAUGUAACAGAUCUUCAACUUCUUGCACAUAUAUUGACUUACAACAACCUUGCUUCUUAGAGACCUCAAAGUUAGAAGAAGAGGAGAUGUUAUAGACAUAUAACUAAAGUAGGUUCAAGAAGAUUCUAAGAGAUUUUAGAAAAUUUUAAGAAGGUUCUUGUAGAUCCUAUAAGAUUCUAAAAGAUUCUAAUAGAUUCUUAAAAGAUUCUAAUAGAUUCUAAGAAAAUUCUAGAAGAUCAUAAGAUAUUUUUGAAAGUUCUAGGAGGCUUUAGAUGAUUUAGGAAGUUUUCAAAGAAAGAUCUUGUGCUUUUUUUAUUCUCAAGCUUUAUGAAAACUUCUCAAAAAGCUUUUUAGGACCUAAUAUAUAUAGGAAUCAAGGCUGAGGGGAUCCUUAGUCUCAACAAUUCACUUCUUGUGGUCUAACUAGGACCUUCUUGUCUUGUAUCCAAUUAUUGUUCCAAUCUCAAAUUAAUUCUAUUUCUUUGUCUUGAAUCCUUAUCUUGUAUAUGGUCCCUAAUAUUUAUAUUCAAGGUGGCAUAUGGUCUUUUUUCAUGCUUAAAUAAUUUGGUUCUAGAUUUUAGAAUUAAAAGAAUUAUAAUAAUUUUAUUCAAUGAAUCAUAAAGAGUUGACUAACCACUUGCCUUUGUAUCCUAGUUAGAAUGAAGAAAGUUUGUAUUUUACAAAAAAUUGAAGGUUAGAGUUCCAUGGCUUAUAAGCACAAAGAAUUCAUUUACUAAACAAAGUAUUUAUUACAUCAUCUAAAUUUAUAAAACUUAACUCUCUUAAAGAUUUAUUUUGACUACAUAUAUUCUAAGCUACUUGAGUAUAAAUUUUGUAUUCAUAUCAAGUCUAUAAAUAAUUCCUAAGGAGGCCCUUAAUUUUCUUAAUAAUUAUUUUGGAGCUUACCUAUACUCCAAUAAAAUACUAAAGAAUUGAAAGUAGAAUUUAAUUAAAAAUUAAUAAUCUCUUGGCUAAGCACAACUUAAUUAUAUUUCAAAACAUAAGUUUUUUCUAAAUGCAAUUAACUAAAAAUUCAUCCACAUUAAAAAUAGAGAUGUUGAUUUCAAAUAAUGUAUCAACAAGUUUUAUUAUAUUUCUAUCUUUUAUCCAAAUUCAUUAUUAAAAAAUAUCUAGAUAAGAGAGGGACUUCUUUUUUCAACUAAGACGACUCCUGAUUUGGCUCAAUUACUAAUUAAACCAUAAGUUUUAUAAAAUGUUUUAAAAACUAUGAUUAGAUUAGAUACAAAAGACUUAUCUGCUUUAACAAUGAAGGAUGUGUCAUUUUCAUAUUGGAAAACGAAUUACUAAGCUAUAGAAUUAAGUAGUUUAGUUUUUUUAAUUAAAUUCCUAAAUUGGCUUAUUAAGUUUUGCAUUGAAGGCCUCUCCUACUAAUAAGAAAUAUGAUAUAAUAGAAUAGCUUCGGAAAAUUUUAUAAUUUAUUAAAAAAUUAAAGAUGGCUUAGCUAUUAAUAUUAAUUAUAGUUUUAACACCAAUAAGAAUAAUAGAUACCAUAUUCAUGAAUUCAAAGAGAAAUUCCAAAGUAGACAUUGUGUUAAAUAGAAAAUACCAAUUUAGUCUAUCAUAUACCUUGAAAAAGUCCAACUUUAAGAAAAUAGAAUUUUAUUUAGAUUUCUUAGCCCACAUCAAAGUCUUGUGUGUUAGUGAAAUAUUAUAUAAUAUAAAACAAUUAGAAAAAAAGACACUUUGAUCAUGAAAUAUAAUACUACUAAAAAAAACUUGAAGUCACUUUUGUAAUAUCCUUACAUGGAUUUUGUAUGAUACAUUAAACAAGGUAAUAGGUCUCUAAUUACCAAAGAUAUAUUUAUCUCCUAUUUUUAAAAUAAGAGUAAUAAAGCCUCUGAUUAUAUACUAUAAAUUGACCUUGAUUAAUUAUGAUUGUAAUCAUUUGUCAUAGGUUUUUUUAACUCCUUAGCUAAAAGUGGAGAAAUUUGGUUUAGAAGAGCCUUUAGGAUCUUCCAUUCAGCUAUUAUUUCUAUAGUCAUAUAAGGCACCCAACAACAUAAUAUGAAGAAGUAAUGUCUGUACUCUUUUAUUAUUGCAGCUUAUCUUGUAAUGUUAGUACCUCACUCCUUCAGCAUUUUAUAAUAUUAGAUUUGAUAAAAAAAAUUAUGAACUAUAGAAAAAAAAAAAAAAAAAAAAAAAAAAAAUCAUAGAAUUACCUUUGACUUUCCAAUGAAGUCUCAAUCAAAUCCAUCUUUCCAAAAUCUUAUAAAUUUCUAAUACAAAUAAUUUUUUAUUACAAGAUUCUAAACUUUGUAAUUUGUGGUUAUAAGGAUCUCCUUGUAAUAAAACUUAGACAAAGUAGAGGGCUAAGCAAUAGGAUUUUUUCUACCUAAAGAAUUCUUCUAUUUUUUGUUUAGUAAAAGCUUUAUAUUCUUACAUAAAUUAUCUAAGCAUAGUAAAAAAUGGUUGAAGAAGAACAACAGUCGGCUUUUUAAAUAUGCCUCACUAUCUCUUUUAUAUGUAAAUCCUCUAAAUAAGAAAUAUUCAUUUUGUAGAAUCUCAUGUUGUACACUAUAUUAUCUAAAAUAAGCUUAAUAUGACCUGAUAAGUGAUUAAAGAGUGUUGAAUUUGUCAAAAUUUUAUAAUUAUAUACAACCUUCCACAAGCUAAGAAUAAUACUUUUGAGAUAUAAUUUAUAUCUAUAUGCAUUAUAAUUCUAUCUUUUUUUGUUGUCCUAUAAAAAACAUAGUUUUUUUUGGAAUUCAAAGAAAUUUACAAGGUUAAAUUGAUUUUUGAAUUGUUUCCAUGCAAGGUUUUCCUCCACUAACAGAAUGCAAUUAUAAUAGGAGGUUUUAUCAAUUUAUUUUUUAUUACAUUAAAAUUACUACUAAAUUACUAAUAGAAAUUCAAUAAUAAAGAGAAUGAUAUUUUAUUCCAAAAUAUGAUUUGAUUAUUAGAGCAAUUUGAGGCAAAUAAAUUAAAAAUAUCCAAAUCACUCCUUAAGAGACCACUAAAUUAGAUCGAAAGCCUCUAGUUAUUCAUAAUAAUAUUGUUGCUACUAACAAGUAGAGUGAGCUUAUUGAAUAUAAAAUUACAAAUUUUGUAUUUUUUGAGAUCCUCUCAACCAUCUAUAUUAUAGCCAAGAAUCGCUUCAAUUAAUCAUUGGCCACAAUGGAGCUAUAAUUACUUCCUAAAUUUAUAUAUUUUUUCUCUCCAAAGUUUAUGCUCCUAAAUUAUGAUCAUGUCUAAUCUUUCAUCUAUUUCUUGAAUAUAAUUUUUUGACUUAUCUAUUUUAAGCUUAUCAUUAAAUCUUCAAGCAUUAAGUGUAAUUGAUUUAAUAUUCAUCAUUGGCACAUAGUUCUUUGAUUUAAGGAGCUACUUGAGUCUCAAGAAGAUCUAUUCUUAAAGACAUAAAUCUCAGAAAACUAAAAAAUCAAUACAUUUUUUUAUUAUUCAAAAAGAUUAAAGAAUCAUUCAAAAAUAGUAUAAUAUUCAACUAGAAUGGCUAUUAUCAAAGAUAAGAAGAUUAAAAAGUCUUAAAAUAAGACUAAAGACUAAAAAGACAUUGACAAGAGUAAAGAAGGCUUCACUCUUAUCUCCAUAUGUACUAUCUAACUAAGAGCUACAUAUUAAUAUUCUAUAGAAUCUCCAACAUAUAUUGACUUUGCAAGACAUAUGUCUUGACUUGCAACAAAAUUUUCUUUUAUGCACAUCCAUAUCAUUAGCUUGUAUCACAAGCUACCAACACGUCUAACAAGUGGUUAACUUAUUGCCAAAGUUUCUAACUUAUCAAUCAACUACAAAUAUAUAUAAAAUCAAAUACAUGUCUAUCAAUGCUAAACCUCGUCUAAGAAGCUUUGCUACAAGAUAAUAUAAAAUCUACCUAUAUUUAUCUUCUAUCUAAUACUUCUUAUCUAAAUAAAUAUGUUUUUCUAUGAUAUUUGUUAGGUCUUGGAGAAAGAGGACAUUGAGGCAUAUUUGACAUACCACUAGUUGUUCAAGGUGGUAUGUGGCUAUGGCUCCAACUAUGCAUUGAGUUCAAUCUUAAAUUCAAAAGGGGUUGAGGUUGAAAGUACAUCCUUAUUACCAACAGGAUUAGCAUUAAAAUCAAUGUGUGGUAGAGCCACAUGAAUGCUUGAGCUUGUGUAGCUGAAGAAAAGCUUGCUAUGUGUACAAGCUGGGGAGUCUCGCUUAGUUCUAGCAUAUUAGUUGUGGUGAUGGGAAUUGGGCAGGAGUACUUAGCGUGCUUAAAGCCUCUACCUUCUAGUCGUUGAAGCGGGCAGAGAUGUACUGGGAAUGCGGUCAGACCCAUCAAUGGGAUAUAAUCUUAAGUAACGUUGAUAUGUUGGCUUGCAGAUGGAGAGACCAUCACAAGAUGAAGGGAAGCUUGAUUUUGAAUAACGUUGACAUGGAGGCUUAUCGAUGGAAAAACUAUCGUUAGAUGAAAGGAAGCUUGCGAUGGUGGUGGAGGCUGGCCUAUAGACAGUGCUGGUAUAGCGGAUUUGAAUUCAACAACAUUAAGGGAGCCGAUCGGGGAGACCUUGGCAGAGGAGAUAAUAUUAGAUUUAAUAUUUGUAGGAGAUAUAAUAUGAAACGGCUCAUCCCGAGGUAGUAAGUCUACAAUCAAUGCAAUAGCAAGACCUUCGAAUGCCAUUGGUAGGGUAUGAAUGUUUACACUGUCUGCGUUGAAUUGAACUUCUUUUGCAAGGUUGGACAAAGUCACUGUCAUAGGAAGCGGAUCUAGGGGAAGCUUGGCAUGUGACACUGUCCAUGACUUCCCAUUAUGAUUACAGCCGAUGAUUGAUAUAAAUCCAUCUUUGUCGAGUUGUACAUGUCAUGGGUGCAAUCUUCUUCUAGCGUACGUCGAAGAAGGACCUACCUUAUACCAAAGACCUCUUAUAUCGCGGUCUGGGGAUUGUUCAUCUUGUAGGAUGUGUUGAUCCAGAUUGGUGUGGACAAUCUCUGAUUUUAUGGGUCACCUCGAGACAAAGUCUGCUCUUAAUUCAUAAAUGGAUAUAGUUUAUCAAGAUGGUAAUUAAUCUUUGAUUAACCUGAUCUCCAAUUUCCAAUUUUGUUUUCCAUUGAUUGUAUCAAGGGCUACACAAAAGCAUUGUUUAGCAAUAAAAUGUAAUACUUGUUAAAAUAAAAGUAGAAAAUGUUACCUUGUAUAAGAUGUUAUCUUAGGUAAGUUGCUAGUGGUCAAAGGUUUGACUCUUGGUAUAUUAUAAGGGCAUCCAAUGGAUAUAGGACAAAAUCAUGGACCAAGAGUCAAAAUCAAAAGGAUAAAGUAUUAACAAGGGAAUAUCCAAAGACUAAGUAUGAGUCAUUGUCACGGAUACAAAAUACAGACAAGAAAACUAGACAAGAAGUUCAAGAAGAACUGGAUUAAUCAGAUGAGUACAAGAACAACACCAGAAAGGUGAGCUAGAACUCCAAGAGAUGUGUUGUCGAGACUGAAGAACCCUUCAGCCUCGACUCCUAUAUAUACUACUGAAUAGGAAGCUUCUCGAGCUACUUCCGCUAACUAGGACGCUUCUCCAACAACUUCUACUAAUUAGGAAACUUCUCAAGCAACUUCCUAGAAUCUAUCAGAAUAUUCUAGAACCUUCUAAGAGAAUCUUUAGGGAAUAUUCUAAGAAUCUUCUAGAACCUUCUAAAAGAAUCUUUAGGGAAUAUUCUAGAAGAAUAUUCGAAGAAUCUUUCAAUGUAUGUCCAUGACAUCACCUCCUCUUCUAACUUCGAGGUCUCCGAGAAGCAAUGUUGUUAUCAGUCAAUACCAACGCAAGAAAAUAAAAAUCUGUCGCAUCACAUCUGCUAUGAAUUCCAAUUGUUGUUCGCGAGGUAAAUGAUUCAUCGGCCCUUAGAGCCAACGGUAGUGACCAACACCUUCAACCUCUGACCAAGCGUGGACUUCUGUGUCUUCAUUGUCAAACUGUCCUCCAAACACACCUUCUGGCUGACCGUCGUAGGCAGGCUCGACCUCAAAUACAAUUACUAGCGAUCUGUUGCUCGGUAUCCUCCGACGUCGUCGUGGUGCAGGCGGUUCUUCAUCUCGCAGUCGUCUUCGUGAGCUAGUCGCUUGAAAUGACAUAACAAGUGUAGUAUCUUGACUAUCUAUGUCCAAAGGCUAAAAUGAUGAGAGCAAACUAUAGUUGCUAACAAAGUUCUACACUAUCGAACUAUGGGUUUUGGAGGUGCCCUCCCCCCUUUUUAUGCUACUUGAUGAGCAGGCUUCAGCAAGAAGCUGUCACGGACAAACAUAUAAUUACCUAUAUGAAUAGAUAAAAGUAUGUAAAAGUAGGUUAAUUGUGUAAUAUCUUCUAGAGAAGCUUCUUAGAAGCUUCAUAGACGCUGCUUUGACUUUAUAGGAGUCUAUAGUUGACUUUUAGGUUAGAAACUUGGUCAACAACUUAGCCAUGUGCCACGCAUGUUGGAAGCUUAAAGAACAAGCUAACUACGUGGUCCAUCCAUAGAAAACUUGCCUUGCAAGCAAAGGCAUGUGGCCUAGAAAGUCAACAUAUAUUGGAGGUCUUAUAGAACAUCGCCACGUGGCUUCUACUUAGAUAGUAUAUAUAGAGGCAAGAGUGAAGCCCUCUUCACUCUUGUCAACUCCUUUCUUGCUUCUAGUCCAGGUUCAAGAGUCUUUAGUUUCUUGUCUUGUGGCAAUAGCCAUUCCAGUUUCCUUUUAAUAUACCUACUUGUUUAUAUUUUGACUUAUUAUAUCGAGAUAGCCUUUUGGUGUAUAUUUUUCCUCAUCGAGUCUUUGUCCUUGACAGAAGCUAUCGUUGAAUCGGCUUAGGUUUAUGAGGAUAUCGUUGAUGAAAUUCUUGUACCUUUUUUGGCGCAUUGGCAAGAUUUUCGGCACGCUCCCACGUUCGUUCAUUGAUGUCGUAUCCACUCCAAUGCACUAAAUACUCCAAUUUUCUUCUAUUAUGCCGUGAAUCUAGUAUCUUUUCCACCUCGUAUUCCUCAUGGUUUUCAAUUUCGAUACUUGGUGGCGGACUUUGUACUCUUUGGGGAAAAGCUGACUCUCGAUAAGGUUCCAACAAAGACACGUGAAAGACUGGAUGUACCUUCAUAGUAGCUGGUAACUCCAGACGAUAUGCCACCGGAUUGAUCUGCUUCCCGAUAACAAAUGGCCCUAAUCUCCGAUAGUCCAAUUUGUCACAUGGCCGCUUGGUCUUGAUAUUCCGUCGAAGAAGCCAUACUUUACUUCCAACUUUAAAAGUAGGCGCCUCAUUUCGAUAUUUAUCUGCAGAUGCCUUGUAACUCUCUUGGGCAGAUUGCAAUUGAAGCUUCAACGUCGCUUGAAGCUCCGAUAGUUGCUUCACAAAUCCUUCAGCUGCUGGGUUGUUAUUUGCUGAAGAACUCAAUAAAUCGAGCUUGGGGUGGUAUCCGUAGUUGGAGAAGAAUGGUGUUUGUUGAGUUGACGCAUGAACAGUGUUGUUGUAUGCAAACUCAGCAAGCGGUAGAUAUGCAGUCCAAUCAUCUUGUUGAUAGUUGAUGCUGCAUCGUAAAUAUUGCUCCAAAACUUGAUUCACCCGCUCCGUUUGACCGUCAGUUUGAGGAUGAAAAGCCGAAGAGAGCUUAAUAUCCACCUUCAAUAUCUCAAAGAGGGACCUCUAAAACUUGGAUACAAACUGAGUACCUCGAUCCGACACGAUAUCAUCUGGUAGGCCAUGAUAACGAUAUAUGUUAUUAAGAAAGAGUCUUGCGGUGUCUUCACUUGACGAUGUUUUCUUGCAAGGCACGAAAUGUGCCAUCUUGGUAAAUCGAUCUACCACAACAAAGAUGCUGUCAAAUGAAUUCGAUGGCGAUAGGUCCGUAAUGAAGUCCAUAGAAAUUGAAGACCAUGGUCGGUGCGGAAUAGGUAAUGGCUGGAGAAGUCCAUACGGACGAUGUCGAGGGAAUCUUGGAUCUUGAACAAACAUCACAAGAAAGGACAAAUUCCUUCACAUCCUUCCACAUUUGGAGCCACCAAAAAUCUCGUGAAAUGAGCUCCAAAGUCUUGUUGAAUCCAAAAUGUCCCGCAGUUGGAAAGUCGUGGCGAGAUUGAAGUACUCGGAGUCGAGUUGGUCCUUUUGGGAUAUACAACCGCUCCUCAAAAUACAGAAGAUCUCCCUCCACCUUAAACUUGUCAUUAUCGACACGUUGUUUGAUGUCAAGAGCUAUAGAAUCCUCAAUGGUCGCAGUACGUACCUCGCUGAGGAAGCCGUCAUCGAUGGUUGCAACAGUAGCAAAAAUCCUGAAUUUUUCUGGUUUCAACAAUGUUGUACAUUGUUGAUCAAACGCUGCAUCUCCAGCCUUUGGCGCAAGAUACGAUCUCCUCGAUAAUGCGUUAGAUAAUCCUUGCUGUUUUUCAGGGCGGUAGGUGAUAAUAAAGUCAAAUCGUGAUAGAGACAUAUUCCAUCGAGCUUGACGACGAUUCAAAAUUCGAGCUGUCAUGAAGUACUCCAAAUUCUUGUGGUCCGUAUAAACAGUCACUGGAUGUGCAGCUCCUUCGAGGAAGUGACGCCACUCUUGGAAGGCAUCCACUAUAGCAAGCAGCUCUUUGUCGUGGAUCUCGUAGUUGAUCUCAGCAGCAGAGAAUUUCCGUGAAUAGAACGCAACUGGGUGAAGCUUCUUGUCUAUGCCCAUCUGUGAAAGCACAGCUCCCAAAGCAAAAUCUGAAGCAUCGGUCUCUAAAUAGAAAGCCUUUGCAAAGUCAGGGUGUACCAAGAUUGGAGCCGUAGUGAAUGCCGUCUUGAGAUCUUGAAAUGCUUUUGCUGCUUGUGAUCCCCAUUCGAGCUUGUCUUUGCUUGUUAGACGCGUGAGUGGUGCAGCAACUUGAGAAUAAUUCUUGAUGAAGAUCCGAUAGAAGUUAGCAAAUCCAAGAAAACAUUGAACAUCUCUAACCGUCUUCGAAACUUCCCAAGAUAUAAUUGCUUCUACCUUUUUUGGAUCCAUCUUCAAGCCCUCUGUAGUCGCAAUGAAGUCCAAAAAUUCCAUCUCAUUCUGGUGAAAUUGACACUUCUCCAACUUGGCGUAGAGUCCUCGUUCGCGUAAUUUUUCAAGAACCAAACAAACGUGCUUCUCAUGUUCUUCUUCAUUCUUGGAAAAUAUCAAAAUAUCAUCCAGAUAGAUGACAACAAAGUCAUCGAGGUACUCCCAAAAGAUGUCAUUCAUCAUAUGUUGAAAGACCGCUGGAGCAUUGGUAAAACCAAAAGGCAUGACAUUGUACUCAAAAUGGCCAUACCUUGUACGAAAGGCUGUCUUCCAUUCAUCUCCUUCUUUGAUUCGCACAAGGUUGUAGGCUCCUCUUAAAUCAAUCUUUGUAAAAAUCCUUGCACGUCCAAGUUAAUCUAAGAGGCCGGAGAUCAAAGGUAAGGGAUAGCGAUUUUUCUUGGUCACCUUGUUGAGUCCUCGGUAGUCCACGCACAUCCGCAGUGAGCCAUCCUUUUUCUUCACGAAUAGGAUUGGUGCUCCAGCUGGCGACUUUGAAUGUCGAAUAAAAUUCUUGGCUAGAUUCUCAUCGAUAUACUUCCGCAAUUCUGCCAACUCCGUCUGCGAUAGGUUGUAUAUUGGACCAAAAGGUGGUUGCGUUCCUUCCUCUAAGUCUAUGGCGCAAUCAUAUGGUUGAUGUUCCGGCAGUAUAUCGGCGUUCUUCUUCUGAAACACGUCUUCAAAAUCCCUAUAUUGCUCUGGUAUAUUCGAUGUUGAGAUAUUCUCGCCGCUAGUUGGAGCUGCAUAAAUGACAAAUGGUGCGCCUUCCUUGGACGAUCUUAGGAACGCUCUCGCUCCAAUAAACAUGGAUUUCUUCAUGUAGGUUCUACCAACAGGUUUAUUAUUAUUUUUUUCAGGAAAUGUUAUCCUUCGUAGCCUCCAAUCAAUGGACGGAUUAUGAUCUUCUAACCAAGAAAGACCAAGGAUAACAGGGCUUGAUGGGGUUCUAAUAAUAUUAAAAAUAACGUGACUACUAUGGUCCUUAAAUACCACUUCUAUAGGUUCUGAUUCGUGGGUAACGUUGCCUGACAAUAAGGGUCGUCCAUCUAUCACCUCUACGUGAACAGGUUUGGACUUCUGUACUAAACGGAUCUUGUGGCGUUUAGCAAACUCUUCAUCUAAAAAACAAGUAGAUGCCCCCGAAUCCAAUAAAGCUAAAGUUUUUUGUUUUUGAGGGCCUAAAAACAAAGGAAUUGUAAAACAACGGGCAGGUUGGACAGAGAAGGAGGAACCUGAUUGUUGUCGUGAUAUUAGAUUGUCCAGCCGCACGGUUCCUACUGUGGCUGGGCGUCGUCGUUUUCCGGAAUCAUCGCACUUCUAGUCUUGACAGGGUGCCAAUUUUACUUCUUUGGGCAAUUUCCAACCUUGUGACCUUCUUCUCCACAGUACAAACAUAACCCUUCUUCCAUACGCCGUUUCUUCUCUGUUGGAGUAAGAGAUCGGACACGCGCCGUAUCGAUUUGCAUGUCUGUUGCCUCCGAAUGUGAGUUUAAGCUAUUUGCAGACAUAGUCACGUCGUAACGAGUCAUUUGGUAUCUUGGACGUUGGUCUUGGCGACGCUGGAAUAGGCGGUUGUCACACUUUACAGCUUGGCUAAUAGCUUCGUUGAGCGUUUGAGGAUCAGGAAGAGAUAACAGCAAGUCCUUCACAUCAUCCUUCAAGCCCCAAUAAAACUGACUCACCAACGCCUCUUCACUCCAAUUAAUGUCACUUGCCAAUUGUCUGAAAUCUGAGGCAUAGACUGAUGCAGAGCGUGUUCCUUGUCGUAGCGAUCGGAUCUUUGUUGUAGCCCAUCGAACUUUAUCAUGCUCGCCAAAUGCUUCUGCAAACGCCUCCAAGAACGUUUCAGAGUUGCUGAGGAUUGGCGAUCGCUUCUCGAACAAGGGAGUAAACCAAGACAGAGCUUGUGCUAUAAGCAAGGUUCCAACAAGCUCAACACGCGCUUCCUCCGUCGGAUAACGUUCGGGCUGUAAAAUUGUUAUCAACCUGAUUUGGUUGACAAAACCUCGAAACUUGGAACGAGUUCCAUCAAACUUAUCCGGAAGACUAACUCGAGGCUCCCUUCGUUGUAGGACUACUCGAUCUUGUUGAAAUGGAGGUAGAACUGCUUCUUCUGGCACAGAAGUUUGAGGCUGAUAUGCUUUAGAUGGCGCUAUCCUAGAUGCUCCAUUGUUAUGGAGUCCUACCAUGACUCCUUCGAUCUCUGUUGUCCUAUGUGACAAUGAGGCAAGAGAAUUUAUGAUGGCGUCUAGUUUGGAUUCCAAACUUUCAGCCAUAUUAACGUCUUAACCUUCGGCUAACCUUCAGAAAGAAGAAAAAAGAGUUUUGACAAGAGGACAAUAUUGGUUCAGAGGAGAGUACUCCGCAACCUCUAAAACGCCUUAAGACUCCAAGAUGAGGGAUAAUCCACUCUCUCCAAGAAGAAUAAGGCUCCAAUAUUGAGAAAGAAGAGAUAUCAGUUUAGAGGAGGGUAAUCCGCAACCUCUAAAACACUAGCACACCUUUAAGAAGAGGGGUAAUCCACUCUCUAACAAGAAGGAACUAGCUCUGAUACCAGUGAAAAUGCAGUCUCGACAAACUGUCACGGAUACAAAAUACAGACAAUAAAACUAGACAAGAAGUUCAAGAAGAACUGGAUUAAUCAGAUGAGUACAAGAACAACACCAGAAAGGUGAGCUAGAACUCCAAGAGAUGUGUUGUCGAGACUGAAGAACCCUUCAACCUCGACUCCUAUAUAUACUAGUGAAUAGGAAGCUUCUCGAGCUACUUCCGCUAACUAGAACGCUUCUCCAACAACUUCUACUAAUUAGGAAACUUCUCAAGCAACUUCCUAGAAUCUAUCAGAAUAUUCUAGAACCUUCUAAGAGAAUCUUUAGAGAAUAUUCUAAGAAUCUUCUAGAACCUUCUAAAAGAAUCUUUAGAGAAUCUUAAGAGAAUAUUCUAGAAGAAUAUUUGAAGAAUCUUCUAAUGUAUGUCCAUGACAGUCAUUAGUAUGUGUCAUAGGAUACCUUCGAAGUUCGUGAGAUGCCAAAGGAUCCUAAGAGCAUGUGUGUAAGACGUAAGAGUAAUUAGUAUUAGACAUAGGAUACUCUUGGGACUCGUGAGAUGCCAAAAGGAUCCUAGGACUAUGUGUGUAAAAAUCAAAGAGUGGACGUUGUCUUUUAGGGCAGCAACUACCACCUAUAAGUAAUGGGUGUUGGAAGUGAGAGAUAUCUUACUCCAUACUCUUUUUGUAUGCAACCUUGCUGAUGCUAAGUGUUGUAUCUUCUAAGUACUUAAUAGGUUAUAUUUUUUUAAUAGGUUAUGAGUCCACUCACCUUUACUUCUGAAUUUUGAAGUACUUUGAAGUCUUUCUUGUUGUAAGGAGUAAAUCUUAUAGUUAUUGCUGAAUUUUGAGUUUGUUAUCUUCUAAUCCUUCUUAUGCAUCUAGUUGUUAAUGUAAUUUUACUCUUAUUUAUUAUUAAGUGUACUUAUAGUCUUUGUUCUUAUUAGACUCCAUAUAAUGAUGUUUUAGAACUCUAGUGUUAUAUUUCUUUACUGAGAUUUAUCAUUGGUGUUCUAACUUUGUGCUUUCAUGUACUUAAUUUCUUAAGAGAUUGUUCUAUUUUCACAAGAAUUUUUUUUUUUGUGAGGUUAGAAGUAUUUUGUGAGAAAAGAGGGGUGCUUGAAGAGUGGCAAAGCUUAUACAAGAAGUUCAAAUAGAGUGUAAGACUUGUGAGAAGUCUUACAUGUGAAGUUGAGAGUGAUACAAGAGUGAAAUCACUUGUUUACUUACAAAGAGGGCAUUCUGGGUUUCUAACGCAGCAAUACCUUCUUGUUGAUUUUGAGAGUUCUAUAUCUUCUUUUUUUAAUUUUCUUUCAUACAUCCCUUCCUUAAACAUGGCUUGAAGUGAGGGUGAGAGCUUGAGAGUGAUUGAGAAGUUUAGGGGUGACAACUUUUACCAUUGGAAGAAGAAAAUGGAGCUUUUGUUGGCUUCAUUGGACCUUUGGGACAUUGUUGAUGAAAGUGAAGACCCUCUAAGUGACAAUGCUGAUAUCAAAGCGAAGAAGAAGUACAAACGUUGUGAAAGGAAGGCUUUUGGGAUGAUUGCAACAAAUCUUGAUGAUGCCAAUUUUUCACAUGUUAUAGCUUGCAAUGGACCAGCGAAAGCAUGGAAGACUCUUUGCAAUAUCUAUGAGAGUGGAAACCUUGCCAACAUCCUUUGGUCAAAGAAGAAAUUUUUGACAAUAAAGAUGGAAGAAGGAGAUGACCUCAUGGCUCAUAUUAAUAAGGUAAAAGUACUUAGUAACCAACCAGCAGUUGUUGACAAACCAGUUGAUGAUAAGGACAUUGUAUUGACAUUGCUCAUGAGCCUUCCCGAAUCCUACAACUACCUCAUUGUGGCAUUGGAGUCCAUCAACAUGAAGGAGCUUACCAUGAACUAUGUCACGUCAAGACUUGCCGAUGAAGUGACCAAGAAGAAAGAAAAGGAGCUUGCAAGUGAUGAUUCGGCUCUAUUUUCAUCACAUGGCAAAGGUAGCUAUUCUCACCAACGUGAUAAUUUAAAAAGGAAUAUGAAGAAUUGCUAUAUUUGUGAGAAACCAGGUCAUUUUGCUAGAAAUUGCUAUAAGGCCAAGAAAGGAGAUAGGGAGAAUGCAAACAAUGUUAGUGAUAGUUUUGGUAGAAAUGAGUAUGCUUUCAUGACAAAGGAAGGAGCCUCCAUAGAUGCCAUGUCAAAGUGGAUUAUAGAUUCACGUGCUACUAAGCACAUGAUACCAUACAAGUGUUCAUUUGACACUUAUGAAGAAAUUCCAACAACAAAAGUAUGGUUGGGAGACAAUGGCAUGGUACAAGCCAUUGGAAUUGGCUUCAUUGUAAUAAAGAUUGUUGUGAAGGACCAAAUGAAGAAGAUCAGAUUGAAAGAAGUCCUACAUGUGUCAAAAAUGAAGAAGAACCUUCUUUCGGUGAGCAAACUUGUAUCACAUGGUUGUAAGGUUCAAUUUGACAUGAAUGGAUGUUUUGUCAAGACAUUGGAUGGCCAACAUGUUGCCAAAGGCCUUAGAGAUGGAAAUCUCUACUUCAUCAAUUGUAAAAAGGUGAAUGGAGUUGAAGUGGCGGCAUUUGCUGAUUUUUCACAAGAUCAAGACAAGUUUAGAAUUUGGCAUCAAUGUCUUAGUCAUUUGAAUGCCAAAUGCAUGAAGGAGCUCCGAUCUAUAGUAAGUGGCUUGGAUCUUGGUCAAUUCAGCCACAAUGCCAUGACACUUGCUUGUAAAAGAUGUAUACAAGGCAAACAACAAAGGGCUUCAUUUCCAAGUAGAGUUGCAACACGUGCAACAAAAUUCUUGGAGAUUGUGCACUCACAUGUUUGUGGACCAAUGAAGACACUAUCAAUUGGAGGAGCAAGAUACUUUGCUACAUUCAUUGAUGAUUUCUCAAGAAAGGUGUGGAUUUACAUCAUUAAAACUAAGAGUGAACGUUUCUCAAAAUUUAAGGAAUUUAAGGCUCUUGUAGAGAAACAAUAUGAGUGCUAGAUCAAAGUGUUGAGAACGGAAAAUGGAGGUGAAUACAUGUCAAAGCAUUUUGAUGACUUCAUGAAGAUUCAAGGUAUUGCAAGACAAACCUCUACUCCCUACACUCCACAACAAAAUGGAGUUGCUGAAAGAGCAAAUCGUACCAUUGUGGAGAUGGCAAGGAGUAUGCUUCAUACACAAACCUUAGGCAUGAAUAUUUGGCGGAAGCUGUGAUAAAUAGGUGUACACAAAGAAUAGGUGCCCUACAAGUGCACUUACAUCAAUGACUCCACAAGAAGCUUGGAAUAGGAAGAAACCUUGUGUUUCACACAUGAGGAUUUUUGGAUGCAUUGCUUAUACAAAGGUACCAGAUUGUAUGAGGUCCAAACUUGAUGCAAAAGGUACAAAAUGUGUAUUUGUUGGAUAUUGUGAAGGUACCAAAGCAUAUAGGCUAAUAUGUUUAGAAACCAAGAAGAUUAUCAAAAGUCGUGAUGUAGAGUUUUUGGAGCAUAAGAGUGCUUUUGAUCACUUAGAAGAGUAUCCAAGUGGAAGUAAAGGUGUGUUUGUGGACAUAUCUUUAAGUUCAGCAAAGAAAGAAGAAGAAGAUGAUGAUGAUGACAAUGAGGAUGGAGAAAAUAGAAGUCAAGAUCAAGUGCCAAAGAAGGUAAAUCAUAGUGUGCCUUCAAUUGCUAGAACCAACAAUGAAGACAAUGAAGAUAUUGAAGGUGAUGAUGAUGAUGAAGAAUAUCAACCUUUGAGUGAGAAAAGACAAGCAUUGAGGAAGAAGAAGGAUGGAAUGCAAGAAGAAGGGUUUUCUUCAAAUGAAAGGAGAUAUCCUUUGAGAGAAAGAAAACCAUGUGGUGAAUGGUGGAAGGAACACAUCUUUCCUCAAGUAAGUGAAGAACAUGCCAAUAUUGCACUUCUUGCUGAUCUGUUGAAUUUAUGUGAUGCAAUGAAGUCCACGGAUGCAUUGAAGUAGGAGAAUGCUAUGGAAGAAGAAUACAAAUCACUCAUGGACAAUGGAACAUGGGAAUUGAUUCAACUUCCACCAAAUCGAUCUUCAAUUGGUUGUAAGUGGGUGUUUAGAACCAAAACGGAUGCAAUGGGCAAUAUUGUGAGAUACAAGUCUAGAUUGGUUGCCAAAGGCUACUCACAAGUUGCUGGUGUAGAUUUCAAUGAGACAUAUGCUCUCGUGGCCAAAUUCACGACUAUUAGAAGCAUUGUGGCAAUUGGGGCAGCAAUAGAUUUGGAGAUGCAUUAAAUGGAUGUGAAGAUGGCUUUCUUGAAUGGAAGUUUGAAAGAAGAUAUCUACAUGAAUCAACCUCAAGGAUUUAUUGAAGAAGGCAAACAACACCUUGUUUGUAAGUUGAAGAAAUCCUUGUAUGGACUAAAGCAAUCACCAAGGGCUGUCACGGCCAUAAUCAUGUAAGCUAAUAAUUACAUAUAGAAAUAGGUAGAAGUAAGUAAAAGUAGAUAAAAGUAAGUUAAUUCUAUAAUAUUUAAUAUAGAAGCUUCCUAGAAACUUCCUAGACGCUGCUUUGACUUCAUAGGUGUCUUUAAUUGACUUUUUGGAUUAGAAACGUGGUCAACAAGUUGGCCAUGUGCCACACAUGUUGUUAGCUUGAAGAUCAAGCUAACUAUGUGGCCCACACGUAGAAAAACUUGCCUUGUAAGUCAAGGCAUGUGUCCUACAAAGUCAACACAUAUUGGAGGUCCUAUAGAACGUCGCCACGUAGCCCCUAGUUAGAUAGUAUAUAUAGAGACAAGAGUGAAGGCUUCUUCACUCUUGUCAACUCCUUUCUUGCUUCUAGUCCAGGUUCAAGAGUCUUUAGUUUCUUGUCUUGUGGCAAUAGCCAUUCCAGUUUCCUUUUAAUAUACCUACUUGUUUAUAUUUUGACUUAUUAUAUCGAGAUAGCCUUUUGGUGUAUAUUUUUCCUCAUCGACUCUUUGUCCUUGACAGAUUGACAAGAGUACACUUACAAUAUCAGAGCUUUGUUUUUUUCUUGAGUAAGAGUGGAUUACCCCUUUCUCUUGACAAGACAUAAGCGUAUUAGAAGUUUGCGGAUUACCCACUUCUAAACUGAUAUUGUUCUUAGUAUCUUCUUUGUUAUCAAGUCUUUCUUUUCUUUUGUCUUGAGCAAUAUCAAACAAAUUUUUCUUCUUAGUGUCAUUAUGGUAGAGCUUGUUGAAAUGAAGAGUGCAAUGGCACAAAUGCAAGAGCAAAUGAGGGAGUUAAUGCUUGCGAUGCAUCAACUCAAUUCACCAACACAGGAAAGAACAAGAACAGCAGAAAGUGGAGAUAUAGAGAUGAUCGGAGCUGCUUCAACAUCUACAACAAAUCACGUUCCUUCUCCAAUUGUACAACACCCUAUAAGCACUAGAGAACCAAGAAUUACCUUACCUGAGAAAUUUGAUGGUACGAGAUCAAAGUUUCGAGGGUUCAUCAAUCAAGUACAAUUGGCAAUUGAACUUCAACCGCAAAGCUAUCCAACUCCAGGAUCACAAGUCAGGUUUAUUGGCACUCUACUUUCUGGUUCUGCAUUAUCGUGGUUUUCGUCUUUUCUUGAACAACGAAAUCCAAUAUUGGACAAUUUGGAAGCUUUUUUGGCAGAGUUUCGAUCUAUGUAUGGUGAACACGAUGCAACUCGUGUUGCAACAAAUAAGAUCCGAAUUCUACGACAAGGAAAUCGCUCAGUAACAGUAUAUGCUUCACAAUUUCGACAACUUACAAUUGACAUCAAGUGGGAUGAUGCUGCACUCAUCAGUCAAUUUCUUUAUGGAUUGCAAUACGAAGUAAAGAAAUUGAUGCUCAACUUACCUGAUCCUCAAACUUUGAGUCAAGCAAUCGAUUUUGCAGUAAAAUGUGAUAAUUGACUUUUUGAAUUUCGAUCUGAGAAUCAUUCACGGGAACCUCAACGUUAUUACUCAAUGGCAACAUCAACAUCUUUGCCAAACGUACAUUCAGAAGUAGAAGACAUGCAAAUUGACGCGGUACGUUUUAAACCCCUAACUGAGCAAGAAAAGAUUCGUCGUCGUCAAGAAGGAUUAUGUUUAUAUUGCGGAGAACCUAAGCACACUGCUCAACAUUGUCCAAAGAAACGACGCAACUAUAAAAUGAGGGAUACGACGGUCAAAGAAGACAACAUGUCGGAAAACGGAUUCGUCCAGCUACAAUAGGGACCGUGCAGCUGGAACCUUGUACAAUUCCUAAUGAAGGUCCUAUCCUCUCCUCAGAACCCUCUCCUUGUUUUAUAAUAGACUUAUAUUUAGGACCUAAGAAUUACAAAGCCUCUACUUUAUUAGAUUCGGGAGCCUCAGCAUGUUUUUUAGAUGAACAAUUUGUUAAAAGUCAUAAAAUACCCUUUGUACAGAAACCUAAACCAGUACAUGUAGAAGUCAUAGAUGGUCGUCCCUUGUCUUCUGGAGAUGUCACUCAUGAAACUCAUCCUAUAAAAGUAACAAUAGACGGUCAUGAUAGCUACAUAGCUUUUAACAUAAUUAAAUCCCCGUCUAAUCCAGUUAUUUUAGGUUUAUCCUGGCUAGAAAAAUAUAACUCUCGAAUAGAUUGGAAUUCGCGUAAACUUGACUUUUCCGAAAGCGUUAUUAAUAGUUCUACGAACCAAGUAAAAAAUUAUAAGUCUAGUACAGUAAAACCCGUACUGAUUGGUGCAAAAGCAUUUAUACACGCAGCAAAAAAAGGAUCAACUUUUGCUAUUUAUGCUGCACCUAUUUCUGAAAACGUAAAGACUUCAAGUGGCAUUCCAAGUCAAUAUCAGGAGUAUCAAGACGUUUUUGAGAAAAAGAAUGCAGAUAUUCUUCUUGAGCAUCGCCCAUAUGAUUGUUCAAUCGACCUCAAGGAAGGAACUCAGCCACCAUUUGGACCAAUUUACAGUUUAUCGCAAGAUGAGAUGGCUGAACUCAAGACAUAUAUUGACGAGAAUUUAGCGAAGAAUUUCAUACGCCAUUCAAAAUCUCCAGCAGGAGCUCCAAUUCUAUUUGUAAAGAAAAAAGAUGGAUCUUUACGAAUGUGUGUUGAUUAUCGAGGACUCAACAAGAUCACAAUUAAGAACAGGUAUCCAUUACCUUUGAUAUCAGGACUCCUUGACCAGUUGAAUCAAGCUAAGAUCUAUACAAAAAUAGAUCUAAGAGGAGCAUAUAAUCUAGUACGGAUCAAAGAAGGAGAUGAAUGGAAGACUGCGUUUCGAACCAGGUAUGGACAUUUCGAAUAUAAUGUCAUGCCCUUUGGACUCACGAAUGCACCAGCUGCUUUUCAACAUCUCAUGAAUGAUGUAUUUCGUGAAUUCUUAGACAAUUUUGUCGUCUGCUAUCUAGACGAUAUCCUGAUCUAUUCCAAGAACGUCGAAGAACAUGAAAUACAUGUUCGUCAAGUAUUACAAAAACUUAGAGAUGUAGGAUUGUACGCCAAGAUGGAAAAGUGUGUAUUUCACACUACUCAAGUUGACUUUUUAGGAUACAUCAUUUCAAAUGAUGGUCUCAUGAUGGAUUCUAAGAAAGUCCAAACAAUCGUGGAUUGGAAGAUUCCAAGGACGGUAAGAGAUGUCCAAUGUUUCUUGGGAUUUGCUAAUUACUAUCGGAUCUUCAUCAAAGAUUUCUCACAAGUUGCAGCUCCACUUACACGCUUGACUAGUAAAGAUAAAUUUCAAUGGAAUCAAGAAGCGGAAGCAGCAUUUGAAGCCUUGAAGACAUCGUUUGUCUCUGCACCAGUCUUAUAUCGUGUUGACUUUUCCAAGGCAUUUUUUAUGGAAACAGAUGCAUCAGAUUUUGCCUUGGGUGCAAUUUUAUCACAAAUGGGAACAGAUGACAAACUCCAUCCGAUAGCUUUUCAUUCAAGAAAAUUCUCAGCAGCCGAGAUCAAUUAUGAGAUCCACGAUAAAGAACUUCUUGCGAUCGUGGAUUCCUUUCAAGAAUGGCGUCAUUAUCUAGAAGGCGCUUCUAGUCCAGUCACUGUGUAUACAGAUCACAAGAACCUCGAGUAUUUCAUGUCAGCACGCGUGUUGAAUCGUCGUCAAGCUCGUUGGAGUAUGUCUUUGUCAAGAUUCGAGUUCAUUAUCACUUAUCGGCCAGGAAAACAACAAGGUUUAUCCGAUGCCCUAUCUAGACGUUCUUAUUUUGCACCAAAAGAAGGAGAUGCAGCUUUUGAGCAACAAAGAACGGUCCUCUUGAAACCGGAGCAAUUUCAUCUCCGAGCAAUGAAAUCAACAUUGACUGUUGAUUCAACUUUUCUCAAGCAAAUCCAGUCCAGUAUGUCCUCAGACCCUCUUGUUUAUGAUAUCGAGAAUAAUUCUUCCAAGUCUCAUGAUCCUUCUAAGUUUGAGUUCAAGAAUAAUCUAUUAUAUUUUGAAGGACGCCUAUAUGUUCCAGAAAGAGAAGCACGUUUACGUGUUCUUCAAGCACGUCAUGACUUUCCAGCAGCAGGGCACUUUGGAUAUAAUAAGACUUUGGAACUCAUAUCAAGAGAUUUUUGGUGGCCACAAAUGUGGAAGUCAGUCAAAGACUUUGUACAAUCAUGUGAUAUUUGUUCAAGAUCAAAAAUUCCUCGUCAUCGACCUUACGGACUUCUUCAGCCAUUACCUAUACCAGAACAACCAUGGUCUUCUGUUUCUAUGGAUUUCAUCACAGAUCUUCCAAGCUCAAGAUCUUAUGAUUCUAUAUUUGUGAUAGUAGAUCGUUUCACCAAGAUGGCACAUUUUGUGCCAUGUACAAAAUCUAUCACAGGUGAAGAAACAGCUAAGCUUUUCAUUGAUAAUAUCUAUCGCUAUCAUGGAUUACCUAAAGAUAUCAUAUCGGAUAGGGGAACUCAAUUUGUGUCAAGAUUUUGGAGGACCCUUUUCAAGAUUUUAAAAGUGGACAUAAAACUAUCUUCGGCUUUUCAUCCUCAAACUGAUGGACAAACAGAGCGCGUAAACCAAGUCUUGGAGCAAUAUUUAAGGUGUACUAUCAACUACCAACAAGAUGAUUGGACAACCCUUCUGCCAUUGGCAGAGUUUGCUUAUAAUAAUACGGUACAUUCUUCCACGCAACAAACAC
rnacentral:lncRNA from 1 species